rnacentral:lncRNA from 1 species
AUCACACAUAUUAUUGAGACCAACUAGCAACAUAGAAAGCACAAUAGUGUACCAACAAUGGCAGCCAAAAUAUUUUGCUUCCUUAUGCUCCUUGGUCUUUCUGCAAGUGCUGCUACCGCAACCAUUUUCCCACAAUGCUCACAAGCUCCUAUAGCUUCCUUUCUUCCCCCAUACCUCUCACCAGCGGUGUCUUCAGUAUGUGAAAACCCAAUUCUUCAACCCUACAGGAUCCAACAGGCAAUCGCAGCAGGCAUCUUACCUUUAUCACCCUUGUUCCUCCAACAACCGUCAGCCCUAUUACAGCAGUUACCUUUGGUGCAUUUGUUGGCACAAAACAUCAAGGCACAACAACUACAACAACUUGUGCUAGGAAACCUUGCUGCCUACUCUCAGCAACAGCAGUUUCUUCCAUUCAACCAACUGGCUGCAUUGAACUCUGCUGCUUAUUUGCAACAACAACUACCAUUCAGUCAGCUAGCUGCUGCCUACCCCCAGCAAUUUCUUCCAUUCAACCAACUGGCAGCAUUGAACUCUGCUGCUUAUUUACAACAGCAACAGCUACCACCAUUCAGCCAGCUAGCUGAUGUGAGCCCUGUUGCCUUCUUGACACAACAACAGUUGUUGCCGUUCUACCUGCACGCUGCGCCUAACGCUGGCACCCUCUUACAACUGCAACAAUUGCUGCCAUUCAACCAACUUGCUUUGACAAACCCAACAACGUUCUACCAACAACCCAUCAUUGGCGGUGCCCUCUUUUAGAUUGCUUAUGAGUUAUAGUUCAAUAAUGAAGUUUUUUGGAUGAUGUUUGUGGCUUCCCAGAAAUAAGAAAGUACAUUUCUAGAUUCUUAUGUGCUUCUAGCCUCCAAAUGUGGUUGAUAGUUAUUUUGCUCUAAGAUCGGGAGUAAUGAGGUAUAAAUCAUCGUUGUGGUGUGCUACUCGGUUAAUUAAGCAUUAACACACACAAACAUGACGAGGAUGGUAUGACCUCCAGGGCCAGUAACACGCCGGCACCAGCAAGAUAUCGUGUGAUGGUUAUUGGCGCGUGUUGUUUGUUCGACCCAUUGCUGCAACGCAGACCGCCGCUAACUACCAUCUCCAAGAGACUCCUUCAAUUAAGUCCUAAAAAUCAAAAUAGGACAUGGUUUAAAUUAUUUAAAACCCACCAAUUCGUUUUACUCCAACCGUGAGUCUGAGAGCACCUAGAGGGGGGGGGUCGAAUAGGUGAUCCUGUAAAACUUGAAAUUUAACUCACAAAACUUGAUUAGGAGUUAGCACAAAUAAUGCCAAGUGGCUAGAGAGGAGUCUCAACAAAACACAAUAACCACAAGAGAUCAAUCACAGAGAUGGCACAGUGGUUUAUCCCGUGGUUCGGCCAAGACCAACGCUUGCCUACUCCACGUUGUGGCGUCCCAACGGACGAGGGUUGCAAUCAACCCCUCUCAAGCGGUCCAAAGACCCACUUGAAUACCACGGUGUUUUGCUUGCUUUACUAUAUCCCGUUUGCGAGGAAUCUCCACACUUUGGAGCCUCUCGCCCUUACACUUAGAUGAUCACAAAGAAGCACAGAGUAAGGGAGGGAUAAGCAACUCACUCAAGACAAGAAAUCACAGCAACACCACGCACACAAGUCGCAACAAGAGCUCACAACACAACUCAAUGAGUUCACAACUCAACUAGAGCUCUAACUGCUAUCGCAAGGAAUCAAAAGCGCGGAAUCGAUGUCUUAGUGCUUAGGAAUGCUUAGAGAAUGCUUGGUGUAGUCCUCCAUGCGCCUAGGGGUCCCUUUUAUAGCCCCAAGGCAGCUAGGAGCCGUUGAGAGCAAUCCGGGAAGGCAAUUCUUGCCUUCUGUCGCCUGGCGCACCGGACAGUCCGGUGCACCACCGGACACUGUCCGGUGCGGAUUUCCUUCCUUAUUUGGCGAAGCCGACCGUUGGCAGCCUUGGAGCCGUUGGCGCACCGGACACUGUCCGGUGCACACCGGACAGUCUGGUGCCCCCUCCCGACCGUUGGCUCGGCCACGUGUCUCGCGCAGCCGACCGUUGGCCCGGCCGACCGUUGGCUCACCGGACAGUCCGGUGCACACCGGACAGUCCGAUGAAUUAUAGUCGUACGUCGUUAAUUUAUUCCCGAGAGUGACAAGUUCGCCUGUGCCAGCCUGGCACACCGGACACUGUCCGGUGCACCACCGGACAGUCUGGUGCACCCAGACAGAGCUGGCUUUGGCUGAACAAGGCUAUCUCUUUUCCAAUUCGAUUUCUCCUGUUUCCAGCACUUAGACACAAUAAAUUAGUCACUAAAACAAUGUACUAAGUCUAAGAAACAUACCUUUAUACUUGAUUUGUACUUUGUCCACCAUUUGACACUUAGGCACUUGUGUUGGACACUAGAUCACCAAAACACUUAGAAAUGGCCCAAGGGCACAUUUCCCUUUCAAUCUCCCCCUUUUUGGUGAUUAAUGCCAACACAACAUAAGGCAAGUAGAACAAGUACGAAAUCAAUUCAAAUAAGAACUCAAAUUUGUUUUGAAUCAAAUUUGGCAUAUAUGGAUCAUUCUUUGCCACCACUUGGUUUGUUUUUGCAAAUCAACCUCAAAUUCCUAUCUCUAAGUCAAAAACACUUGUUGAGACAUAACAAGAGUUGUUCCAAGAGAAAUUGAUCAGAGAUUUCAAAAACUCCCCCUUUUUCCCAUAAUUAAGCCUUCUCCCCACAAGAGACCAACUUUUGACAAUAAGAGGCAAACAAGAGUAUUUUGACAAACAAAAACUCUAACUCUAUUUUUUUAAAAUUCUCAAGUGGUAGCUGAUCUAUUUAUUGCUUUGGCCUUAUUUUCUCCCCCUUUGGCAUCAAGCACCAAAACGAGAUCAAUCUUGGCCCUCGAACCCCAUUGCCUCACCAAAAUCUUCAACUAAGAGUUAAAAAAAGGCAAUAAGAGUACAAAGAUGAACUUGGAAUAAGUUACUCGUUCAUCGGAGUGCAGUGGAAGUCUUGCAUAGUCCAAGUCCACCUUUUCCCUUUCAAUCCUCCUUUGAGACUAAAAUAAGCAAACUCACGCACAUGGUUAGUCUCAAAGGGUCAAGUUGUAGCACAUCUCCCCCUAAAUUUGUGCAUCACUUGCAAAUGAACUUGUAAGGUCCGGGGAGUGCUUGUACAACUUGAGCACCAUAAGUAAACAACAAAAUGCAUAAGGAACAUGAUCAAAGGCAUAAACACAUGUAUGCUAUAAAUCAAUCCAAGUUCCGCGAAUCUAAGACAUUUAGCUCACUACGCAACUUGCAAAAUGUCUGCUCAUCUAAAGGCUUGGUAAAGAUAUCGGCUAGCUGGUUCUCAGAGCUAACAUGAAACACUUCGAUAUCUCCCUUUUGCUGGUGGUCUCUCAAAAAGUGAUGCCAGAUGUCUAUGUGCUUUGUGCGGCUGUGUUCAACAGGAUUAUCCGCCAUGCGGAUAGCACUCUCAUUAUCACAUAGGAGUGGGACUUUGCUCAGAUUGUAGCCAAAGUCCCUGAGGGUUUGCCUCAUCCAAAGUAGUUGUGCGCAGCACUGUCCUGCAGCAACGUACUCGGCCUCAGCGGUGGAUAGGGCAACAGAGGUUUGUUUCUUAGAACUCCAUGACACCAGGGACCUUCCUAAGAAUUGGCACAUCCCCGAUGUACUCUUCCUAUCGACCUUACAUCCAGCAUAGUCGGAGUCUGAAUAUCCAAUCAAGUCAAAGGUAGACCCCUUUGGAUACCAAAUCCUGAAACAAGGUGUAGCGACUAAAUAUCUAAGAAUUCGCUUCACAGCCACUAAGUGACACUCCUUAGGAUCGGAUUGAAAUCUAGCACACAUGCAUACACUAAGCAUAAUAUUCGGUCUACUAGCACAUAAAUAAAGUAAAGACCCUAUCAUAGACCGGUAUGCCUUUUGAUCAACGAACUCACCUCCUUUGUUGAGGUCGGUGUGUCCGUCGGUUCCCAUUGGAGUCUUUGCGGGCUUGGCGUCCUUCAUCCCAAACCGCUUGAUCAAGUCUUGCUUGUACUUGGUUUGAGAGAUGAAGGUUCCAUCCUUGAGUUGCCUCACUUGGAAGCCAAGGAAGUAGAUUAACUCGCCCAUCAUCGACAUCUCGAAUUUCUGAGUCAUCACCCUGCUAAACUCUUCACAAGACUUUUGGUUAGUAGAACCAAAUAAUAUGUCAUCGACAUAAAUUUGGCACACAAAGAGAUCACCAUCACAAGUCUUAGUAAAAAGAGUUGGAUCGGCUUUCCCAACCUUGAAAGCAUUAGCAAUUAAAAAGUCUCUAAGGCAUUCAUACCAUGCUCUUGGGGCUUGCUUAAGUCCAUAGAGCGCCUUAGAGAGCUUACACACGUGGUCGGGGUACCGUUCAUCCUCGAAGCCAGGGGGUUGCUCCACGUACACCUCCUCCUUGAUUGGCCCGUUGAGGAAAGCACUCUUCACAUCCAUUUGGAACAACCUGAAAGAAUGGUGAGCGGCAUAUACUAGCAAAAUGCGAAUGGACUCUAGCCUAGCCACAGGAGCAAAAGUCUCCUCAAAGUCCAAACCUGCGACUUGGGCAUAACCUUUUGCCACAAGUCGUGCCUUGUUCCUUGUCACCACCCCGUGCUCGUCUUGUUUGUUGCGGAACACCCACUUGGUUCCCACAACAUUUUUCUUGGGACGAGGCACCAGUGUCCAAACUUCAUUUCUUUUGAAGUUGUUGAGCUCCUCCUACAUGGCCAACACCCAGUCCGGAUCUAGCAAGGCCUCUUCUACCCUGAAAGGCUCAAUAGAAGAGACAAAGGAGUAAUGCUCACAAAAAAUUAACUAAUCGAGAUCGAGUAGUUACUCCCUUGCUAAUAUCACCCAAAAUUUGGUCGACGGGAUGAUCCCUUUGAAUCAUCGCUCGAACUUGGGUUGGAGGUGCCGGUUGCGCUUCUUCCUCCAUUGCAAGAUCAUCUUGUGCUCCCCCUUGAUCACACGCCUCCUGCUCAUCAUCUUGAGUUGGGGGAUGCACCAUUGUUGAGGAAGAAGGUUGAUCUCGUUCAUCUUGUUCCUGUGGCCGCACAUCUCCAAUCGCCAUGGUGCGUAUUGCGGCCGUUGGAACUUCUUCUUCAUCUACAUCAUCAAAAUCAACAACUUGCUCUCUUGGAGAGCCAUUAGUCUCAUCAAAUACAACGUCGCUAGAGACUUCAACCAAACCCGAUGAUUUGUUGAAGACUCUAUACGCCUUUGUAUUUGAGUCAUAACCUAACAAAAAUCCUUCUACAGCUUUGGGAGCAAAUUUGGAAUUCCUACCCUUCUUCACUAGAAUGUAGCAUUUACUCCCAAAAACUCGAAAAUACGAAACAUUGGGUUUGUUACCGGUUAGUAGCUCAUAUGACGUCUUCUUGAGGAGGCGAUGAAGGUAGACCCUGUUGAUGGCGUGGCAAGCCGUGUUCACAGCUUUCGACCAAAAGCGCUCGGGGGUCUUAAACUCUCCAAGCAUCGUCCUCACCAUGUCUAUAAGCGUCUUGUUCUUCCUCUCUACCACACCAUUUUGCUGUGGUGUGUAGGGAGCGGAGAACCCAUGCUUGAUCCCUUCCUCCUCAAGGUACUCCUCCACUUGAAGGUUCUUGAACUCGGACCCAUUGUCGCUCCUUAUCUUUUUCACCUUGAGCUUAAACUCGUUUUGAGCUCUCCUUAGGAAGCGCUUGAGGGUCCCUUGGGUUUCAGAUUUAUCCUGCAAAAAGAAUACCCAAGUGAAGCGGGAAAAGUCAUCAACUAUAACAAGACCAUACUUACUUCCUCCUAUACUUAGAUAAGCGACGGGUCCAAAGAGGUCCAUGUGAAGCAUCUCCAAAGGUCUUGAUGUGGUCAUCACAUUUUUGGUGUGAUGAGAGCUUCCCACCUGUUUGCCUGCUUGACAAGCUGCACAAGGUCUAUCUUUUUCGAAUUGUACAUUAGUUAAACCUAUCACGUGUUCUCCCUUUAGAAGCUUGUGAAGGUUCUUCAUCCCCACAUGUGCUAAGCGGCGAUGCCACAGCCAGCCCAUGCUAGUCUUAGCAAUUAAGCAUGCAUCUAGACCGGCCUCCUCUUUUGCAAAAUCAACUAAGUAAAGUUUGUCGUCUAAUACACCCUUAAAAGCUAGUGAACCAUCACUUCUUCUAAAGACAGACACAUCUACAUUUGUGAAUAGACAAUUAUAUCCCAUAUUGCAUAAUUGACUAACAGAUAACAAAUUAUAUCCAAGAGACUCAACUAAAAACACAUUAGAUAUAGAGUGCUCGGAUGAAAUAGCAAUUUUACCUAACCCUUUUACCUUGCCUUGAUUCCCAUCACCGAAUAUUAUUGAAUCUUGGGAAUCCUUGUUUUUGACGUAGGAGGUGAACAUCUUUUUCUCCCCCGUCAUAUGGUUUGUGCAUCCGUUGUCGAUAAUCCAGCUUGAACCCCCGGAUGCAUAAACCUGCAUGGCAAAUUUAGGCUUGGGUCUUAGGUACCCAACUCAUGUUGGGUCCUACAAGGUUAGCACAAAUAUCCUUAGGGACCCAAAUGCAAGUUUUGUCUCCCUUGCAUUUUGCCCCUAAUUUUCUAGCAACUAUCUUCCUAUCCUUUCUACAAAUAGCAAAGGAAGCAUUUAAAGCAUGAUAUAUUGUAGAGGGUUCAUUAACUUUCCUAGGAACAUUAACAACAUUUCUCCUAGACAUAUGAACAAAAUAUCUCCUAGACAUAUCUCUACCAUGCAUAUAGGAAGAACUAGAAGCAAACAUGGCAUGAGAGUUAAAAGCAUCAUAAGCAUUACAACUCCUAUAAGACUGUCUUCUAUCAUGGUACAUAAAAGCAUGGUUCGUUUUAGCACUAUUUGCCAUAGGGGCCUUCCCUUUCUCCAUGAUGGAGAUGGGUGCCUUAUGGCUCGUUAAGUCCUUGGCUUCCCUCUUGAAGCCAAGUCCAUCCUUAAUUGAGGGGUGUCUACCAAUCAUGUAGGCAUCCCUUGCAAAUUUUAGUUUAUCAAAAUCACUCUUGCUAGUCUUAAGUUGGGCAUUAAGACUAGCCAAUUCAUCAUUCAGUUUGGAAAUUGAAACUAGGUGUUCACUACAAGCAUCAAUGUCAAAAUCUUUACACCUAUUGCAAAUCAUAACAUGUUCUACACAAGAGUUAGAUUUACUAGCUAUUUCUAACUUAGCAUUCAAACCAUCAUUUAUGCUCCUUAAGCUAGAAAUUGUCUCAUGGCAAGAAGAUAGUUCACAAGAAAGCAUUUCAUUUCUUUUAACUUCUAAAGCAUGAGAUUUUUGUGCCUCUACAAAUUUGUCAUGCUCUUCAUAUAAAAGGUCCUCUUGUUUUUCUAAAAGUCUAUCCUUUUCAUUCAAGGCAUCAAUCAAUUCAUUAAUCUUAUCUACUUUAGUUCUAUCCAAUCCCUUGAACAAACUAGAGUAAUCUAUUUCUUCAUCACUAGACUCAUCAUCACUAGAAGAAUCAUAAGUGGCAUUGUUUCGAUUACAUACCUUCUUCUCCUUCGCCAUGAGGCAUGUAUGACGCUCGUUGGGGAAGAGGGAUGACUUGUUGAAGGCGGUGGCGGCGAGUCCUUCAUUGUCGGAGUCGAAUGACGAACAAUCCGAGUCCCACUCCUUGCCAAGGUGUGCCUCGCCCUUAGCCUUUUUAUAUGCCUUCUUCUUCUCCCUCUUAUUCCCCUGUUCCUGGUCAGUAUCAUUAUUGGGGCAGUUAGCGAUAAAAUGACCAAUCUUACCACACUUGAAGCAUGAGCGCUUCCCCUUUGUCUUGGUCUUGCUUGGCUGCCCCUUGUGACCCUUUAGCGCUGUCUUGAAGCGCUUGAUGAUGAGAGCCAUCUCUUCAUCAUUUAGCCCUGCCGCCUCAACUUGUGCCACCUUGAUAGGUAGCGCCUCUUUGCUUCUUGUUGCCUUGAGAGCAAAGGGUUGAUGCUCAUUGAUUGGACCAUUCAAUGCGUCGUCCACGUAUCUCGCCUCCUUGAUCAUCAUUCGCCCGCUCACGAAUUUCCCAAGAACUUCCUCGGGCGACAUCUUGGUGUACCUAGGAUUUUCACGAAUAUUGUUCACCAGAUGUGGAUCAAGUACAGUAAAGGACCUUAGCAUUAGGCGAACGACGUCGUGGUCCGUCCAUCGCGUGCUUCCGUAGCUCCUUAUUUUGUUGAUGAGGGUCUUGAGCCGGUUGUAUGUUUGGGUUGGCUCCUCGCCCCUUAUCAUUGCAAAUCUCCCGAGCUCGCCCUCUACCAACUCCAUCUUGGUGAGCAAGGUGACGUCAUUCCCCUCAUGAGAGAUCUUGAGGGUGUCCCAGAUCUGCUUGGCAUUGUCCAAGCCGCUCACCUUAUGGUACUCGUCCCUGCACAAAGAGGCUAACAACACAGUAGUAGCUUGUGCAUUCUUAUGAAUCUGUUCAUUAAUGAAUAUAGGACUAUCCGAGCUAUCAAAUUUCAUUCCAUUCUCAACAAUCUCCCAUAUACUUGGAUGGAGAGAGAACAGAUGACUACGCAUUUUGUGACUCCAAAAUCCGUAGUCCUCCACAUCAAAGUGUGGAGGUUUGCCAAGAGGGAUGGAAAGCAAAUGUGCAUUUGAGCUAUGCGGAAUACGGGAGUAAUCGAAAGAAAAGUUCGAAUUAACCGUCUUUCGUUUGUCGUAGUCGUUGUCGUCGUUGUCCUUUUGGGAAGAAGUGGACUCAUCGCUGUCGUCGUAGUAGACAAUCUCCUUGAUGCGUCUUGUCUUCUUCUUCUUCCCAUCUUUGCAUUUGUGGCCCGAGCCCGAGUCGGUAGGCUUGUCAUCCUUGGGCUCAUUGACGAAGGACUCCUUCUCCUUAUCAUUGAUCACAAUCCCCUUGCCCUUAGGAUCCAUCUCUUCGGGCGGUUAGUCCUUUUCUUGAAGAGAACGGCUCCGAUACCAAUUGAGAGCACCUAGAGGGGGGUGAAUAGGUGAUCCUAUAAAACUUGAAAUUUAACUCACAAAACUUGAUUAGGAGUUAGCACAAAUAAUGCCAAGUGGCUAGAGAGGAGUCUCAACAAAACAUAAUAACCACAAGAGAUCAAUCACAGAGAUGGCACAGUGGUUUAUCCCGUGGUUCGGCCAAGACCAACGCUUGCCUACUCCACAUUGUGGCGUCCCAACGGACGAGGGUUGCAAUCAACCCCUCUCAAGCGGUCCAAAGACCCACUUGAAUACCACGGUGUUUUGCUUGCUUUACUAUAUCCCGUUUGCGAGGAAUCUCCACACUUUGGAGCCUCUCGCCCUUACACUUAGAUGAUCACAAAGAAGCACGAAGUAAGGGAAGGAUAAGCAACACACUCAAGACAAGAAAUCACAGCAACACCACGCACACAAGUCGCAACAAGAGCUCACAACACAACUCAAUGAGUUCACAACUCAACUAGAGCUCUAACUGCUAUCGCAAGGAAUCAAAAGCGCGGAAUCGAUGUCUUAGUGCUUAGGAAUGCUUAGAGAAUGCUUGGUGUAGUCCUCCAUGUGCCUAGGGGUCCCUUUUAUAGCCCCAAGGCAGCUAGGAGCCAUUGAGAGCAAUCCGGGAAGGCAAUUCUUGCCUUCUGUCGCCUGGCGCACCGGACAGUCCGGUGCACCACCGGACACUGUCCGGUGCGGAUUUCCUUCCUUAUUUGGCGAAGCCGACCGUUGGCAGCCUUGGAGCCGUUGGCGCACCGGACACUGUCCGGUGCACACCGGACAGUCCGGUGCCCCCUCCCGACCGUUGGCUCAGCCACGUGUCUCGCGCAGAUCGCGCAGCCGACCGUUGGCCCGGUUGACCGUUGGCUCACCGAACAGUCCGAUGAAUUAUAGUCGUACGCCGUUAAUUUAUUCCCAAGAGCGGCAAGUUCGCCUGUGCCAGCCUGGCACACCGGACACAGUCGGGUGCACCCAGACAGAGCUGACUUUGGCUGAACAAGGCCAUCUCUUUUCCAAUUCGAUUUCUCCUGUUUCCAGCACUAAGACACAAUACAUUAGUCACUAAAACAAUGUACUAAGUCUGAGAAACAUACCUUUAUACUUGAUUUGUACUUUGUCCACCAUUUGACACUUAGGCACUUGUGUUGGACACUAGAUCACCAAAACACUUAGAAAUGGCCCAACAACACAUUUCCCUUUCAGAGUCAUAUAAUCAUGUUACUUAGUUAAUUCUUCGCUUCACCGCAACAAUGUCGUCGUCGCUCUAUCAUCGUCCAUGUUCGGUCAGGUGAGGUGAGGUGAGGUGUAGUCUCUAAUAUACUUAAAGCACCAGUUUCAACGGUCGUCCUACGCCAUCUUUUUACAAAAAGUCCCUACAUUUCUUUUAAAUCAAUUCAGCGUAAAAUGUUAAAAAGCGGCGCCAGAGACAAUCUUUCACAUGAUCAUGUUGUCCUGCAGAUGGAGUAGUAGGCCUUCACGUGAUCAUGUUGUCCGAUAGAUAGGGUAGCGGGCCAGCGGUUGUUGGUUACUCUCCACCAACAAGAGAGAUAGGAAUCUAUUAGAAGCCAGAGCUCCAGCUUGCUAGUUCGAUUUGAUGGCAGCAACUAACAAGACAAUGACGCUCAGCAUGAUAUGAAGAUUGCCAUCGAUAGGAAGGAUCAUCACCUGCUGUUCGCGGAGGCGAGAAAGGAUGUGGUCGACUUCUUCUCCCUACUCGUCCUACUCGUCGGCGCGACCGUCAAACUGCUGGGGAAUAAGGGCAUGGCCGACAACACCUGACCAUUGAUCUCACAUGCCAUUUUAGCUCUCUCAUUCUCUAGUCUCACCCUGACUAUUUAGGUCUCCUGACUCGCUAAUAUAAACACCAUCCUAUCAUUUGAUCUCGAAUACUUCUUUGUCACAACUCAACUGUCAGAUGAGUACUCCAUUACAACACUUACGUACAAGAGUUCUAUGAGAGCAGGCCUCCGAAAUGAAUGUCGACUAAGUGUUUAUCUACUCAGAUGAAGGACGACAAUCGUGUUCUUCGAAAAUAUCAGCGACAUAACUCCUUACUUCCUCCGCUUCUUUCUAGUGUUUUUUGUUGUGAUUGAGUCGACACAACAACAACAUUGCACUAUUACAACCAGUACGACUAUAUCAACUAACAAUGUCUUCCUUAUAUGUUACUAUUUAUUUUGCUCAUAUUCAUUAUGUUUAAAUCACAUGUGCACCUUUCUAUUGACAUCAAAAAAAUAGUAUCAACUUUCUAGAUUAAAAUGCAACUAAAAGUACCUAAAUUUCUAUCGGUGGGGAUUGAGUGAUUCUUUAAACCGAUUAUUACAUAAGUUAACCACACUAAAAUUAACAUUGGUGAAUUGUGCCAUGAUUUUUUUCUAGUGCAAAAUAGCCAAACCAAGCAACACAUAUGUGGCUAUCGUUACACAUGUGUAAAGGUAUUGCAUCACACCAUUGUCACCCAUGUAUUUGGACAAUACCGAGAGGAAAACCCACUUAUUUAUUGUAUUUUAUCAAGUUUGUCUUGCUUACGUAUAAAUUAUAACCCAACAAAGUAGUCACUAAAUGUCAAAACCAACUAGAUACCAUGUCAUCUCUACCUUAUCUUACUAAUGUUCUUUUUGCAAAAUCCAAAAUUAAUCUUGCACAAGCACAAGGACUGAUAUGUGUAUAAAUAUCUCUUAGAUUAGUAGUUAAUACAUCGCACAUAUUAUUGAGACCAACUAGCAACAUAGAAAGCACAAUAGUGUACCAACAAUGGCAGCCAAAAUAUUUUGCUUCCUUAUGCUCCUUGGUCUUUCUGCAAGUGUUGCUACCGCAACCAUUUUCCCACAAUGCUCACAAGCUCCUAUAGCUUCCCUUCUUCCCCCAUACCUCUCACCAGCGGUGUCUUCAAUGUGUGAAAACCCAAUUGUUCAACCCUACAGGAUCCAACAGGCAAUCGCAACAGGCAUCUUACCAUUAUCACCCUUGUUCCUCCAACAACCGUCAGCCCUAUUACAGCAGUUACCUUUGGUCCAUUUGGUGGCACAAAACAUCAGGGCACAACAACUACAACAACUUGUGCUAGCAAACCUUGCUGCAUACUCUCAGCAACAUCAGUUUCUUCCAUUCAACCAACUGGCUGCAUUGAACUCUGCUGCUUAUUUGCAACAACAAUUACCAUUCAGCCAGCUAGUUGCUGCCUACCCCCAGCAAUUUCUUCCAUUCAACCAACUAGCAGCAUUGAACUCUGCUGCUUAUUUACAGCAGCAACAACUACUACCAUUCAGCCAGCUAGCUGAUGUGAGCCCUGCUGCCUUCUUGACACAACAACAGUUGUUGCCGUUCUACCUGCACGCUAUGCCUAACGCUGGCACCCUCUUACAACUGCAACAAUUGCUGCCAUUCAACCAACUUGCUUUGACAAACUCAACAGUGUUCUACCAACAACCCAUCAUUGGUGGUGCCCUCUUUUAGAUUGCUUAUGAGUUAUAGUUCAAUAAUGAAGUUUUUUGGAUGAUGUUUGUGGCGUCCCAGAAAUAAGAAAGUACAUUUCUAGAUUCUUAUGUGCUUCUAGUCUCCAAAUGUGGUCGAUAGUUAUUUUGCUCUAAGAUCGGGAGUAAUGAGGUAUAAAUCAUCGUUGUGGUGUGCUACUCGGUUAAUUAAGCAUUAACACACACAAACAUGACGAGGAUGGUAUAAUCUCCAAAAAUAUGUACUUUGUUAGGUGGGACCCUAUAGCCAUGCAGAAUGUGCUAUGUUAGGCUUGCCGAUGGAAACGUGUGACGCAUACGUUUUGUGAACCUGUUGAUAUUAUAUGUGCUUUUAUAUUAUCAUAUUUUAUUAAAAUAUUAAUAUUUAUUACUAGUAAGAUAUAACAUUCUAUCUAACUUAAAACUUACCAUAAAUAUUCCAUCAUAACUAGAUUUACCAAACUAAUAAACUAAAUAUACAUAAUAAAUACAAAAUUAACAAGACAUUAAUCAAUAUUUACGAGCUUAAUAAAUUUAAACAUUAUGGUUUGUCGACGAUAAUCAUACUAACUUUCUGUAAUUGCUUGAUUGUAAAUAUGCUUAGACUAAUGCCUCUUUGUUCUACAUGGCAAAUAGGGACCGCUCUAGAAGACUAGGAUGUCCCUUGAGACGAAAAUGUUAUCAUUGGUGUAGACUAAUUUCUAUCGGUCGCUGACUUCACUAUUGUAACCAUUAUCUCUUGGGUAAAUCAUAUACGAUUAUCCAGCCAAAGGGCCCAGAUGAUAAAAAACAAUUUUAAUUGCUAUUUCAGGACAAAUGAAUUAGCAUGGUUCGAAGGAUUAUGACCUUCCCCCAUGACCUUUGUCAUACUGCUUUAGUCUAAUCGACAAAACCAAGAUUAGAUUUCAUCGAAGAAGUUGAUAAGCGAAGCUGUGACGAUGAAAGGAACAUGGUGGCAAUAGGACGAACGACAAUUCCUUUGUCUAAGAAUGACAUCUAGAAGAAAUCUCAGACAAAAUAGAACAUGAAUGGCUUGUCAGUACAACGAAAAUACUGAAACAUGCACCCUUGAAUAUGAAACAUUUAUAUGUAAGAGGAAGGGCUAAAAAACUAAUUUCUCGUGCCUAAUGAUUUUAUUGAGAAUUUUAAGGCGAGACUUAUGGAAAAGGGUUAUACCCAAAAAAAGGAGAGAUUAUUUCGAUACUUAUUAACUUGUUGCCCUUCUAAUGACCAUACAUGUGUUACUUUUUUGGUUGCCUCGCAUGGUCUUAUCGUUCAUCUGAUGAAUGUUAAGACUUCUUUCCUAAAUGGAGAGCUUAAGGAACAGAUCUACAUUGACUAGCUUGGUGGUUUUAUAUCAAAUGAUAAAGAGAAAAAGGUGUUUAAAAUAUUACAAUUGUUUGGUUUAAAACAAGCACUAAAGCACAUAAGAAAUUUGGUAAAGUUCUGACUUUGGCUAAAUUUGUUGUAAAUGAAACUGAUAAAUGUGUCCAUUACCGAUUUGACAGGGGCGAAGGUAUGACCCUUUUUAUAUGUGGACAAAAUAUUAACCUUUUGUAACGAUGUUAAUAUGAUCGAGGAAGUAAAGUACUUUUUGUCUAGUAACUUUGAAAUAAACAAUCUGGGAGAGGCUAAUGUUGUUCUUAACAAAGAGAUAUUGAGAGAAGAAGGAAAUACGGAGUUACUCUUGUGCAAUCCUAUUAGGUUGAAAAGUCGCCGAGUCACUUUGGAUAUAGUGAUUACACGUCUCGUCCAACAACUUAUGAUCCAAGCGUGCUAUUAUGGAAAAAUCAUAUUAUCGCAUAUGAUCAAUUGAGAUACUGUCAAAUCAUGGUCUUCUCAUAUAUUUGGCUAGCCCAGCGAUGUCUGAUAUCUCAUUUGUUAUGAGCAAACUCAGUCAGUUUGUAUCCAAUCUAGGGGAGGAUCAUGGUAUGCCCUAGAGAGGGUAUUGCACUUUCUCAAAGGGACUAUGAGUAAUGGCAUUUAUUACACUAGGCACCUAAGAGUACUAGAGUGUUAUAGUGAUGCAAAUAGGAUAUCUGAUGUUGAUUAGGUUUAAGCCACAAGUAGACUUGUGUGCUUUCUUGGAGGUGUGAUUGUUUCAUGGAAGUCUUGUAAGUAGACCAUCUUAACAAGGUCAACAAUAGAAGUAGAACUCACAAUAUUAGAUACUACCAAAGUUGAAGUUGAGUGGCUCCAUGAACUCCUUAUGGAUUUAGCAGUAGUUGAAAAAUCAAUACUGGUUAUCUCUAUGAGAUACAAUAAUCAAACAUUUGUAAUCAAAGUAAAUAGUCCUAAAGUUAACAUGAUGUCUACAAAGCACGUAAAAUGGUUGAAACUGUUAAAACACUAAGAAACUCUAGAUUAAUUAUGUUGGACUAUAUCCAUACAUCUAAGAAUUUGGUAUGCCACUUUAUAGAAGAUUUGUCACAUAAUAUGAUUCAAGGUGCAUCGAGGAAUAUAGGCUUGAGACCCACUUAAUGUCAAUCCAUAGUGGUAGCAUUUUCUAUGUGAUUGGAGAUCUCAUGAAGUAGAAUGGUGAAACAAGGUAGAGAAUGACUGAUGGAGAGACUCCUUAAAUAAAAUCUUGGUAAUUUGAGAUGCACAUUUCUCAUUUGAUGUAUUGUAGGCGAACUAAAAUCUUAAUAUAAUUUGAGUGACUUAUCUAAGUAGGGAUGUUAUCUUACAGAACAUCCUAGAAAGAACACACCUAUAUGAGUUUGAAUGUUAGUCAUAGUCUAUCAUGUGUGGGUAAUCUUUAUAUACUCAUGAAAGGCCUCGAAGUUUGACUUAUACAGUUCAAACCAAGGGGGUGCUUGUAACAGUCUAGUACCAGAUAAGAACUUUGGUGAUACUCACUUAACACAAAAAUGUCAAUUCAAGGCAUAGUUCAUUGUUUAGAUGUGAAUGUGUAAUCCCUAUUUUAGAUGGAUGGUCAACUUAACAGCCUCCACCAAAACCCUGAUAUCUCAAAGAGUAGUGGAUUUGAGUUUGUCUAAUAUGUGGCUUAGAAUUUGGUGGGGAUUGUUAAUAUUUUAUGGGCUUGGCCCAUUUAAAGUAUUUAAUACUUUUGAAAGCCAAGAUUAAACAAACUAUGUAUGAUCCUUUAUCACUGUAUAGAUGGUUGAUGGGAUGGUUACAUUGUUUAUAUAGAUGGACCUAUCUGUAUUCAUUGAGUGGUUGAGAAAAAGGUAAAGGCGCGUCACACCCACGUGUGUGCCACCUCCACCGAGACGAUGUGUGGCGUGGCAAGGUGAGGCAUGGCAUGGUGCAGCACGGUUGCAGUCAUGGUCGUGGCGCGGUGUAGCGUUGUUGUGGAUAGAUAGAUAAACUAUUGUUGUAGUUAGAGCACAUGAGUUUUUGAAUGUAACACUAGAAUCUUCGCAUGUUAACUUAAUUAAGAACUUAUAUCUUGAUGACAUAGAGUUACCUGACCAUUGAUCUCACAUGCCCGUUUAGCUCUCUCGUUCUCUGGUAUCACCCUGUCUAUUUAGGUCUCCUUACUCGCCAAUAUAAACAUCAUCCUAUCAUUUGCUCUCGAUUCACUUCUGUCACUACUCAACUGUCAGAUGUGUGGCAGAACCUCCCAAGUUAUUGGGCCCACAUGCACCUGCCCUUGUCUCAAAGACCUCAGACGACUAUGCAUGUGCACCAGAUAACUUAACAGGAUCCGUCUGAGUGUCCCAAGGACCCCGGAUAAACCACUUACAACCAGGACCACAAGAUUAAGUAAACACAAAUCACACACUAACGUUUAGCAGCGGAAUUUCUUUAUUACAAAAAACUUACAAGUUACACCAAAUUUACAUUAUGUUUAUCGGAGUGGUUACAAAAGUGUUUCAAAGGAAUAAACUUUGAAGUGUUAUAAAUUAUUUAUAAGUUUGAAAUAUAUGCUAGCUUAGUGACAAUCCUCAACAAGAAGUAUAAUAGAGGUACUUAGACUUAUAAGAAGGUCGUGCCCACCGGCGGUUAACACCAUCCAUAGCAGCACAAACCUAGUACCUGCAACAACAUGGGUUCGAAAACCCUUAGUACGAAGUGUACGUUCGCAAGUCUUACCCGUCUAAGGAAAAAGACUCUCAAGGAUAUGCUGGCUAUUGGGAAUCAAGGUAAAGCUUAUCAAGAAUCAAAGAUUGUUUGCAGAAAAGCUUACUAUAAGUGAAUCCUUAAAAAAUCAUUUUACUUGUCAGGUUAAGUAAAGUUACCUGCAUCUAGAGUUCUUUCUAUCCUAGUUCAAUCACUUGGCCUAUACUAGCUGUCUUUUUAUCAUCCCAUCAGUUCACUGGAUUGCUACGUGUAAGUCAGUGACCAAGUCUUCAUGUCCGAGAAGUAACGGCGAUCCGAAUCGAUUAAUACUCAGCUAAGGAUCUCUAAUCACACGACAUAUGUAGCACUUAACCCUUGCAUAUGUCAACUCGCCACUGGGUUUCUCAAGACCAGACCGGGUUCACGCUAACCGAGAGCACAGAUACACCACCGUCCAGCCUCUUGCCACGGAGGAUACACACUACUCUCGCCAUCUCUCCACUCCCAUUGCGUGUUGGCCUUUCUGGUAUUGGUCUGCCCGAGGCAAAGCUUACCCAUGACGAGGCAUGUGACUAGUUAAAGGGUCCUCGGUCAGCAGACCCACAUCGGUACGGUCCUUAAUCGACUCAGAUGGAGACACUACACCGAGACUCCCUUCUUGUGCAAGUCAACUGCCCGGUCUCAGCUUUAUUAUUUAAAACCCAAAGUUUGGUACUUGGCAGAAGUACAUCUUUUCAGAUGUUGAACCCAUCAAGGCCCUGAUGGAUCCACCAUCAUAAGUUUUUCUUUGUAAAAAUUCCCAUCCAAUCUGAAGCAUCACCUUUUUUUGUAAAACAAAACAUUUUGUUUCUCUAAAGCAAUGCUAAGCAUCAUAAAAUCCUUUUCAUAAAAGGGAUAUCAAGGGUAAUCAAUUUUUCAAGGAAGAAAAUGCAUCAAUUGUUUAGCACACAACUUCUAUCACCUAAUGCAUCAAACAAGGCGAUAAAGAUUUUAAAACAGCAAGGAGGUGGCAAAUGCACUGGGACUUGCCUAGAUAACACUAGGUUAGUGUUGUUAGGUGGCAACCAGCCUUUUGUGUUGGCACUUAUUCAGUCUGCCAUCUUCAGGUUGAUCCCCCAGCAUCACCUUGGGGAGAAGCCCACGCUUAACAUCAUCUUGUGGUCGACUCAGCUCUGGUCCUCCAUAUCACGUGAUCAACUAGCGUACCUCAUAAGAUGCACGAUGCACAUGUAUGAGUAUCAAGACGAAUAUCGCAAGAUAAUAUUACGAUUUUACAGAAUGAAGAAUUAAACACUUAAUGGUAAAGCAUCACGACAUUUCAUAGGCAACCCGCAUGGAUCUAACGAUAUCACACAACGUAAUAUAACUAAACAAUUCAAAUCCGCGAGGACGACGACGAAUCCAGUCCGAGCAAUCCACCGAAUACUCGAUGAACGUCGCAUGGAUCUUACUUCAUCAAAGCAAAGGUCACCACAAAAACAUAACCUUAACAGUCUAACGUAUUUAUACAAUCUUAGUACAUAGUUUCUUAGAUUUCGAUUAAAAUCGGCUCACCGACACUACUCGUUUCCAAAUAAUUUUAAGCUACGACCCACAUUUAUCCCCCGAAUAUCGACUUAAGUGAUCAGCAUUCGUCUAUGACACCUAGCCGAUUAACAACAUAAUACGGCACUAUUAAAGCAAAUCACUACUUCACCACUACUAUUCAAGUAGAAACUAUUGGCUGGCUGAUUAAAAUCCCAAACCUAUUUUACAUGUUAUGAACUAGCCAAAAUAUAACAUAUAUAUCUAUCAAUAUCUUCAACAUAAUUAACACCCCAAGCCUAUGCUUCAUCACACAAAGACGAAGUGUCAACUCUACAUUUAUGAGCAUCGCCACAUACUACAUGUGAUACAUUUUAACAAUCAUUUAAUAUAACCACACGCACCUGUGCAACUAACAAAAGAAUUCGUCGUGACCAACAAACUAACUCAAUCUACUCCAUGAGUCGGCUAGCGGGAGUAGUGAAAUAGCUCACCACACCAUAAACGACUCGGAUCUGCGAAAUCGACGAUGAAUCCUAGCUCAAGCAUUUCAUUAGACAUUUGGCAAGUGUUGCGUUGAACUACGGUUUCUUUUCCGCACAAAACCCUGGGAUUGCUUUCCUUAAAUCAGGCGCCCAAACUCACGACAUCGACCAAUUCACGGGUACGCAUGGAACAGUGGCGACAACGAGUCAAUGAUAGUUGACCAAACUUUACAUUACCUCGAGCAGUUGGCGAAUGCUGCGGCACGGAAGCAGUAGCGUGCGCAUAAAGGCAGUGAAUGUGGCGAGGGCCCGGUUUGGACAUUUCGUUGAGCGCCUAGCUUGUACCGACGGCGCAGGUGCUGGGCCGAGAGACAACGACAAAAUCCGAUUAUCUAUACUACCUAUUAAGGCUCUAAGGGGUAGGCUGCCUCUGCUUGUUCUGCCUUCCGACGAUCUCAACCGUCCAAUACGCUCUAGAGUCUCUCAGCCGUCCGAUGCGCGCACUCUCACCCCCCACGCAUCGCCCCGCCCCCACCCGAUCGUCCAACCGUGCGCUACCCUAGCUUUGCCUCUACACUCCUCCCGCCGCCUCCUACCCUCCUCCGCGCGACGGCGCGAGCCGCAGCCGGCCCCCGCUCGAGUUGUCCACGAAUCCCACCGCUUGACGCCGUCCAUGCCGCGCCGCACGCCCGCAACCGCCCGCGAAUCCCGCCGCGACCCGCACGCCGUCCCUACGCCCGCCGCUAAACCCCCGUCGUGAAAUGCCCGCACGCACACCUGCUAGCCGCUGCGCACGCCCGCCGCGCGAUGCCGUCCAUGCCGCACCGCACGCCCGCAACGGCCGCCUCCCUACGCGCUUGGGAACCGCCCGCACAGCCCGCCGCGACCCGCACGCCCACGCGCCCAAAUCCCGUCAUGGUCUAGGGCUUCCCCACAACGCCCUCCUUCCCUGCGGCCGUAGAGGCUCCCGCGGCCCCCGUGGCGUGCGCCAGGUGCGGCGCGGACGGGUGCACGGCGGCCGGCUGCUGCGAGCUCGUCGCCGGGUCCAGCAGCGACAGCGACGACGCAGGGUGCUUCGGGACCCGCACCAACGGCGGCGGCCUAGGCCUAGGCCUAGGCGCGGGCAAGCGGAGAGGGAGGGGAGGGGGAGGAAGGUGAGCCAGUACAGGGGCGUGCGGUCCAAUUUUUGGGUAAAUUUCUGGGUCUUCAUCGUGUAUUUUAUGGUUCGUUGAUGGGUUUCCUGAUGGUUGAUGCACGCCUGCUUGGUGGAGGCGGGAAUGGUGAUCGAUGAUUCGUUGGGUGGGUGGGGGGACUGGCUGACAGCUGACAGCUGACUGUGUAUUGUGGUUUGGAUGGCAGGUUUAGCGUCAGUAAUAGCUAGGAUUAGGGUUCAGGCGAUGCUAAGAUUUUGGGGCGCCAAUUGCAGAAUCACUGGAUUGAUUCAUCUUUUAGGGGUUUCCUCGUACUCGGAGUACGAGGGCACCGUUUUAGUUGAAUGUUGCUCUGGUGUCUAAGCGCCAGGUAGUCAAUUUUGCAGUUUCAGUUGGGGAUUGUACGCUGGCAUCAGUUUUUACCUUCUACUCGUUUCAUCUCUUAACAACUUUGUGGUUUGCAGUGGGCACAACAAUUUGUUGCUGCAAACUCUUGUGCUCCGUGGGGCGUGGGCUGUGCAGCAGUUGUGCAGUUUAAUUGUUCUGUUUAUCAUAAUACACAAGGAGUUAGUGUUUGAGCAGAUGUCAAGAUGUUAAUUGUUUAGCAGAUCUCUAGAGGUAAGGGGUUUAUUUAUUUGUUUUUGUUGAACAUAGGGUUUAAGCAGGUCUAAGACUUCAGAUUUUGUGUGGUGACAGUCUUAGGGAUUGCUAAUUUGCUACUAAGAUCGGGAUGCCCACAAUUGUAAUUGUUUUUCGAUCAGAUACUGUUGGUUUUGCAUGGUCCUUGUAUGAGGAUUACUUCUCUAUGACAUUUUUUCUUCUGCAGAAUAAUCUGUCCUUGAAAUAGUGGUGAUAUGUAUUUCUUUUCAGUGCUGUUUUUGUAACUGUGUGAUGGUUAAUCCAUUGGAUUCAUAUGUUCUUGUGUGUCAUAUUUAGGUUGUGUUGGAGGAAUUUAAAACCCUAGCCUAUUGAGUGAGCUGAGUCCUGAGUGUUACAUGUAUUAGAAUUAGGCUCAUAACACUUGUCAUGGCUAGAAAAUUUAGAUCCAGUCUAAAGUUUUUAUUACGGAUCUCACUACUCUAGCAUGGGAAUCGUUCUUCAUUACAUGCUUAGGCUCGAGCCAUUUACAUCUCUGUAUCUAAAUUUUCAGGUUGUCAUUUUGCUCAUAGCUAUCACUGUUUCCUUAAAAUUCGAGCACAUAGCUAUUAUUUUCAAAACAUUAUUCAUGAAUUUGUCAAAACAUAAUUUCUCUUGUUGUAUUUCACCACAGUUCAAAAUAAGGGAUCUUAUCAUAUUAUUUACAUUUAUGUCUGUCUGACACUUGUGCAGGGUGGCAAGUUUGACCAUGCAGAUCAUUUGUUCCAAAGCAUUGAGAGCGCUUACAUAAAUAGCUUAUCAAAUACAAGUGACGUCAAAGAGCUUAUUCCAGAAUUCUUUUACAUGCCCGAGUUUCUUGAAAAUUCAAAUUCAUAUCAUCUUGGUGUCAAGCAGGAUGGGGAACCUAUAGGCGAUGUUGCUCUCCCUCCAUGGGCAAAGGUAACAGUUCCUCUUGAUGUUAGUUAUAUUUGUAAUAAUAGUUUUCUUGAGGAUGGAUUGUUUGUCUACCAGGAUAGUUCUGUUGCUUUUCUAAUGACAGUUAAUUUAGCUUUACAACUGUGUUAGUAAAAACCUUACUAUUCUCAGAUACACAGGGUAUAUCUAGCUUUCACAUACAUGUUACAUUUCCUAUCCCAUCUAUCAACUACAGACGGCAAGAAGUUUGUUGACUGCUUGAAGGAUCAGAAUAUCAUGCCUGGCAUCAAGGUUGACAAGGUAUGCAUGCCAUGAUCUUAUAACAUCAUGUUAGCCCACAAUUUGCUUCUAUCAUUAUGAUUCUCACUGCCUGAUUGCUUUGGUUUCAUGAAUCAGGGUUUGGUUCCAUUGCCUGGAUCCAACAAUGAAUCAUGGUGCCAAGGUCUUGAUGGUUUGGCUUCAAGGUGUGCUGAGUACUAUAAGCAGGGGGCGCGCUUCGCAAAGUGGUCUGUUCAUACUUCCCUUAUUCAUGUGUCAACUAAUCUUAUUUGUGCUUCCUUUCUAAAGUUGCUAUGAUUAUCGAUCUUCUCUAGGAGGACUGUUGCUAGCAUCCCUUGUGGUCCAUCUUCAUUAGCAGUCAAGGAAGCAGCAUGGGGACUUGCUCGAUAUGCUGCUAUUGCUCAGGUAACAAAAUAAACUGCAACUGUGGAAACAUCUUGCAAUAAUUUUUUGAUGACUCAUGGAGCUUUGGUGAAGAACCUAUCUGCAUUCGUAUGGGCACGCAUUAGUCGUGCUGCAGUUACUGUGGAUAGAAAGACGUAUUUUAAUGGGGCUCAGGAUUUGUUUGUUGUUCAACCUGAGGUGUUUAUAAACAUCUAAUACCCCCUGUUCCAAACUAUACUAUGUUUUGACUUUUAUAGAUUCAUAGCUUUGUUGUGUUCUUAGAUAUACACUAUGUCUAUAAUAGUAUAAUCUAUAUAUAUAUCUAUACUACCUAUUAAGGCUCUAAGGGGUAGGCUGCCUCUGUUUGGUUCUGCCUUCCGACGAUCUCAACCGUCCAAUACACUUUAGAGUCUCUCAGCCGUCCGAUGCGCACGCUCUCACCCCCACGCAUCGCCCCGCCCCCAGAUCCCGCAUCCCCCACGGAUCCCGCAGCCGCGCCGCUGUCGCUCCCUCCCGUGCUCCCUUCGCGCCCGCCCAUGGAUCUCCGACAUCGAGCGCUGCCGCCGCUGCCUCGCCUCGGCAAACCCGGCUCCAGGGCGACAGCUCCCGCCGGUGGGACCUCGUGUUCAGCGUCGUGAAGCCGUCCGUGAUCCAGCUGCGGGGGCCCACCAAGGUCAGUGUCUUCAUCGCCAGCAACGACGGCAGCGCUCGCUCCCUCCGUACCAUCCAAUGGCCCGCGUUCGUCCCCUGCCCCGGCAACCCAGCUUAACCCUAGCUCGCUCCCUCCGUAGCCGCCUCUUCCUGCUUCGCUCCUCUCGCGUAGCAACCGCUCCCUCCACUCCCGAGAUCGUGGCCCGACGCCAUGCCGCUCCCGAGACCGCGCCACAAAGCCGCGGAACGUCCUCACCGAUGCACCGACGCGCCCCCGAGCCUGCUUCCCGACGCCACCCUCACACAACCUGCCCCCUGUCACCCUCUGGACGGGACGACACAGGUCUGGAGAAGGGUCCAGAAACCGGCGCGAGUCCACCGCGAAUCCACACGAUCGAUGUCGUCCUCCCGCUCGUUUCGCCGUCGACCUUUCUCCAGUGGUUGAGUGCGACAGGGUUGGUGGCUAGGUCGUGCGAUGGCGAAAUCGAGUCCAGAGUAGCAGAGCAAGGCUGGUCCCAGCGGGCUGCCGGUGUUGUGACCUGCGUGCGUGGUCGUACGCCUGGCCGUUGUGCCGCUAGCUGCGGCGGGCGGGUGGCUGGCGGCGUCGCAUGGCGGACCCAACGCCCAUACAACCUCCAGGGAUUGCUUCCUCCCCAUGGCGUGGAUCUAGAUGGUCUUCACGGCAGAGGAGGAAGAGGUGUCACAGCAGCUUCCGAAGACAUCGUCGACGUCCCUUACCACCUCGAUUGGCGAUGGCAUCGACAGCCCCCAGCCACUGCCCGCGCUAACGGUGGCGUGGACCUCACUGUCUUCAAGCAGUUCGAGCGGAUGGUGUGUUGGCUUCUGCAUGCUUCGUGUUUUCGAAUACGUUGCUAAGCUCAGCAUUGGUUGGUGAUGGUUUUGGUUUGCCAUCUUAAAGAAUCCUGAGCCUGCCAAUGGCGACGACGAUGGAGCUUUGUCACUGCCAGAGACAGGAUUGGGGCUUAGCUUGAAUACUGACGGGGUGCUCAAGGCGUGGUGUGCAGAGGCUCUGCGUUUGCUGAUGGCAAUGGGCCUGACUUGCCAUUGUCCCCUGCUCAUGUGGUAGUAAGUAUUUCCAGCUUAUCUAAAAAUUAUAAAAGAUCUUACAUUUCCAGUUAACAAUUAAAGAUGGCUAGAGCUCUUGGAACCCUGAGUUAUACCUGCUAUUAGUUCAUAUCGUCUGGUAAGUAGAAUCUAUUUCACUUCAGUAGAAGUACAGAUCGUCUGUUGUUUUCUAUCAGCAGUGAUCAGAAAAACUUGGCAUGCAUUACUUUGUUUCGGUCCCUUCGCAUUUCUUGUCAAUGGCAGAUUUCUCCCAGAAGAAAAUCUGUGUCUGAAAUUUGCUAAUAUGAAAUAGUACAGUAUGCCCACCAGUACUUGACUUUACUGACUCAAUGGGCCAGGCAGAAGGAAAUUCCAAUUGGUUGUUUUCUUUGAGUUGAAUCAUUAUAACAAACUUAGCCCUCAUUAUGAUGUAUCUGCAGUUUUUGAAUUCAAUUGAAGUAAAAGGAAAUAUCAUAGUUUGGUCCUUUCGUGAAAUUUUUUUGUCCAAUUUUUUGUCCUUGUAGGUUUUUACGUUGCAUUAGAAAACAUUGUAGGCAACUGAUUUUCUAACAUGUCCCUAUCAGAACUUCCUCCGAGACCAUUUCUUGAGAUCUUGGCACGAGAACUACGACGACGACGACUGGUAAUGUGAUUCUUGCGCCUUCGUUUUUCCCCUGUUUAGACUUUAGAGUGAAUUAGUAUCAUUUUGCUUUUUCCUUUCACCUGAUUGGCAGGGUCUUAGAUUAUUCAACAUUGAUAUGAUUAGGGAGCACCCCCCUUGUCAAGCAACUCACACCAUUACAAGAUCUACACGACAUGGCAUCUGCAUCGCCAAGGCCUCGCUCAACUCAGCGCGGUGAGUAGCACAUGAACAAAAGUGCCCUUUUACCAGUUUUUUAUCAGGGUGCAAUUCUGGAAGCUCAUUGUUUCUAUAAAGAAUUCAAGCUCACUGCAGUUUACUUUGUGUAACAGGAAAGGUGCAUCGAUGACAACCCGGUUCUAUUGUAACAAGAUCAGUGUGGUCCUGGUUGCUUGAUGCUUGUUUGGUUUAAUUGUAUAGCAAAAUUAGGUGUUGACUGCCGAUACCUGGAGAUGUGACACCGCCAGAUGUGUCGCUCAGGCCAGUCACACUGCUCUGCUGUUUUUCAAAGAACAACCUCUUGCUGCGUCAUCAAGGGGUAGACCAGUCUCUGAUGAUUCGUGUAAGAAUCCUUGGGAGAAAGCAAGUGGUCCUGGAAAUGUUACCAGGACAUCUCUGGCCCCACAAGGGCUGCAAGCACAAGUAGGUAUUUAUGUGUUUCACUGAGGAGUGCUACUCAUACCCACGAUGGGAUUUUUUAACCUUAGUCUAAAAUUCGCUCCCAUGGGCAGUCGAACUCAGGACACUGAGGAGUGCUACUCAUACCACAACCAAAACCAAGUCAGCCCUUUCGCUAUACUCUUAAAGGGUUUCUUCAUUUUUUGUUUUCAAUGUUGAUUAUCAUACCUAAAAUGAAAAGAAUGUAGAUUAUGGUCGUAUGGCUGAAAUACUCGUUCGGAGGGCAGGCUCUACUGAUGAAUUCACUCGGUUGACAUCUAUCACAUGGGUAAUUUGUCUUUCAUGUUUUCCUGUGAUCUUAAAACCUAGAAUCUAGACUGCAGAAGCUGGUUUAGUAUUUGUAAGAAUGCUUGACUUAUGACUUAUCCUUUGAAGUGUAGAUCAACGAGUUUGUGAAGCUUGGUGGGGAACAACUUGUUCCCUACUAUGCAGAUAUAUUGGGCGCUGUCUUACCAUGCAUAUCUGACGAGGAGGAGAAAAUCCGAGUGGUACUUUCCCAUCAUGAUUCAUACACUUACUGCAAUGUGAACUGCGUGGUGUGUGCAUGUUCAGGAAUAGCAUUUACUUUAGUUACUGAUUUGUUUGCAAGGUUGCACGCGAAACAAAUGAGGAACUCCGUGCUAUAAAAGCUGAUCCAGCUGAGGGAUUUGAUAUCGGAGCAAUUCUUUCAAUCGCAAAAAGGUUCUCUAUAAAGUCCCUUGGAAAUGAAACUAUGUAGAACUGUUAGGCAUCUAUCUGUAUGCUCUGCCUAUGCUGGUAUUUGAUAAUUAUAUCAACAUGAAAUUUGUGACAAGGCAUUGACCUUUUGUCCUUCAUUUCCAGAGAAUUGAACAGUGAACAUGAGGCCACUCGAAUCGAAGCAUUGCAUUGGUUCUUCACUUUGCUGGAUCGAUAUUGUGCUGAGGUACUAAAAGAGCGAUGGUUUUUGGGCUGCAUUUUGAUAAAUUUCAACAUGUAUCUAAAUGUUUUUAAGCUUUUACAUUGCUGUGAUUUUAUUUUGUCAACUUAGAGUUGGACAUAUGAGAGUUGCAAUUCAUUUAGAUUAACACAAGUCUAUUUGGACCUAUGGUUUAUUUACAUAUUUUCUGGAACAGUUCUUGGCUUACCUGAACGAUAUUUUUGAUCCACUCCUAAAUGCACUUUCUGAUCCUUCGGACGCGGUGAGUUUUCUUUGAAAAGCCUUCCAAACUGCUCUGCUUGUUUCUAGAAUUUGAAACUACAUCCUGUUGUGGGCUGUGAUUAGCUGAUAUUAUAUUGUGCUAUUUGUAUGCGAUGACUUAUAAAGUUAUAGUUUAGUACCAUUUCACAACUCAAUCAAGGUUUGGAUCUAUUUGGAGGGCACAAGCUGCAACUGUUGGGCCUGGUACUGUAGAACCACACCCCAGCACCAUUGGAGUAAUAAUCUUAGAUGAUAAGUUAGAUUCACAUAAUCUCUACUAUAUUUAAAUGGGAAUAAUCUCUCUUCGUGCGUCGCCACGCGUCUCCGCUCCUCCCGCCUGCCUAGCUGAAUUAAUCAAAAAAGGAGAAAAGGAAGAUGGCUCCAGGAUUCAAACCUGGACUGCAAGGACCAAAGCCACGCCCCUUAACCACUGCAUAUAAUGUUCCUUUGUGUUACAGAAGGAUAGAUAUUAUAAUUAAAAGGUAGAUAUUAUCACUACACCUUUAAAGCUUGUGCAAAAAAGAUGCGGGAUGAAAGAUUCGAACCCUGGUCUCUCAAGAAGGGUACAAAGACUUCGCCUGCUAACCAAUACACCUCAUGUUCUGUUAUGUUUUACAAAGGAUCAAUAAUUUUAAUAUAAUAAUACGUAUAAACAGCGCCUGCCCAGGGUGGGUGGUUGCCAUGCUCGUAGCGAUCGGCAGACUGGAUGUUCGCUGUACGUGCAAGGAACAACCUCCAACCUGACCAGUCACAGCAUUGAAGAGAACUGUGACUAUUUCUGCUGGCCCUUGAUGACAGUUCCCCCCCCAGUUAUUUGCUACAAGAAAACCUUUUUUCAGCAGAGUAGCUUUUGGACACCUUGUAUAUGCCUUCAAUUAAAGCGUUUGAAACUCUUUGCAGCCUGCUCACGAGAAAAUCGGUGUCGUUGAUUCCCAAUGGAUUGUACACCAAGUGAUUCCUUCUCUCGGGAACCAGGUAAGGAAGAAAAAAAAGAAACAAAUGUGUACAAUCAGAUUCUACUGUAGCGCCUGAAUAGCAUCUUCCAAAUGCACAGGGGCAGUCGGAGAAUGGGAGGGCGCCAUGGGAAGGGGUAUGAAUCUGACGACUUUGAUAGAUAAUCUCAUGAUGUUUUGUGAGUGUGUGAGGUGCUGUGAAUGAUCUUUAUCUUGGUUGCUGUGUAUGCAGUUAAGAGAGCGUUGCCGGAAAGAGUGGGGGCUUUUCCAGACAAGAAUGGCAGAAGCUGAGAAAGCAUAUUACGAGAUGAUGGGGAUUACACCUCCGAAUGUAAUAUUUGUCUCCUAGGAUAAAAGUUUCAACCCACAUUUUUUUCCUUUGUGUCCAGCAGUGGCUCUUCGAAUAGAGUUAGAUAUUGAUGAAUGGUACAAGUAGAUCAUACGUGACGAUAUAUAUAUAUAUAUAUAUAUAUAGAUCCUUUGAUCCUUCUUCCUGUGUAUUUAUCGUGGGCUGUUCUCACUAGGGUUCUGGUGAAAUGAGAAUGAUAUGUCUGUUCAGUUUAGAGCUUAUAUUCUCUGAACAUGAACAUUCAGAAUCGACAGCAUUGUGCGCACACGAAAAUUCUGCAGAAAACAUUUCAGACGGACAAGGAUGGCCAAAGUAUGACACUUCAUUGUAUACUAGGUGAAUGCCCGUGCGUUGCUACAGAGCGAACAUGUUACAAUAAGAUACAUUAAAAUUCAAAAUACUAAUUACUAUUUUAUGUUCUUAUUAACAUAUUUUAAAAGUUAAGAUAUUUUACAUACCUUAAAAUUCCUACACAUCAAACAAAUCCAUCAUGUGCAGUAAAAUGCAAUAGAGAAGCAUGCAGAUACUGAUGAGGGACGCAGAUUUUUUGGGGACAAAAUGAGGGAGCUGUUGGAGCAUAGAUAAUCACUAGGUAGGGGCUCGUGCGAUGCCACGGAACAUAAAUCUCGAUUUGUAUAUCAGCUAUGCUUCCUGUGAAGCAAGGAAGCGAACGCAAGCCAGCCUUUUGUAUUAGUGCAUUAUGUUCAGUUCUUACUUGAUCAUCCCGUGUUCUCGUGUGUGCCAUUGCCGAGUGGCAAGCUCAACACUGGUAUUGUUGUCUUGUCUCAAAUGAAGUCCGCUUCCACAAGUUAAUCGGAAAUCUUCAUGGGUGAUAGCUGUGUCAGAUUCUUCCGCGCAUAGGGCAAGUAAUGCAAGUGAUAGCUGUGUCAGUUUACCCCCAUUUUUUGGGCAUCUCAAAUGAAGUCCAUUGGAGGUUCGCAAUUUAUGUUCCGUGGCAUCGCACGGGCACCUACCUAGUUAUUGUAGACGAGGAGGACAUGGAAAAUCCUGAGCGAGCACCAGCGUGGAGCUGGGGACCGAGCAGAGGAGGUCUAGGCUAGAGUGGCGCCCAAACACACGACCAUGCAAUCGGUAAGGACUGGGAGCUCAUUUUCGGAUCUGGGCGACAGCGCAGUCCAAGACGGCUAUGACCAGGAACCGAGCUGCAGGACGAGGUCAAACGGAGACCAGAGCUGGCUCACAACGAAGUUGGAGUCGACGACCGGCGACAAAGGAAAUAGGGGGGCGCUCCUCCGACAACUAAAGCCCACGCCGGACCGAGCAGAGAGCGCAGGACCACGGCAAAGUGAGCGCUCCCACGAAAGAACACAACCACACAGACGCGGCCACCGGUGAGGAACCUCGACGUUGAAGCUGGAGUAAGCGAGGGCGUCCGAUCUGCAGAAACUGAGAAGGGGAAAAAUGGAGAAGGGUCGACGGCGUCCUGCGCAGGGAGAAAGCGCGCGCGACCAGGGACUCGGGCAACGCAGUGACUGCGAUCUGUAGACCGGCCCAACAGCGAGGACAAGCAGAGAGGGGCGAGCUGGAGCAGAGGGCAGGGCCGAGCUCGGCGUUGGGGGCGAGUGCCGGCCAUGGAAGAUGAGCAGUCGGCGCUGGGGAGCAGGGAGAUGGGAACUCGAGCUGGGGAAAGGGACUCGGCGACCUCAAUCACCAGGAGGCGCGGCCAAGUGAAAUACGAGCAGGGGCCAGGAGCGCGCGGAGGGAGAGGAAGAAAGCUGAGCGCCAUGGAGACGGGCACGGCAGGGAGGAGCGCCGGCAGAGGAGGAGCUCGGCGCGCAGAGGGGCGAGCCAGGGAGCUCCGGCCGGGCGCAGUCCGAGCAGGGUCUAGGGGCGUGUGGAGGAGAAGCCGGGGAGGAGCGCCGGCGAGCUCGCGGCACCAGGGAGCAGGGCGCGCGGCGAGCAGCAGAUGAUGGAAGUUGCCGCAGGGAGAAGCCAAGGUGAGGGCGCGUGAGGAAGAAGGAAAUUGUGGCUGGGCGUCGAUGGUGAGAAGGGAGGAUAAGGACGGCUGAAGCCCAAGCGGUGGAGAGAUAUUUUUCCUUUUCUCCCUUUUCUUUCUUUUAAUUAGGGAAUACACUGCUAACCGAAUUUAAGAAUUAAACGAGACUAAAAUGGAUCAAUUUAUGAUUUUAGGAUUAAGAUUUUAGGGGGUCUAAAAGAUGUAUAAAAGGAUCAGCCAAAAACGAGAUCGACAACAAUAUUUAGACAGGUUUUGAUGUGGUGAAUACUCCCGGUGUCAAUGAAUUCUUACCCUUUAUUUAUAUUUGAAGAUUUAUAUCGAGACAAGAAACAAAUGGACCAAUCCAAAAUGAUAUGGACGACGAUAUUUGAGACUAUUUGAGACUGCAUUAAUUUAGUUGAAAUCGGAUAAAAAUUUAUCCGAUAUCUAAACAUGGUUGAUUUUAUUAUCUUACAGAGUGUGCUGAAUAAUAAAUUAGAUCAUAACCUCGCGCACGAUUUUUCUCGGACAAUGUGUGAUUCAGAUUAUUUUGCCCCGAACAUUUUUUUGUCGUCGAGUUCUACUUAAUCUGUUUGAGAGGAAAUCGGAGGACUGAACUAAAUUUCCAAAUUCGUAUUCGCUUACUGAUGAAUUUUAAAUAGGCACAUGACUCGCAAACUUUCAGAACAAUUACGUUCCGAAAUUCGCGAAAACUUUAGGAAGAGUCUAAAUAGACAGAAACAUAUACGAUAUUAAAGUCGCGAUAGACAAAAAUGAUUAAAAUUUAGCAUCUAUUUUAUCCAACGCUAUCACGUGUUAAAGUCCGCACUCGUGGUCGAGCAGACAAUAAACACCUGGGGUGUUACAAGAUGAGUACUCCUUUACAACACUUACGUACAUGAGUUCUAUGACAGCAGACCUCUGAAAUGAAUGCCAGCUACAUGUUUAUCUACUUAGAUGAAGGAAGACAAUCACUUUUUGUGAUGUCUCGGCGACAUUACUCCUUACUUCCUCCACUUCUUCCUAGUGUUUCUUUAUUGUGAUUGAGUCGACACAGCGACUACACUGCACUACAACAACCAGUACGACUAUAUCAAUUGGCAAUGUCUCCAUUAGGUUUGAGUCUUAUGAGGGGCUUAAAACUAUGUCACAAUUUAUUUUGUUCAUUUUUAUUAUGUUUAAAUUACAUGUGCACCUUUCUACUGACAUAAAAAAAUUAUCAACUUUCUAGAUUAAAAUGCAACUAAAAGUACCUAAAUUUCUGUCGAUGGGGAUCGAGUGACUCUUUAAACCGAUUAUUACACAAGUUAACCAAACUAAAAUUAACAUUGGUGAAUAGUGCCAUGAUUUUUUUUAGUGCAAAAUAGCACAACAAAGCAACACAUAUGUGGCUAUCGUUACACAUGUGUAAAGGUAAUGCAUCACACCAUUGUCACCCAUGUAUUUGGAAAAUACCAAGAAGAAAAAACAACUUGUUUAUUGUAUUUUAUGGAGAUUGUCUUACUUACAUACAAUUAUUACCCAACAAAGUGGUCACUAAAUGUCAAAACCAACUAGAUACCAGGUGACUUUAUACCUGAUCAAGGUCGGAGGUGACCAAGCGACGGGGAGAGACACCGAAACCGUGGAGACUUCGACUCGAUCUCCGAACGACCGCAGAAUCACAACCGGAGCUAAUUCACACAAUGCGAGGCAGCCGUACUGCAACUCACAAGGCACGAACUAGUGGAUCCCAGAGGAAUCUCUUCACAAGUCCAGGAGAACAAGGAAGAACAGGGGUAGAGUAAACACUCAGCAACUUGGCUGCGGUACUCACUUGGAUUAUCAAAUCAUCAAAUGUUAUCAAAAGUUGUUUUACAUCAUAGACAUAGGGGGUAUUUAUACUAGUGAAAGGGAAAUGUGCCCUUGGGCCAUUUCUAAGUAUUUUGGUGAUUGAGUGCCAACACAAGUGCUUAAAUGUGAAUCUAUGCUCUUGGAUGGACAAAGUGCAAAUCAAGAGUAAAGGUAUGUUUCUAAGCUUUAGUACAUUGGUUUUGUGUACUAAUAUACUUGUCUAAGUGUUAGAAACAGAAAGAAGAAGAAAAGAAAAGAGGUGAAAAAGGCUUGGCUGUGUACAGCCAAGACUGAGCUCAGUCUGGCACACCGGACUGUCCGGUGGUGCACCGGACAGUGUCCGGUGCGCCAGGCUGACUCGGCGUGAAGUGGCCGCUCUCGGGAAUUCGCCGACGGCGUACGGCUAAAAUUCACCGGACUGUCCGGUGUGCACCGGACUGUCCGGUGAACCAACGGUCGGCCGGGCCAACGGUCGGCAGCAGAAUCUGCGCGCGACACGUGGCCAGGCCAACGAUCGGAAGGGGGCACCGGACUGUCCGGUGUGCACCGGACAUGUCCGGUGCACCAACGGCUCCCAGAUCUGCAACGGUCGGCCGCGCCAUUUUAGGAAGGAAAUCGGGCACCGGACAGUGUCCGGUGUGCACCGGACUGUCCGGUGCACCCGACGACAGAAGGCAAGAUUGGCCUUGCAGAUUUUCUCUCAACGGCUCCUAGCUGCCUUGGGGCUAUAAAAGGGACCCCUAGGCGCAUGGAGGAGAGAACCAAGCAACCUUAGAGCAUUCUUGAUCAUCCACACUCAGUCUUUGCGCAUUCGUUUGUCAUUCUCAGUGAUUCGAGCUCCGUUCUAGUGAGAACUUUGAGAUAGUCUUUUGAGCUCGACUCUUGGCCGUGUGUGUGCGCAUUUUGCUGUGGAUUUGUGUGUGUUGCUUCCCCCCUUACUCCGUAUUUCUUUGUGAAUCUCAAGUGUAAGGGCGAGAGGCUCCAAGUUGUGGAGAUUCCUCGCAAACGGGAUAUUGAAAGGCAAAGCAAAACACCGUGGUAUUCAUGUUGGUCUUUGGACCACUUGAGAGGGGUUGAUUGCAACCCUCGUCCGUUGGGACGCCACAACGUGGAGUAGGCAAGCGUUGGUCUUGGCCGAACCACGGGAUAAACCACUGUGUCAUCUCUGUGUUUGAUCUCUUGUGGUAUUGUGUUUUGUUGAGACUCCACUCUAGCCACUUGGCGAUUAUUGUGCUAACACUUAACAAGUUUUUGUGGCUAUAAGUUUAAGUUUCACAGAAUCACCUAUUCACCCCCCCUCUAGGUGCUCUCAAUUGGUAUCGGAGUCGUUCUCUUCACAAAGGGACUAACCGCCCGAAGAGAUGGAUCCUAAAGGGAAGGGAAUCGUGAUCAACGACAAGGAGAAGGAGUCCUUCGUCAACGAGCCAAGGGAUGACAAGUCCAACGACUCGGGCUCGGGCCACAGACGCAAAGAUGGGAAGAAGAAGAAGACAAGACGCAUCAAGGAGAUCGUCUACUACGACAGCGAUGAGUCUACUUCCUCCCAUAAGGACGACGACCACAACGAAUACGAGAGAAAGAAACCGGUCAAUUCGAACUUUUCUUUUGAUUACUCUCGUAUUCCUCAAAGUACUAAUGCUCAUUUAUUAUCUAUUCCACUUGGUAAACCUCCCCAUUUUGAUGGAGAGGACUACGGAUUUUGGAGUCAUAAAAUGCGUAGUCACUUGUUCUCUCUCCAUCCUAGCAUAUGGGAGAUUGUAGAAAGUGGAAUGCACUUUGAUAGUACGGAUAGUCCCAUGUUUAUUAAUGAACAGAUUCAUAAAAAUGCACAAGCUACUACUGUGUUGCUAGCCUCUUUGUGCAGGGACGAGUACCAUAAGGUGAGCGGCUUGGACAAUGCCAAGCAGAUCUGGGACACCCUCAAGAUCUCUCAUGAGGGGAAUGAUGUCACCUUGCUCACCAAGAUGGAGUUGGUGGAGGGCGAGCUUGGACGGUUCGCAAUGAUAAGGGGCGAGGAGCCAACUCAAACAUACAACCGGCUCAAGACCCUUAUCAACAAAAUAAGGAGCUACGGAAGCACGCGAUGGACGGAUCACGACGUCGUCCGCCUAAUGCUAAGGUCCUUUACCGUUCUUGAUCCUCAUUUGGUGAACAAUAUUCGUGAAAAUCCUAGGUACACCAAGAUGUCGCCCGAAGAAGUUCUGGGGAAUUUCGUAAGCGGGCGAAUGAUGAUCAAGGAGGCAAGAUAUGUGGACGAUGCGUUGAACGGUCCUAUUCAUGAGCCUCAACCCAUUGCUCUCAAGGCAACGAGGAACAAGGAGGCGCUACCGAGCAAGGUUGCGCAAGUUGAGGCGACCGGGCUAAAUAAUGAGGAGAUGGCCCUCAUCAUUAAGCGCUUCAAGACGGCGCUUAAAGGUCGCAAGGGACAGCCAAGCAAGACCAAGACAAAGGAGAAGCGCUCGUGCUUCAAAUGUGGUAAGAUCGGUCAUUUCAUUGCUAACUGUCCCGAUAAUGAAAGUGACCAGGAAAAGGGGAACAAAAGGGAGAAGAAGCAUUACAAGAAGGCCAAGGGCGAGGCACAUAUCGGAAAGGAGUGGGAUUCGGAUUGCUCCUCAUCCGACUCCGACAAUGAAGGACUAGCCGCCACUGCCUUCAACAAGUCAUCCCUCUUCCCCAACGAGCGUCACACUUGCCUCAUGGCAAGGGAGAAGAAAGUAAGCACUCAUGAUACUAGUACUUAUGCUUCUUCAAGUGAGGAUGAGUCUAGUGAUGAUGAUGAGACAGAUUACUCAUGCUUAUUCAAGGGAUUAGAUAGAUCUAAAUUAAUAAGAUUAAUGAGUUGAUUGAUGCUUUGAAUGACAAGAAUAGAUUACUAGAAAAACAAGAAGAUCUUUUAUAUGAGGAGCAUGAUAAAUUUGUCAGUGCACAAAAUUCUCUUGCUCUAGAAAUUAAAAGGAAUGAAAUGCUCUCUGGUGAAUUAUCUACUUGUCAUGAAACCAUUUCUACUUUACAAGGUGUUAACAAUGAUUUAAAUGCUAAAUUAGAAGUAGCAAAUAAAUCUAAUUCUUGUGUAGAACAUGUUAUAAUUUGUACUAGGUGUAAAGAUUUUGACAUUGAUGCUUGUAGUGAACACCUAGUUUCAAUUUCCAAAAUUAAUGAUGAAUUAGCUAGUCUUAAUGCUCAACUUAAGACUAGCAAGAAUGAUUUCGAUAAGCUAAAAUUUGCAAGGGAUGCCUACACGAUUGGUAGACACCCCUCAAUUAAGGAUGGACUUGGCUUCAAGAGGGAAGCCAAGAACUUAACAAGCCAUAAGGCUCCCAUCUCCGCCAAGGAGAAAGGGAAGGCCCCUAUGGCAAGUAGUGCUAAAAAGAACCAUGCUUUUAUGUACCAUGAUAAGAGACAAACUAGAAAUGCUUACAGGAGUUACAAUGCUUAUGAUGAUUUUGAUUCUCAUGACAUGUUUGCUUCUAGUUCUUUCUAUGUGCAUGAUAGAAAUGUUGGUAGAAGAAAUGUUGUUCACAAUAUGCCUAGGAGAAAUCUUGUUAAUGUUCCUAGGAGAGUUAAUGAACCUUCUACAAUAUAUCAUGCUUUGAGUGCCUCCUUUGCAAUUUGUAGAAAGGAUAGAAAGGUGAUUGCUAGGAAAUUAGGGGCAAAAUGCAAGGGAGAUAAAACUUGCAUUUGGGUCCCUAAGACAAUUGUGACUAACCUUGUAGGACCCAACAAGAGUUGGGUACCUAAGUCCCAAGCCUAAAUUUGCCUUGCAGGUUUAUGCAUCCGGGGGUUCAAGCUGGAUUAUCGACAGCGGAUGCACAAACCAUAUGACGGGGGAGAAGAAGAUGUUCACCUCCUACGUCAAGAAUAAGGAUUCCCAAGAUUCAAUUAUAUUCGGUGAUGGGAAUCAAGGCAAGGUAAAAGGGUUAGGUAAAAUUGCAAUUUCUAAUGAGCACUCUAUCUCUAAUGUGUUUUUAGUAGAGUCUCUUGGAUAUAAUUUGCUAUCGGUUAGUCAAUUAUGCAAUAUGGGAUAUAACUGUCUAUUUACAAAUGUAGAUGUGUCUGUCUUUAGAAGAAGUGAUGGUUCACUAGCUUUUAAGGGUGUAUUAGACGACAAACUUUAUUUAGUUGAUUUUGCAAAAGAAGAGGCCGGUCUAGAUGCAUGCUUAAUAGCUAAGACUAGCAUGGGCUGGCUGUGGCAUCGCCACUUAGCACAUGUGGAGAUGAAGAACCUUCACAAGCUUCUAAAGGGAGAACACGUGAUAGGUUUGACUAACGUGCAAUUCGAAAAAAGAUAGACCUUGUGCAGCUUGUCAAGCAGGUAAACAAGUGGGAGGAGCACAUCACAGCAAGAAUGUGAUGACCACCUCAAGACCUCUGGAGCUGCUGCAUAUGGACCUGUUCGGACCCGUCGCCUAUCUGAGCAUAGGAGGAAGUAAGUAUGGUCUAGUUAUUGUUGAUGACUUUUCCCGCUUCACUUGGGUGUUCUUUUUGCAGGAUAAGUCUAAAACCCAAGGGACCCUCAAGCGCUUCCUAAAGAGAGCUCAAAAUGAGUUUGAGCUCAAAGUGAAGAAGAUAAGGAGCGACAACGGGUCCGAGUUCAAGAACCUUCAAGUGGAGGAGUUCCUUGAGGAGGAAGGGAUCAAGCACGAGUUCUCCGCUCCCUAUACACCACAACAAAAUGGUGUGGUAGAGAGGAAGAACAAGACGCUAAUCGAUAUGGCGAGGACGAUGCUUGGAGAAUUCAAGACCCCCGAGCGUUUUUGGUCGGAAGCCGUGAACACGGCUUGUCACGCCAUCAACAGGGUCUAUCUUCACCGCCUCCUCAAGAAGACUUCGUAUGAGCUACUAACCGGUAACAAACCCAAUGUAUCUUACUUUCGUGUAUUUGGGAGCAAGUGCUACAUUCUAGUGAAGAAGGGUAGAAAUUCUAAGUUUGCUCCCAAAGCUGUAGAAGGGUUUUUGUUAGGUUAUGACUCAAAUACAAAGGCGUAUAGAGUCUUCAACAAAUCAUCGGGUUUGGUUGAUGUCUCUAGCGACGUUGUAUUUGAUGAGACUAAUGGCUCUCCAAGAGAGCAAGUUGUUGAUCUUGAUGAUGUAGAUGAAGAAGAUGUUCCUACGGCCGCGAUACGCACCAUGACGAUUGGAGAUGUACGGCCUCGGGAACAAUUGGAGCAAGAUCAACCUUCUUCCUCAACAACGGUGCAUCCCCUAACUCAAGACGAUGAACAGGUUCAUCAACAGGAGGCAUGUGAUCAAGGGGGAGCACAAGAUGAUCAUGUGAUGGAGGAAGAAGCGGAACCGGCACCUCCAACCCAAGUUCGAGCAGUAAUUCAAAGGGAUCAUCCCGUCGACCAAAUUUUGGGUGACAUUAGCAAGGGAGUAACUACUCGAUCUCGAUUAGUUAAUUUUUGUGAGCAUUACUCCUUUGUCUCUUCUAUUGAGCCUUUCAGGGUAGAGGAGGCCUUGCUAGAUCCGGACUGGGUGUUGGCCAUGCAAGAGGAGCUCAACAACUUCAAGCGCAAUGAAGUUUGGACACUGGUGCCUCGUCCCAAGCAAAAUGUUGUGGGAACCAAGUGGGUGUUCCGCAACAAACAGGACGAGCACGGGGUGGUGACGAGGAACAAGGCUCGACUUGUGGCAAAAGGUUAUGCCCAAGUCGCAGGUUUGGACUUUGAGGAGACGUUCGCUCCUGUGGCUAGGCUAGAAUCAAUUCGUAUCUUGCUAGCAUAUGCCGCUCACCAUUCUUUCAGGUUGUACCAAAUGGAUGUGAAGAGCGCUUUCCUCAAUGGUCCAAUCAAGGAGGAGGUGUACGUGGAGCAACCCCCUGGCUUCGAGGAUGAACAGUACCCCGACCACGUGUGUAAGCUCUCUAAGGCACUCUAUGGACUUAAGCAAGCCCCAAGAGCAUGGUAUGAAUGCCUUAGAGACUUCUUAAUUGCUAAUGCUUUCAAGGUUGGGAAAGCCGAUCCAACUCUUUUUACUAAGACUUGCGACAGUGAUCUUUUUGUAUGCCAAAUUUAUGUCGAUGACAUAAUAUUUGGUUCUACUAAUAAAAAGUCUUGUGAAGAGUUUAGCAGGGUGAUGACGCAGAAAUUCGAGAUGUCAAUGAUGGGCGAGUUGAACUACUUCCUUGGGUUCCAAGUGAAGCAACUCAAGGACGGCACCUUCAUCUCCCAAACGAAGUACACGCAAGACUUGCUAAAGCGGUUUGGGAUGAAGGACGCCAAGCCCGCAAAGACUCCGAUGGGAACCGACGGACACACCGACCUCAACAAAGGAGGUAAGUCCGUUGAUCAAAAGGCAUACCGGUCAAUGAUAGGGUCAUUACUUUACUUAUGUGCUAGUAGACCGGAUAUUAUGCUUAGCGUAUGUAUGUGUGCUAGAUUUCAAUCCGAUCCUAAGGAGUGUCACUUAGUGGCAGUGAAGCGAAUUCUUAGAUAUUUAGUUGCUACGCCUUGCUUCGGGCUCUGGUAUCCAAAGGGGUCUACCUUUGACUUAAUUGGAUAUUCAGACUCCGACUAUGCUGGAUGUAAGGUCGAUAGGAAGAGUACAUCAGGGACGUGCCAAUUCUUAGGAAGGUCCCUGGUGUCAUGGAACUCUAAGAAACAAACCUCCGUUGCCCUAUCCACCGCUGAGGCAGAGUAUGUUGCCGCAGGACAGUGUUGCGCGCAACUACUUUGGAUGAGGCAAACCCUCCGGGACUUUGGCUACAAUCUGAGCAAAGUCCCACUCCUAUGUGACAAUGAGAGUGCUAUCCGCAUGGCAGAAAAUCCUGUUGAGCACAGCCGCACAAAGCACAUAGACAUCCGGCAUCACUUUCUGAGAGACCACCAGCAAAAGGGUGAUAUCGAAGUGUUUCAUGUUAGCACCGAGAACCAGCUAGCCGAUAUCUUUACCAAGCCUCUAGAUGAGAAGACCUUUUGCAGGCUGCGUAGUGAGCUAAAUGUCUUAGAUUCGCGGAACUUGGAUUGAAUUGUAGCAUACAUGUGCUUAUGCCUUUGAUCAUGUUCAUUCUGCAUUUUGUUGCUUAUUGUGGUGCUCAAGUUGUACAAACAUUCCCUGGACCUCACAAGUCCUUGUGUAAGUGAUGCACAUAUUUAGGGGGAGUUGUGUUACAACUUGACCCUUUGAGACUAACCAUAUGCUUGAGUUUGCUUGAUUUAGUCUCGAAGGAGAAUUGAAAGGGAAAAGGUGGACCUGGACCAUGAAAGACUUCCACUACACUCCGAUGAGAGGGUAACUUAUUCCAAGUUCAUCUCAUGAACUCUUAUUGCCAUUUGCUCUUAAUUGAAGAUUUUGGUGAGGCAAUGGGGUUAUAGGGCCAAGAUUGAUCCCGUUUUGGUGCUUGAUGCCAAAGGGGGAGAAAAUAAAGGCCAAAGCAAUAAAUGGAUCAGCUACCACUUGAGAAAUUUUGAAAAUAGUAAAAUAGAGCUUUUUGUUUUGUCAAAACUCUUGCAUUGUCUCUGUUGUCAAAAGUUGGCCUCUUGUGGGGAGAAGUGUUAAUUAUGGGAAAUAGGGGGAGUUUUUGAAAUCCUUGAUCAAUCUCUUUUGGAAUGACUCUCUUUAUGCUUCAACAUGUGUGUUUGACUUAGAGAUAGAGAUUUGAGUUUGGUUUGCAAAAACAAACCAAGUGGUGGCAAAGGAUGAUCCAUAUAUGCCAAAAUUGAAUCAAAAUAAAUUUGAGUUUUAUUUGAAGUGAUAUUGCACUUGUUCUAGUUGCUUUAUGUUGUGUUGGCAUAAAUCACCAAAAAGGGGGAGAUUGAAAGGGAAAUGUGCCCUUGGGCCAUUUCUAAGUAUUUUGGUGAUUGAGUGCCAACACAAGUGCUUAAAUGUGAAUCUAUGCUCUUGGAUGGACAAAGUGCAAAUCAAGAGUAAAGGUAUGUUUCUAAGCCUUAGUACAUUGGUUUUGUGUACUAAUAUACUUGUCUAAGUGUUAGAAACAGAAAGAAGAAGAAAAGAAAAGAGGUGAAAAAGGCUUGGCUGUGUACAGCCAAGACUGAGCUCAGUCUGGCACACCGGACUGUCCGGUGGUGCACCGGACAGUGUCCGGUGCGCCAGGCUGACUCGGCGUGAAGUGGCCGCUCUCGGGAAUUCGCCGACGGCGUACGGCUAAAAUUCACCGGACUGUCCGGUGUGCAACGGACUGUCCGGUGAACCAACGGUCGGCCGGGCCAACGGUCGGCAGCGGAAUCUGCGCGCGACACGUGGCCAGGCCAACGGUCGGAAGGGGGCACCGGACUGUCCGGUGUGCACCGGACAUGUCCGGUGCACCAACGGCUCCCAGAUCUGCAACGGUCGGCCGCGCCAUUUUAGGAAGGAAAUCGGGCACCGGACAGUGUCCGGUGUGCACCGGACUGUCCGGUGCACCCGACGACAGAAGGCAAGAUUGGCCUUCCAGAUUUGCUCUCAACGGCUCCUAGCUGCCUUGGGGCUAUAAAAGGGACCCCUAGGCGCAUGGAGGAGAGAACCAAGCAACCUUAGAGCAUUCUUGAUCAUCCACACUCAGUCUUUGCACAUUCGUUUGUCAUUCUCAGUGAUUCGAGCUCCGUUCUAGUGAGAACUUUGAGAUAGUCUUUUGAGCUCGACUCUUGGCCGUGUGUGUGCGCAUUUUGCUGUGGAUUUGUGUGUGUUGCUUCCCCCCUUACUCCGUAUUUCUUUGUGAAUCUCAAGUGUAAGGGCGAGAGGCUCCAAGUUGUGGAGAUUCCUCGCAAACGGGAUAUUGAAAGGCAAAGCAAAACACCGUGGUAUUCAAGUUGGUCUUUGGACCACUUGAGAGGGGUUGAUUGCAACCCUCGUCCGUUGGGACGCCACAACGUGGAGUAGGCAAGCGUUGGUCUUGGCCGAACCACGGGAUAAACCACUGUGUCAUCUCUGUGUUUGAUCUCUUGUGGUAUUGUGUUUUGUUGAGACUCCACUCUAGCCACUUGGCGAUUAUUGUGCUAACACUUAACAAGUUUUUGUGGCUAUAAGUUUAAGUUUCACAGGAUCACCUAUUCACCCCCCUCUAGGUGCUCUCAACUAGCUACAACCAGCCUUAGAUAGGUAUAAACACAAAAAUAAGUAUUUUAACGUGCUAAUGUGAAGGGGCCUCUUCGGAAGAUCUCCAGAGCUGAAUUCCGCGUGGCUGUUUGACUUCUUCACAACCUUUAGGGCAUGUACAACCUAGACACUGCUGCACGGUACUCCAAGUAUAAGACACAACUAAAACACAACAUAAUACAGUGGUCAUGUAUAAAACAUGUGUCUUACUAUAUUCAUUGUACCAAUCAGAGCAUUCAAUAAGUUAAAGUGACCAACCAGAUAGUCUCAUGUCUUGAAUAUAGAGCUAAGACACUGUGUCUUCGUUAAGAUACAUGUCUUGAGAUUUUUUACAUUCACCCCCCUAGACACACUCUAAGACACAACUUAAGACACCCAUUGUACAUGCCCUUAGUAUUUUGAUAAUAACUCCUCCUAGGAAUCUCCAAAUGGCGUGGGGCUGGAUGCGUUGGAAAGCUAACUUGAUUUGCUUUCUCACCAUGUAUAGCAUGCUUAAUGAAACUUUGUAGAAUGAUGCAGUUUAAUACUAAAACUUGGUCAUCAAGCAGACUGUUGACCUUAUGACAGUCAGAACUAAAGUAGGUCGGUUACCGUGUUGGGUGAUCCGAUUAAGUCGGUCCUAGAAGCAUUGGAAACUAGACUUCAAUAGCUUUCCAAAAUGUACUUAUUGGCCUUCAUAGCUUUUGGGAAUCAAAAGAUAUGAUUGUUUCUUCUGGAUGGUUCUAUCACGCUAGACUGACUCGAACAUAGUUCUCUCUGAUUCGCCCUUGAUAUGUUUUGUCCUUCCUCUUUGGUGGACCUAAGAAAAAUCAACAUACACAACUUAGGUAGAAUAAAGUUGUCAUUAGUGUUUAAUUUAAAUUCAUAAAGUAGCGCGUGCACCUCUUGUUGUAUCUGUUUCACCCGGCUUCGAGUGAUAGGUCCAGUAAGAAUGGUCGGCAAGGUUGACGAUGCUGGUAUGGUCACAUCACACUCCCCCCUUGAAAAAUGAGUCGUCCUCAACUCUUCCAAUCCAAAGCAAGGAGAGAGGUCGGCCACAUUAAAACUAGAACUCACACCAUAAGUAUCUGACAGAUUAAUUUCAUAAGCAUUUUCGUUGAUCUUGCAAAGCACUUUGAAUGGACCAUCAACUCGUUGUUGUAAUUUGCUUUUGCGUUGUUCAGGAAAUCUUUCUUUGCAUAGAUGUACCCAAACCAUGUCUCCUGGUUCGAACAACAUCUUUCUUCAACCCUUGUUGGCACACUAUUCAUAUUUCUUGGUCAUUUUCUCAAUAUUUGCUCGAGCUUUUUCAUGAAGGUUCUUGAUUAACUCGACUCGCUUGCUAGCGUCAAAGUUUACUCGUUCCUGCACAGGCAAUGACAAAAUAUCUAUGGGAGUUGUGGGUUUGAAGCCAUAUACAAUUUCAAAUGGACAAAAUUUAGUAGUCGAGUCUACAGCUCUGUUGUAUGCAAACUCGACAUGUGGUAGACUUUCUUCAGAGAGUUUUAAAUUUUUCUUGAGGAUAGCUCGCAGCAGCAUUGAUAAUGUUCGGUUUACAACUUCAGUCUAUCAAUCUUUUUGUGGAUGGCACGUUGUAGAGAAUAGUAGUCGUGUUCCAAGUUUUCCCCACAAAGUUUUCCAAAAGUAACUCAAAAAAUUAGUGUCACGAUCAGAAACAAUGGUUCGUGGAAUCCCAUGUAAACGAACAACUUCUUUGAAAAAUAAUUCAGCAAUAUGUGAAGCAUCAUCACUCUUGUGGCUUGGAAUAAAAUGUGCCAUUUUGCUAAAUCAAUCAACCACAACAAAAAUGGAAUCCCUUCCCUACUUUGUUCAUGGUAAACCAAGAACAAAAUCCAUGGAUAUGUCUUCUCAAGGCACACUAGGAAUAGGUAGUGGAGUGUAUAAGCCUAUGAGGGUUUAAACGAGACUUAGCUUUAUGACAUGAUUCACAUCGAAGGACAUGUCGCUCCACAUCCCUUUUCAUUUUAGGCCAAAAGAAAUGAUCGGCAAGCACUUGCUCCGUCUUCUUGGCGCCAAAAUGGCCCAUAAGUCCUCCUGCAUGAGCUUCCUGCAAUAUUAAAAUUCGAACAGAACAUUCUGGAAUGCACAUUUUGUUAGCUCGGAAUAAAAAACCAUCAUUAACAUGAAAUUUUACCCAUCCUCUGCCAUCACAACACUUAGAAUAUGGUUCAACAAAGUUUAAGUCAGUCGGUUAUAAUUCCUUUAUACUUUCUAAUCCAAGAAUUUUAGCAUCGAGUUGUGUUAGCAAAGCAUGUCGUCGAGACAAAGCAUCUGCUACAACAUUAUCUUUUCCUUUCUUAUAUUUGACAAUAUAAGGAAAUGAUUCAAUAAAUUCACACCAUUUUGCAUGCCUUCUAUUUAGUUUUAGAUGUCCUUUAAGAUGUUUUAAUGAUUCAUGGUCUGAAUGUAUCACAAAUUCCUUAGGAAAAAGAUAGUGUCGCCAAGUUUCCAAACUCCGAACAAGAGCAUAUAAUUCUUUAUCAUAAACUGAAUAAUUUAGAGUAAGACCACUUAGCUUUUCACUGAAGUAGCCAAUUGGUCUUUGUUCUUGCAUGAGCAUGCCUCUAAUCCCAAUUCCACUGGCAUCACAUUCUAUUUUAAAUGUCUUACCGAAGUCUGGGAGUGCAAGAACUUGGGCUGUUGUUAACUUCGUCUUUAAUUCUUCAAAUGCCUUCUGUUGUGAUUCUCCCCAUUUGAAAGGUACUUCUUUUUUGGUCAAUUCAUUGAUGGGAGCAGCAACAGUACUGAAGUCUUUUUCAAACCGCUGGUAGAACCCAGCGAGCCCAAGGAAACUUCUCACUUGGCUCACAUUCUGUGGAGGCAUCCAGUCGCGUACAACUUUGAUAUUUUCUUCAUCUACCUCCACACCUUGUCCUGAUACAACAAAUCCAAGAAACACUACCUUGUCGGUGCAAAAGGUGCACUUCUCAAGGUUAGCAUACAAGUUUUGUUCUCGAAGGACAACAAGUACAUAUCAGAUAUGUUCAACAUGUUCAUCAAGGCAUUUACUAUAAAUUAGUAUGUCAUCAAAAUAGACAACAACAAAUUUGCCAAUGAAAGUUCUAAGAACAUGAUUCAUUAUCUCAUAAAUGUACUUGGUGCAUGUUAACUCGAAGGGCAUCACCAACCAUUCAUACAACUCAAAUUUUGUUUUAAAGGUUGUUUUCCAUUCAUCUCCCUCUUUCAUACGAAUAUGAUGAUAGCCACUUCUUAAGUCAAUUUUAGUGAAAAUUAAAGCUGUUGGGUCUAUGCUUCGUCGCCGAAGGUCUUCAAGGGAGAAGCGGCUUUAUAAUGAGUGAGCAGGUAUCUUCGGACUUGUAUCAGAAAGGGAGAAGCUCAAAAGAUACAAAGGUUGACACAGCGCCGAAGCUGUGAAGCAGGAAAGCUUCGGCAUGUUCGCAGAAAAGGGAACCGACUUAAAGAUGAAAAGGCCAUUUAGACCUCGAUAGAGUGCUAUAGAAUUAUCACCAAAUGUAAAGGGCAUGUAUGUAAUUUUGUAUGGGUUGUACCCCGUGCCUAUAAAUAGGUGAACAGUACCCCCGUACUGUUCACGCUGACUUGGCAUUUGCUUUUGCGUCACACUUGUAUUUUCAUCUCCUUCCAAGCCGAAGGUACAUUUAUAAUUCAAUAUUGUUUCUAUUUUUCUAUGAUGAUAUAAUAAAGUGAAAUAAAUGAUGUUAUAUGAUUAUUUGUGUUAUCCUUUAACUUUCAUAUACUUCGUCUUUCAUUAAUGUAUACUGUAAUGAUGAAGGUUUGUCCUUCAUAACCUUCGUCCGGAGAUCGUUAUAUCCUAAGGGAAAUAAUGCCUCAAAGGACGAAGGACUUUAUCGUUUAACAUUUUCUAUGUUGCCUUGUUCUUAACUCAUAGCACUUGAGAACAAGUCCCCAACAUUGGCGCCCACCUCCGGUGAACUCACUUCCACUUUUUUGAGCUGAUGGCUUCGUUCAACGAUCAAGCUGGAGCUGCUUCGGACCCGAAGCUGGUGCUCCCGAUCACAGGUGGCUCGUCCUCAGAGCCAGCUAACAAGAAACAGAAGAAGGAAGCACAGAGAAGGGUACAGCAUGUUGGGGUGCAAGGACCCUUCAUCAAGACAAGAUGGUCUCACAUUCCUAUUACCUUCUCCCAAGAGGACCUUCAGCUCAAAGAUUACCCACACAACGAUGCCAUGGUUAUCUCUUGUGUUAUCAAAGGAUUUCUGGUCCACAAUGUCUUGGUUGACACAGGCAGUGCAGCUGACAUCAUAUUUGCUAAAGCCUUCAGACAAAUGCAAGAGCCAGAAGAUAAGAUUCAUGAUGCUACACAUCCUCUCUGUGGCUUCGGAGGAAGACAGAUUGUAGCACUGGGCAAGAUCACCAUGUUAGUGACCUUCGGAUUCAUCAACAACACUAGAACUGAGCAAGUUGUGUUUGACAUUGUUGACAUGGAAUAUCCUUACAAUGCAAUUAUUGGUCGUGGUACUCUUAAUGCCUUCGAAGCAAUCCUUCAUCCUGCUUAUCUUUGCAUGAAGAUACCUUCGGAUCAGGGACCCGUUGCUAUCCAUGGAAGUCAGGAAGCCGCAAGAAGGGCCGAAGGUAACUGGACUGACUCAAAAGCAAUCCAUAAUAUAGAUGGAGCCGAAGCUUGUGCACAGUACAAAUUCAGAAGGGAGAAAGCAGCUUCAGCAGAUCAGCCGAAGCCUAUGCUCUUAUGUGAGGACAUAGCAGAGCAGAAGGUGCUGUUAGGCUCUCAACUAUCCGAAGAGCAGGAAAAAACCUUGAUAAGAUUUUUGUUCAAUAACAAAGAUGUUUUUGCAUGGUCAGCCAAUGAUCUAUGCGGAGUUAAUAGGGAUGUUAUUGAGCACUCGCUCAAUGUCGAUCCAUCCUUCAGACCCAGAAAGCAAAGGCUUCGGAAAAUGUCAGAUGAUAAGGCCGAAGGUGCUCGCAACGAAGUCAAAAGACUCCUCAGUGCAGGAGUUAUUAGAGAAGUGAAGUACCCAGAAUGGCUGGCUAACACUGUUAUGGUAAAAAAGGCCAAUGGUAAGUGGCGAAUGUGCAUCGAUUUUACAGAUCUUAACAAGGCUUGUCCGAAGGAUGAAUUCCCACUACCAAGGAUAGACUCUUUAGUUGAUGCAGCAGCUUCGUCAGAGCUCAUGAGUCUGUUAGACUGCUAUUCAGGCUAUCACCAAAUUUGGAUGAAGAAGGAAGAUGAGCCGAAGACUAGCUUCAUUACUCCAAGUGGCACAUGUUGCUAUCUUCGGAUGCCUGAGGGGCUCAAAAACGCUGGAGGAAGUUUCAGCCGAAUGACUGUGAAGGUUCUUCAAUCUCAAAUAGGCAGAAAUGUGUUAACUUAUGUUGAUGACAUCAUUGUCAAAAGCACGAAGCAGGAGAAUCAUAUUGCUGAUCUGCAGGAGACCUUCGCCAGUUUCAGGCAAGCUGGCUUGAAGUUAAAUCCAGAAAAAUGUGUCUUCGGAGUGAAGAAGGGGAAAUUUCUUGGAUGCUUGGUUUCAACAAAGGGAAUUGAAGCCAAUCCAAGUAAAAUUGAAGCUAUACUUCGGAUGGAGCCACCAACUACAAAGAAGGGGGCUCAAAGAUUGACAGGAAGGUUGGCAUCUCUCAAUAGAUUCAUAUCCAGAUCAGCAGAGAGAAAUUUACCAUUCUUCGAAGUGCUGAAGUCGGCCGAAGUCUUUCAAUGGGGACCAAUCCAACAGAAGGCUUUCGAAGAACUGAAACAAUAUUUGAUAGAUCUAACAACAUUGACUCCACCAAUGCAAGGGGCUCCUUUAUUGUUAUAUGUGGCAGCUUCGCACUCAGCGGUAAGUGCAGCGCUUGUUCAGGAGAAGCUUGAUGGUCAAGUCAAAAGGCAGGCCCCAAUAUAUUUUGUUUCCGAGGUCCUUAGUUUAUCAAAGAAAAAUUAUACAGAGUUGGAGAAGAUACUGUAUGCUGUCUUGAUGGCCUCCAGGAAGCUUCGGCACUAUUUCCAAGCUUACAACAUAAUUGUUCCUUCGUCACAACCUCUGAAGGAUAUUAUGAGGAACAGAGAAGCUACUGGAAGGAUUGGAAAAUGGGCUGCAGAGCUCAAUGAAUUUUGUAUUGAAUAUGUUCAUAGAUCUUCGAUUCAGUCGCAGGCACUGGCAGACUUUAUUGCUGAUUGGACACCAGGGGCUCAGGAGGAGGAAACAAAUAAAGAUAACGAAGCCUGGAUAGUGUUUUGUGAUGGAUCUUGGGGAACCUUCGGAGCAGGAGCGGCUGCUGUGUUGGUUUCACCUUCCAAAGUCAAAACCUGUUAUGCGACAAAACUUGAUUUUAAUUGCACAAAUAACAUUGCUGAGUACGAAGCAUUGAUUUUAGGUCUUCGGAAAUUAAAAGCAAUGGGAAUCAGAAGGGCCAUACUUAAAACUGAUUCCCAGGUUGUUUCGGGUCAUAUUGACAAAAGUUGUAAGGCUAAGGAUCCGAAGCUUGAAAAAUAUCUGGAUAUGGUUCGAAGAGUCGAAGCCUCCUUCGAAGGGUUUUCUGUCAAGAAUAUCCCUCGAGGACAAAAUGAGCAUGCUGAUCUGCUAGCUAAGUCAGCAGCACAGGGGCUGCCUCUACCUUCGGAUGUAUUCUUUGAAACAAUAAAAGCACCUUCGGUGGAACUCCUUGAAAGAGCAGUUCUUAAUAUAUCUCCUGUUUUUAGUGAAGAUUGGAGAACUGAGAUCAUCUCUUACCUUCAGGGUAAAUUUCUUUCAGAUGACGAAGCUUAUAACAAGAGAAUAGAGGCAAGAGCUCGUCCAUAUGUCAUGAUAGAGGGGGAGUUGUACAAACAUGGAGUUUGUGCUCCGUUGCUCAAAUGCUUAUCCAGAACCGAAGGUAUAGAGUUAAUGAAAGAAAUACAUGCAGGCCUGUGUGGAUCUCACAUCGGAUCUAGGCCGUUACUUGGAAAAAUUUUCCGUCAAGGAUUUUAUUGGCCGAAGGCAGCUUCGGAUGCAGCAGAAUUGGUUCAAAAGUGCGAAGGUUGUCAGAAAUGUGCAAGAGAUCAAAAACGACCUUCGUCCUUGACACAGCUCAUACAACCCACUUGGCCAUUGCAAAGGUGGGGCCUUGACUUGUUAGGUCCGUUACCACCGGCCCAAGGGAACUUGAGAUAUGUUGUGGUAGCUGUGGAAUAUUUUUCUAAAUGGAUUGAGGCGAAGCCUUUAGCCACAAUAACUUCGGCUACCGUCCAAAAGUUUUUCUGGCAGAAUAUUGUUUGUCGUUUCGGGGUGCCAAAGGUUAUCACUGUGGACAAUGGAACACAGUUUGACUCCGAAGCUUUCAGGGAUUUCUGUGACCAAAUUGGUACGAAGAUCCAUUUUGCAUCAGUCAGGCACCCGGAGUCAAAUGGACUCGUUGAAAGAGCCAACGGCAUUAUAAUGACAGGAAUAAUGAAGCUAAUCUUCAAUCAGCCUAGAGGAAAAUGGCCAGAUCAGCUAACCAAAGUGGUGUGGAGCCACAACACGACAACAUCAAGGUCCACAGGCUUCACUCCAUUUAAGUUAUUAUUCGGUGACGAAGCAAUAACUCCAGAGGAAGCUAAAGCCGGAUCAAUAAGGAUAGUAGCUUCGGCAGAAUCAGAUUCCGAAGCUGCUUAUUCUAUAGAAAAAGAUGCUUUAGAAGGGAUCAGACUGCAAGCCGUGGAGAAUAUUAAUAAAUAUCAAGCUGAAACAGUCAAAUGGCGGGAUAGAAAGGUUCGGCUAAAAAAUAUUGAGCCAGGGCACUUGGUACUUCGGAGGGUGGCCAACCCGGAAACAGUGGGCAAAUUGCAGUUGAAAUGGGACGGGCCUUUCUUAGUAGCAUCUUCGUCAAGGCCCGGGUCAUACAGAUUGAAAGAUAUGGACGGCAAUGACAUUCCUAGGUCCUGGAAUGCGGAUGAGCUUCGGCGAUAUUAUGUAUAAUUCGAUGUAAUUUUUCACAUUUUUAUUUUUUCUUUCAUGGCACCCUUUUCCUUUCCAAAGGGGGAGAAAGGUUUUUAAUGGGGCCAGCAUAUGUAAUUUCCUUUUUUAGUCUUAUAAGAGCAAAAUCCCCCAAAGAAUGUAAAUGUAAAAGCUGAGAGUGCACCAUCGAGUGCCGAAAAGUAAAAACGACGAAGCUCCAAAGACGUUCCUAAGGGAAUGCAGAGCUUAUACCGCCUAAGUAAAAGGCGAAGAAGCUCCAAAGACGUUCCUAAGGGAAUGCAGAGCUUAUACCGCCUAAGUAAAAGGCGAAGAAGCUCCAAAGUCGUUCCUAAGGGAAUGCAGAGCUUACAGCGAAAAGUCAACGCUGAUUCCGCCAAAAGUAAAGGCGAAGAAGCUCCAAAGUCGUUCCUAAGGGAAUGCAGAGCUAAGGUGUGAUUGUUUUUAAGAGAAUAAUGGCUAUAAAUAUAGCUUCGGAUACGUGUUUGGCCAUUCAUUUGCACAACACAUUACAUCAUAGCAUUUGCAUUCAUAAACAUUCAUCUAGGCAUAUGUAGGAUAAUCAUCUUCAUCGCAUAAAAUGAUUGCUUCGGCAAGAAGAGAAAAAAGAAAGGGAAAAGAGCUUCGUGCACAAAAAAGAGGGGAAACUGUUGUUUUUAUGAAGGAGAGCUUCGGGAAAAAGGAAAAUGUUGUUUUCUAUGCUUCGUUGCGUACGAAAAGAAGGGAAGGUGUUUUUUUUUGCCUUCGGCUCAAAAAAAAGAAAUUUCGUCCACAUCAAAGCAUUUCUCAUAAAUCAGUGAAAGGUUAAGGAUAUAUUACAAGGUAUGAACAGUAUACAUGGAAGUUUUGUUUACAUUUACAAGAGUUAUCUCAAAAGUUUUUCAAGUACUGUCUGCAGUCUACUAUCUAAAUCUCCAAGGAGCUUCGGCUUCGGUAUUAUUUUGGAUCAUCAGCUUCGGCUUCGUCAUCCUACAUGAAUAAGGUCAUUGGAAGUCAGAAUCAAGUUUAUAGAAAAAGGUAAGCACAAGGUAUGAUUUCUUACUGGAUCAAGGUGGCUACGAGCUUCGUCUCCAGCUUUUUCUCGACCACCUUUUGUCCAUAUCAUUUUUACAAAUCGAUUCGAGAUGCUUCGGGCGAGAUCAGGGAUGUCAUCCAGGAUUGAUGGUGACAAAGUAAAAUUUGGCCUAUUGACAAUUUUCCCAUGAUCACAGCCAGCCUUCAUGAAGGCUGCAGCGGUCCCUCGAGAAGCCACCCAGGCACAGAAGUCACCAUGCCCAGCUAUGACUUCGUCGAGCUCGUCAAUCUCCCCCUCAAUGUGUUCGAAGGUUUUUGGUAGAUCUUCAGCUGAGGGGGUAAAUUUUUCGCUGCUAGCUCCAACCGAGUAAAAAAUCUUUCUUAAUCGUUGAAUGCACUUGUUGCUAAAUUCCAGGCAUUUUUCUUGAAGAUUUGUCAGUAGUUUUCUCAAAUCCGAAUUCUGCUGAGCUUCGGCUUCAAGUUUUUCAUUGAGAUCUUGUUUUUCUCGUUCGAACUGCUCAGACUGGCGGAGAAGCUUCGAGUUUAGUUCUGAUAUUUUUGCUUCAGCUUCCGCCAGUAAGCCUUCGGCUGCCUGGAGCUCAAAGUUCUUUUUCUCAAAAGCAUCUGAUUGCUCUUUUAUUUUGUUUUCCAAAUUUCCGAUUAUAAUUUCAUGCUUUUUAUCUUCAAGAUCUUGCUGCAUUUGCAAGGCUUUGCUCAAUAGCAUGCUCUACAUAAACACAACCUUCGUCAGACAUGUUUUAUUAGAAACAAUAAAAGUUAAGGGACAAGUCAUUUACCUUGAAGUUGGAGUAAAACAAACUACCAACGACAUGUUGUCGUCGAUAGCGGCUGAUAUCUGCUUCUAGCUUCGGGAAUCCAAUACUUUUGGACAGAGUACUAAUAACUUUGGCCCCUGUUUGGUCCCGGAUACACUCUAAUUUCUCGUCAUCAACGCCUCCGAAGAGGAGUGCCCCAGGUUUAUAUCCACAGGAUUGGGCAUACUCUUUAAGCUCUUCUAUUUCAGCUUUUGUUAGAUGUUCUCCAACUAAGUUUUGGAAUGCGAAAGCUUCGUCUUCUGAAGCUUCAUCAGCAAUUUCUUUUCCUUUCUUUGACGCUGCGGUCACAGUCUCUUCGGCAGCAGCGGCAGCUUCUUCUGCAGCCAUGUCUAGCAGCAUUUGGUCAAUAUGUUCAAUUGUGCUCUCUAAAUUCAAAUCUUCAGCUGAGGUAACUUCGGCGACUGCGGCCUCCGAAGGUGCAAUUUCAAUAUCUGCUUCCUCUAAAGCUGCUCGUGUCUUUUGGGCCGAAGCUCUUGGCGGCGUUUUGUCAAUUACCUCUGUCACGGUAAUGAUUCUUUGUUUCCUUGCCUUGAUUGUUUUCUUCGAUUUCUCGGGCUCCUUGUCCUUCUGAAAAAACUUUGUCAGUUGUGGACCCAGUGGACUUAGCUUCGCAGGUAAGGAUUCAGUCAUUACCUUCAGAAUUUCCUCAACAACGGCAGCAGAAGGCGAUGCGGGGGUUUCUUCUGCUUCGGAUAUUUGUUGCUUCGGAGAAGAAGUUUUCCUUUUCUUUGGAAUUUUCUUCUUUAUUGGCUCUUUUUCACCUUCAUCUAAGGCUUCAGUCCCCCUUUUCCUUUUUUGGCCUCCGGCACCUUUGUUCAGAUCUUCGUAGUCUGGGUACUCGAAACCCAAGGCGUCCAAUACUCGAUUUAGCCUUCGUUUCGGUCGAGUGCCGAAGGCUGCGGUCAUCAAUUGAUCUUCUUUUUUCGAAUAAUUGCCAAGUAUCUCGUUGCACAUCACUUCGAUCAUAUCCAGCCACUCUUGGCAAGGAGCUUUAAAGUAUUUCUUAAAUUUGAAGCAGUAAGGCAAACGUACAAGUUCACCUUUUUUCUUUUCCCCCUCCAGUUUCGGCAUUUCCCACUCUUUUACACUAGGGAAAACCUUGAAAGCCAAGAAUUCCUGGACUAGGUCCCUUGUACUGAUAUUCUCUGCAAUUAUUUUGAAUUCAUACAUUGCUUUUUGGGUCGGACCCUCUGGUAACAUGUGGCACUGGGGGCGGGUUUCUCCGAAGGUCAAUUCAAGUGGACUCUGUACAAGCUUUUCCUUAUCGUCAUCAACCUUGACAUAGAACCAUUCCGAUUUCCAUCCUGCUGCCCAUUUGCUUCGGUAGCUGAUCACAGGAUACUUCGUAGUUUUCCGAUAAGCAAAAUUAUAGCAACCAAAAUUCUCAUGUAAUCCAUCUUUUCUAGCCUUUGUCUGAUAGUGCAAUUCGUGAACCCGGCAAAAGCUGUCCGCAAACGGUUCCACCGCCUGGCUUCAAAGUGCCCAGAUAUAAACAUUAAGCCUAACGAUAGCGUUGGGGGUCAGCUGGUGAAAAUAGAUUCCAAAAUUCUUUAAUAUCUCUGCAAUAAUCCCAUGAAGGGGAAUCUUAAUCCAGCCUUUAGGAAACUCUUAAAAAUAACAAUUUCAUCUUUUUCCGGCUUUGGGGUAGUCUCUUCUCCCCCGAAGCGUAAUAGCUUCUUUUGAUUUUCAGUAAAAUAUCCUGACUUUACCAUCUUGGACAAAUCAGCCUUCGAAACAGUAGAUUUCCCGAAGUCCAAAUGACUGGGUUUGCUUGGUGUGGCAAGGUGAUAAUCAUCUUCGGAGUCAGUUUCCUCAGCAUCUUCUCCUUCUGCUUCAGCGAUUGCUUGUUCUGCAUCAUCAAUAGGAGCCUUCUCCGAAGUCACUAGCCCGGAUCAUCGCAUGGCUUCGGAGAUAGGGACAGUCUCCGAAGCAUCAGUUUCGUCCCCCUCACGUUCAACCCUAGCGGUAGAACGGACUCUGGCCAUUUAACUAUGAACUUGUGAAACUUUAAUACUUUUUUCUCCGAAGCAGGCUUCAAGAUGGAGCUUCGUUCAAUUCUGACAAACAAGCUUCGGCGAUGGUUAAGAAUUUUGGCAGCAAAACAGUGCAAAUAGCAGUAAAUGCUGUGGUAACUUCACACCUACUCGUCUGUUUAUAUAGUGCCGCAGGUAAGAAGGCGAAGCGCCAGAAGUUUUACACCAGGCGGGCACCCGCUCGCACUCGCUGAACGGUGGACCACAGAGACCGAACAGUAAUUCUGCAAGGUGGGGCCGCUACGCGCAGGGAGAGUGAAUCGUUUCUCGGCAACGAGCUCAGGGAAGGUGUUUUUUGGACCUUCGGCUCCCCGAAGCUUAAGAGACUUUUUUCACGGAUCAAGCUCGUUACGAAAAACGAUCUAGCACCGCGAAAGGGGCUACUGUUGGGUCUAUGCUUCGUCGCCGAAGGUCUUCAAGGGAGAAGCGGCUUUAUAAUGAGUGAGCAGGUAUCUUCGGACUUGUAUCAGAAAGGGAGAAGCUCAAAAGAUACAAAGGUUGACACAGCGCCGAAGCUGUGAAGCAGGAAAGCUUCGGCAUGUUCGCAGAAAAGGGAACCGACUUAAAGAUGAAAAGGCCAUUUAGACCUCGAUAGAGUGCUAUAGAAUUAUCACCAAAUGUAAAGGGCAUGUAUGUAAUUUUGUAUGGGUUGUACCCCGUGCCUAUAAAUAGGUGAACAGUACCCCCGUACUGUUCACGCUGACUUGGCAUUUGCUUUUGCGUCACACUUGUAUUUUCAUCUCCUUCCAAGCCGAAGGUACAUUUAUAAUUCAAUAUUGUUUCUAUUUUUCUAUGAUGAUAUAAUAAAGUGAAAUAAAUGAUGUUAUAUGAUUAUUUGUGUUAUCCUUUAACUUUCAUAUACUUCGUCUUUCAUUAAUGUAUACUGUAAUGAUGAAGGUUUGUCCUUCAUAACCUUCGUCCGGAGAUCGUUAUAUCCUAAGGGAAAUAAUGCCUCAAAGGACGAAUGACUUUAUCGUUUAACAUUUUCUAUGUUGCCUUGUUCUUAACUCAUAGCACUUGAGAACAAGUCCCCAACAAAAGCAACACUAAGUUCAUCAAGCAUAUCACCUAAUCUAGGAAUUGGAUGUCUAUACCUUACGGUGAUGUUAUUGAUAGCUCGACAAUCCACACACAUUCUCUAAGAUCCAUCUUUCUUAGGAACUAGAAGGACAUAGACAACACAAGGGGAAAGACUUUCUUGUACGUACGCUUUUUUAAUCAAUUCUUCCACUUGUUGCUGAAUCUCCUUUGUUUCUUCUGGGUUGGUGCUAUAGGCAGCACGAUUUGGGAGGGAAGCACCAGACACAAGGUCUAUUUGAUGUUCAAUCCCUCUCUUAGGUGGUAGCCCUAGUGGCACUUCAUCAGGAAGCACAUCCUCAUAUUCCUGUAAUGCAUCAAAGACAAUACUUGGCAAAGUAGAGGGUAAGUUGUUAGUAGAAAGAAGGUUGUCCUUGUACAGGAGCACAAAGAACAUGGCAUUAGGUUCACUCAAUUCUUUUAGAUCCCCCUUCCUAGUCAUCAUGACUAAUCCCUCUUUUCCCGGUGUCUUGGUUAUUGGAGGCUGUGGAGUUUUAUUUGGCUUUGAAAACUCUUCCUUACUAUUUUUGUGGAUCACUCUCAAGUGCUUCUCGCUCUCUCGCUGUUUCUUCUUUAGAUCAUCCUUCAUAAUUUCCUCCGGUGUCAAAGGAAGCAAAGAGAUUCGCUCUCCUUUGUACAAGAAAGACAACUUGUUGGUUCUUCCAAAAAUCUGGACAUCACGAUCAUAUAACCAAGGUCAACCUAGCAGCAAUUGACAUGCUUGCAUAGGGACCACAUCACAUUCCACAUGAUCAUUCUACUUCCCAACAGAAAAAGGAAUAUUCACCACAUGGCUAACACGCAACGCUCCACAAACAUUAAGCCGCUGCAUCUUAUAUGGACUAGGACGACACCUUGAUUUUAAUUCCAAUCUGUCCACCAAUUCUUGACUAGCAAUGUUGUUGCAGCUACCAUUAUCAACAAUGAUGCGACAUAGCUUAUCUUUGACCAUACCUUGGGUAUGGAAAACAUUAUGGCGCUGUCCAUUUUCUUCUCUUUCAGCAGUCACACUUACCACUCGAAGAGAGAUAAAACAGUUAUGAUCUACUUCUGGCUAGAUCUCAUUCUCUUCAUGUUGAAUUUCUUCAUCAAACUUCAGUCCAUCGUCUUCUGGAACACUAUCUGAUUUCCAUUCACCUUUUUAAUUCAACAACAUUGUUCUUCUACUUGGACAUCGAGCAGCAAUGUGCCCACGACCAUGACACUUAUGGCACACAAUUUCUCUUGUAUGGGUAGAAGAAGUAGCGACUAAAGCUUCAGUCGGGUCUGAUGUACUAGCAGCAGGCCGAUGCUUAUUUGCAGGGAAUGAACCUAUAGAAGCCACCAUCUUUGAUGUACUAUUGGAUGGAGAAGACCUAGCUACAUUUCCUUGGGAUGGUCCUCCACCAAAAGAAGCACUGGAUUGUUGUUUGUGCCAUUGGACAACAUUAUAAUGACUUGCAUAAGAUUUUCCACGUGACUCUUGUUGAAAUUUUCUCUCUGUACGCAUUGCUUGAUCAACUAGAUCUUGCAAGGUACGGUAUGGGAACAUCUCGACAAAUCCAGAAAUCUCUUCAUUGAUUCCGCCUAGAAAUCUUGCCAUGGUUGACUCAGGAUCUUCUCUAAUUCGAGUUCGUACUAACAACAACUACAUCUCCUUAAAAUAUUCAUCAACAGAUUUCUUUCCUUGCUUCAAUAAUUGCAAUCGAUUUCGAAGAUCGCGUUGAUAGUUGGAAGGAACAAAUCGCCUCUUCAUCACUCGCUUCAUCUCUUCCCAUGUAUUAAUAUGUCUUAGUCCCAAUCUAAGUUGAUGUUCUUGCAGUUGAUUCCACCAAGUAAGAGCAUAACCAAAAAACUCAACUGGGGACAUGUUCACUCGUUGUUGAUCUAAAAAAUUGUGAAUUCUGAAAAUUUGAUCACACUGCUCAGCCCAAUUAAGAUAUUCAUCUGCACUUUCUUUCCCAGUAAAUUUAGGAAUAUCCAACUUGACUCGGGCAAUAUGGUCUCGGUCAUUUCUAUGACGACGUCCAUGAUAAUGGUCUCUAUUUUCAAAAUUAGCAUGUCGGUGAUGAUGACGCCGACCAAACAUUCCAUCAUUUGCAAAAGGAUUUUCAUCAGAUCCUUCCUCACGAUCAUGGUCUUCAGACUCCUUGUCUUCAAAUCUUACUCGACGUUCGUGUGCAUGACGCCUUCCACACAAAUUAUCGAAAUUAGCGCGGCGACCAUCACCAACCUCUACGGCCAUCGCCGAAGGGAUCGAAUUCAUGGUCAAAACCAGAAUUCUCAUCUCCGGAUUCUUCACGGUUAAAUUCUUCUGGAUCAUGAUGAUGUAGCCUUUGACCUCCUGUCGCAGUCAGACGUUCUUUUGACAUCCUUUCCAUGGCUCCCACGAGUGAGUCGGCCAUCUGAUGCAAUUCAGCCCGAGAGACAGGGGGCUCUCCAUCUCCAUGGUUUCCACCAUGAACACUUGAAUUGGAUCCUACCAUGUUAGAGGGAAGCAAGAGAAAGUAGAAUAUGAAAGUAUUUGUGGAACACUCGAUCUCACCUCUUACUUACUGUUGGGGACUUGUUCUCAAAUGCUAUGAAUUAAGAACAAGGCAACAUAAAAUGUUAAAUAUUAAUGCCCUUCGUCCACUGAAGCAUUAUCUCCCCAAGGAUUUAAUGAACUUCGGACGAAGGCCAUGAGCAAGAUAUCACGAAGAUCAUACCUUCGUGAUUAGAGUUAUAAAACAAUGUAGGAUGAAAUAUAAAAAUAUGAAACAUAAGGGAAUGAUAUAUCAAAAACACAUAAGAUUAUUCACACAUUUUAUUAUACAAACCUAAAUAUUAAAACAUAAUAUUUAGGUACAUUUAUACCUUCGCCUUGGCAGAAAGCAAUAAUUCCAGCGUAAUGUGCCAGCGAUUACAAGAUUGCGUGAACAGUGCAGGGGUACUGUUCACCUAUUUAUAGGCACAAGACGCAGCCUGUGUAUAAUUACAUUUAUACCCUUUACAAUCAACUACAAUAAUGACACAGAAUAUCAUGGGUCUUUAGGUCAUUUCAUCUUUAAGUCGGUUCACCCCUUCGUCUUGAGACAUGUCACUGUGCCGAAGCUUUAUAGGCAAUAGCUUCGGCACUGCUUUUGAGAGGAUCUGCCGAAGGUGUUUCUUUCUUUAGGAUCUUCGGCUAUGAAGCAUACCCCCAACAGUAGCCCUUCGCGGUGCUAGAUCUUUUUUCGUAACGAGCUUGAUCCGUGAAAAAAUCUUUUAGGCUUCGGGAUGCCGAAGAUCCGAAAAACACCUUCCCUGAGCUCGUUGGCGAGAAAUGAUUAAAAUAAUCCAUGCGCGAGGUGGCCCCAUCUUGCAGCAGUUACGCGCACCCUGGUGAUUCACCUUCUCGGACUCUGUGGCCCACCGUUCGGUGAGUGCGGGUGGUUGUUUGUCCGGUGCGGAAGACCUUGACGAUUCACCUUUCCACCUGUGGCACUAUAUAAACAGACGAGUAGGUGUGAAGUUACCACAACAUUCAUUGCUAUUGCGCUGUUUUGCUGCCAAAAUAUUGACUAAAGCCGAAGCUUGCUUACUGCAUCCUCAUCUGAAGCUAUUUGUUUUACUCAAGCUUCGUAACAAGAAAGAGCUUCAACAAAGUUAAAAAUUUCAACUUCAUUCAAAAAACAAGAAAUUCAAUCAUCAGAUGGCCAAAGUACGUUCAACAGCUAGAGUUACUCGCGACGGAGAGGAAGCCGAAGGUGCCAAAAUUGCUCCAAUCUCUAAAGUAAUGAAGCGUUCAGGGCUGGUAGUAUCGGAGGAUGCACCUGCCGCUGAAGCUGAGCAGGCUGAUGCUGAGGAAGUUGAGUCAGAAGAUGAUUACAGCGCAGUGCCAACUAAACCCAGCCACCUGGAGUUUGGGAAAUCCACCAUUUUCGAAGGUGACAUGCCGAAGCUGAUGAAUUUGGGCUAUUUCAGUGAAGCGAAGAAGGAGCUGGUUCAUUUCGGCGGGGAGGAGAUUACUCCGAAGCCAGGAAAGGAUGAAGUAGUGGUCUUCAAAAGCUUCUUUAAAGUUGGUUUAAGAUUUCCUUUAAACAAGAUGAUUGCUGAUGUUUUGAAGAAGUUUGGGAUCUAUCUUCAUCAACUAACUCCUAACACUAUCGUUAGGCUUAGCGUUUAUAUCUGGGCUCUCCGAAGCCAAGGGGUGGAACCAUUUGCCGAAGGCUUCUGCCGACUGCACGAGCUUCAUUAUCAGACCAAGGCUAGAGGAGAUGGGCUGCAUGAAAACUUUGGCUGCUACAAUUUUGCCUAUCGCAAGAGUACAAAAUUUCCAGUGAUCAGCUAUCGUAGCAAGUGGCGAGCUAGCUGGAAGUCUGAGUGGUUUUACGUCAAAGUUGACAAAGAAAAGGAGAAGUUGGUCCAGAAUCUGCUAGAAUUAAUCUUCGGAGAGACCAGACCCCAGUGCAACAUGACACCAGGGAGUCCAAGCCAAAUUGCUCUGGCUGAACUUAGAGUUAUUGUGGAGCAUAUCGGCACUAGGGACUUAGUGCAAGAAUUCUUGGCUUUCAGAGUGUUCCCAACUUUGAAAGAGUGGGACAUGCCGAAGCUUAAGGGAGAAAAGAAGAAGGGGGAACUUAUUCAGUUGCCUUAUCAUUAUAAAUUCAAGAAACAUUUCAAAGUGCCUUGCCAAGAGUGGCUGGACACGAUUGAAGUAAUGUGCAAUGAAAUUCUCGGCAAUUACUCUAAAAAAGAAGAUCAACUAAUGACUGCAUCCUUCGGCACCCACGGUGGGCGCCAAUGUUGGGGACUUGUUCUCAAAUGCUAUGAAUUAAGAACAAGGCAACAUAAAAUGUUAAAUAUUAAUGCCUUUCGUCCACUGAAGCAUUAUCUCCCCAAGGAUUUAAUGAACUUCGGACGAAGGCCAUGAGCAAGAUAUCACGAAGAUCAUACCUUCGUGAUUAGAGUUAUAAAACAAUGUAGGAUGAAAUAUAAAAAAUAUGAAACAUAAGGGAAUGAUAUAUCAAAAACACAUAAGAUUAUUCACAUAUUUUAUUAUACAAACCUAAAUAUUAAAACAUAAUAUUUAGGUACAUUUAUACCUUCGCCUUGGCAGAAAGCAAUAAUUCCAGUGUAAUGUGCCAGCGAUUACAAGAUUGCGUGAACAGUACAGGGGUACUGUUCACCUAUUUAUAGGCACAGGGCGCAGCCUGUGUAUAAUUACAUUUAUACCCUUUACAAUGAACUACAAUAAUGACACAGAAUAUCAUGGGUCUUUAGGUCAUUUCAUCUUCAAGUCGGUUCACCCCUUCGUCUUGAGACAUGUCACUGUGCCGAAGCUUUAUAGGCGAUAGCUUCGGCACUGCUUUUGAGAGGAUCUACCGAAGGUGUUUCUUUCUUUAGGAUCUUCGGCUACGAAGCAUACCCUCAACACUUACCCAAGCUCUUUCCUAAUCUCUAGGGCCGUGAUGGUGCCGGUGUGGCAGCUUCGACAGAGGUGGUAGAGCAGUCGAAAGGAUAACAAGUCAAACGUCCUGGUUCAGGUUUUUUAGUGGAGCUAUAGGAGGCUGAUCAAGGUGGGCUAUGGUACUAUCAACCAAGUGUGUUGAUGUGCUAAAAAGAUAUGAAAUUGUUGCUGGAAAGAUUCUCAUCAAAUCAAUGUAAACUAAAAUUUUCAGCAACACACCGCAACACAAUCCCCUUUCACAAAUUUUUUCACUUCUUCUUUUUUUGACUUCUUUCUCUUCUUCUUUUUUUCUUUCUCUCUUUUUUAUAACACUAAUGGAGUGUCGAGAUCAAAUGCAAUGACACAAUAUGAAUACGACGGUGGUAACUAGCAACUUGAGGAACUUUAAACAACACAAGGUAACAAUACCGCCAAAGGGUUAUAGGUUUUUUGUGUGGCUUUGGACUAUAGGACAAAACAAAAUAUAAGAUGGAUGAAGACUGUGAUAAAUAAGUGGAUGACAGUAAGACCUACCAUGACAACGAAAGCUCUGAUACUAGAUGAUAUGUACCGAGUUAUAUUCGGUACUAGGGUGCCCCAAUCUUCACGACAAUAGGUUGAUAAAUAAGAUGGUUGGGUAUAAAAGUAAUGGAAUAACAAGGUAAAUUUGUUGUAGAACAUCGGGUAACUGACUUUAUACCUGAUCAAGGUCGGAGGUGACCAAGCGACGGGGAGAGAGACACCGAAACCGUGGAGACUUUGACUCGAUCUCUGAACGACCAUAGAAUCACAACCGGAGCUAAUCCACACAAUGCGAGGCAGCCGUACUGGAACUCACAAGGCAUGAACUAGUGGAUCCCAGAGGAGUCUCUUCACAAGUCUAGGAGAACAAGGAAGAACAGGGGUAGAGUAAACACUCAGCAGCUUGGCUGCGGUAAUCACUUGGAUUAUCAAAUCAUCAAAGGUUAUCAAAAGUUGUUUUACAUCAUAGACAUAGGGGGGUAUUUAUACUAGCUACAACCAGCCUUAGAUAGGUAUAAACACGAAAAGAAAGUAUUUUAACGUGCUAAUGUGAAGUGGCCUCUUCGGGAGAUCUCCAGAGCUGAAUUCUGCGUGGCUGUUUGACUUCUACGUAGCCUUCAAUAUUUUGAUAAUAACUUCUCCUAGGAAUCUCUAAAUGGCGUGGGGCUAGAUGCGCUUGAAAGCUAACUUCAUAAGCUUUCUCACCAUAUAUAACAUGCUUAGUGAAACUUCGUAGAAUGAUACAGUUUAAUACUAAAACUUGGUCAUCAAGCAGACUGUUGACUGUCACACCCGGGUUUUAGGGGGCACCAAAACCCGGACGCGAGAUAAUCACCAAGUGUGCUGGGACCAAGUCUCACACAUAUGAUGACUCAUGGUACAUAAACGAAUGUCACAUCUUUAGUAUAUAAUAGGAUUUCUAUACAAAAUAAAUAAAUAAUUACAUCAUAUGGAGACAACUAUCCAACAACCCAAAGUUGAAUGUGAGACGACGGCUUAGACCUCUUACGAAUUCAUCACAACAUCCUCCAUGUGCCUCCUCCUGCGGUAACUGUUCUUGACCUGUGGGGGGUGUGAGACAGCAAGGGUGAGCUCACAUACGUUCAUCGCUCAAUAAGUUGUGGGGAAUAAUGUGCAUGAACUCACCAAAGGUGGGAGCUCAUGUAAAGUGUAAGGCUUACCAAAGAAGAUGGCUAAAGCUGAGCAUUGCUUUUAAAUUUGGUCAAAUUUUAUUACAGUUACUAAGUAUAAGUAGAUACCAACCCAAAUAAGUAAUAGAUCAAAAUUGAUAACAACACCCACGAUGCAAUGCAUAUGACAAAUUAAGUUUAGUUCCAUAAAUUAAUCAUGUGAGUUUCGAGCCGCUCAUGACCGUAAGCACGACUGAUACACCAAUUUUACACUCUGCAGAGGUUGUGCAUAUUUACCCACAAGUUGUGUUAUCCAUCUGUCAAGGGGUUAUGAAUCCCAUACACCUCUACCAAGGAAGUGAGGUAGGGUAACAAUACGAGGCCUUUACAAAGUUCCACUAACUUCAGAAAACCCGCUACAGUUUCUAGGAAGCUCCAAUGCAGGGAUCCCUCACUUGACCAUCAUCGCAGCAAAAUCAACCCAAGGACCUCCCUACACUGACCACUCCCCUACUGCCCUUGCCCCUUUCGGGUAAGAUAGUCCUCCACUAGCUUUCCUAAUUAGUCAGCCAAGGGCGUCCCAUACCACCCUUGUGGUAGCACUGUUUUCCCGGGUGGUUCUCCAUGUUCCAAUUAACAAUAUGAUCUUAUCAUGAACAAUAAUUAAACAACAACAUAAUUGGAACAUGAUUAUAAUGAAACAUUAGUUUCCCAAAACCAAAUAGAGCAAUAGCAAAGAUACCCAAUAAUUCAUCUGUCUACAAGGUGAGGAAUAAACAAUGCUAGGGAAACCUAUUAGGUCCCAUCAAAUUAACCCGAUGCCUGUCACAGUGAUUAGCAAUGAACAUUAUUAGGUAAAAAGGAGUGAUCGAGGGCACAACUUGCCUGGGACUCGAGAUUCCAGGUACCAGGAUGAUCUUCAGAUGACUCGCAACCUCGCGCUAGUCGUAGCAAUACAAACAAACAUAGCAUAGGCAAAAUUAACAUCACACCAAACAUAAUCACAAAUUAAAUAAUAAUGAUCUACACGUCGUAACGAGAUCGUAGGUUCGAGAAUUACUAAAAUCGGAGCUACGGUUUUAAAGAUACGAUUUUCUAAAGAUUUAGGAGUCGGGUACAAAAGAAAUUAAGUACAUGAUUGUAAUUUAUGUUUCAUAACAAAAUAAAGUUACCAGGGGAUAAACAAUAUUAUUAUGGAACUAAUGCAACUGGAAUAAAUCAAAAAGGAGUUAAAAUGCGCAAGUUAUGAAUUUUCUAAGUUUAUUCUAUAUUAUAAAUCAUUUUCUAGAUUUGUAUUUGCUUAAAACAAAAACUAUGGCUGCAGUUACUAAAUCUGAAGUGUACAGGGGCUAUCCCAUAAAUGUCCAGGGCACAAAUAGAAUUAUUUAGCACUGGUAGGGGAUGGCAGGUUAGUUUCAAGAUUUUCCGAGGACUCUUUAGCAAAAGACCCACGACGAAGGGGUAAGAUCACACCUGAGCCGCACGAUCUGAAGUCUAUGGCCCAGAUUAGAUCGCCUACAACUGAAUGGGUAUAGAGCUGUAGCCCUUGGAUCCACGAUCAACGCUCUGGAUUUUAAAGACUUGAAUGGGUUCUCACGCGUCAGAUUUAGAUCGGACGGUGCGCAGCUAUCCAUGAAGGGGUAUCAAGCUUUUCUGACCGCGUGAUCACAAAUUGAUGGUCCAGAUUUAAAGGCACAUACGAUUAUGCAUCUUCUAAUAUGAAUCAUUGAUCAAGCAGUCAACGACUCAGAUCCCAAUCCCUGAAGUUGUACCCGAAGUUCUAAUCCUAGCCCUCCAAAAUGGAUCGCAUGACUCAAUUACCAUCUUCUUCCCUCAAACUACACACACAGCGGCGCACGCCGGUGAACCACCCCAUCACGGCGCAUGGGUACACGAUUCCCAAAUCAAUCUGGUGCUACACGAUGUAGGCCCAUGGGCGAAUCGGUAUAGGGAGUUCUUAUCGUGUCUCGACGCAACAGAGGACGUGACCACGACGCACAGGGGUGUGGUGGCAGCACAAGAGCUCCUAUGAGCAAUCACCACACCAACGCAGCCACCGAGUACCAAAUACCCCACGUGUGUGAUCUUUACCUUCAAGCGAACCUCCCCACCCAAUUGAUCGACACCGAGUUGCAGUGGCGGUGAGAGUAUGCUGCGGCAGCGCUCAUGUUUUCUUCCCCUGUCAAUGGUGUUCGGCGCGGUGACCCAAGCUUUAUAGACACGCAGAGUCUGUGCCAAGACCAGCUACCCACCUAGCGCCAGUUGUGUGGGUGUUGCGCCAAACCCCGAAGAUCGUGGACGGCGGGCGAGAAGGAUCUCGCGGUCUUUUUUGGGAUGCGGCAGUCGUGGCUCUUGAUAGAGGGAAGAAAGACCUGGCGGACGGGGCCCACGCGACAGAUAGAUAGAUCAGGUGCGUGCAUAUGGGUGGCCUACAAGCGGGCCCCGCAGGUAAGUGUGAGGUCCAGAACGGAAGCGCGCGUGUGAGUAGAGUGGGUUGGUGGAAUGGUGAGCCGGAUGGGCCGAGGGGAGAGGAAAUGGGCCCAUGCGUGGUUCUCUGUUUUUCUUUUUCUUUUUAUUCUGUUUUGAAUUUCUUUCUCAAUUUCAAAUUUCAAUACUUAACUUCGAGUUUAAAUUUCCUGCCUUGAAUUUUUAGACUUCCAAUUAUCUAAUACCAUUCUAAUUGUGAAUAUAAACUUGUACAAAAUUUUAAUAUUAUUAUUAUUAAUUCUCCCUCUAUUUUACAAUUCUAAUAGCAACAAAUUACUAUUACUAUUUCUUCUCUCAUCUUCUAUUUUAUAUUUUCAUUGAUAAUUUGAGGUCAAUUUUAUGUUUAAAAUAAAAUGCAUCACAACAAUAUCAUCAACAAGAGAUGUACCUUUCUUUGUUUACUUAUUGGUUACUUAACUAAUUUGGUACCAUUAAUUGUUUAGGAAAGAAGGAAAUGUCCUAAUGAAUUCCAAAGGUUUCAGAAACUCUAGAAACACUAUUAUAGAUAUUUUAUUUCUUUAUUUUAUUAUUUUAUUAUAUUUUUUUCUUCUACCAAUUUUAGGCUUUACAAAUCCUACCCCCUUAACAGAAAUCUCGUCCUCGAGAUUAGUAAGAAAAAGGAUGUAUAACCAUAUUGUCUCAGAACAUAUGCACAAACAAGAAUCUCAGCAUGAUGCAUAGCUUAUUAGCAACACAUAGGGUCAAAUAGACCUUAUUAUUAUUAUUCCUAAAAUAGUAAAAUACUAGCUACUAACUAAAGUAAUAUUUAGGUCUUACAAAUAGUACUCUAAAAGUAUGUAGAUAUAUAUAUUUAUAUAUAUAUAUUUAUUCUAAUCGUGUUGUUCAUUGCCUUCUUCAUCAAUUUCUUCACCUCAACCACCAAUUUCUGCAUGGUUGACCUGCCCCCGAUUGACGGAUAAGGGCUGACUCUUGCCUGCUGAGGCUUGACCCUGCUUCAUCGAAGUCGGAGUAGUAUAAGAAGCCCUGUUGGGACAGUAGUUGGCAUAGUGUCCAAACUGUCCACACUUGAAGCAUGACAUGUUCAGUAUAACACCAGUGUAAAGGAAAAGUGCAAUAUAGAUCAACUCAUGGCACAGUGUGUCCAGAAGAAGGAUAGUGUUGGGGACUUGUUCUCAAAUGCUAUGAAUUAAGAACAAGGCAACAUAAAAUGUUAAAUGUUAAUGUCCUUCGUCCACGAAGCAUUAUUCCCUUGAGGAUAAUGAACCUUGGACGAAGGUUGAUAGCAAUACAAUUACGAAGGUUAAGUCUUCGUAAUUGAAUUUUAAUAGAUUGUAUAAGAUAACAUAAAAUAAAGAAUAUCAAAGGUAAAUGAAUUAUAAACGGAACAUAUUGUAUUUACUUAAUAUAUUGAAUUUUUGAAUACAAUUAUACCUCUGCCUUGGCAAAGAUUGGUUCCUGAAUGAUGUGAUUGCCAAAACCGGAAUCCGUGAACAGUAAGGGAAUACUGUUCACUAUUUAUAGGCACAGGACACAGCCUGUGAGAAAUUACAAUUAUGCCCCUCACAAAGGAUUACAACAGCGACCUAGGCACUUAUGGACUAGAGGGUCAUUCUACUUUUAAGUCGGUUUGUAAUACCGAAGCUUCAUGAAGAGGAACCUUCGGUCAUCUCAUACGAAUAGCUUCAGCCGCAAGCUGCUUCUUCCUACAAGACCUUCGGCGACGAAGCAUAGUCCCAACAGUAGCCCCUUUCGCGGUGCUAGAUCGUUUUUCGUAACGAGCUUGAUCCGUGAAAAAAGUCCCUUAAGCUUCGGGAAGCCGAAGGUCCAAAAAACACCUUCCCUGAGCUCGUUGUCGAGAAACGAUUUAGUUUCCCAGCGCGUAGCAGUCCCACCUUGCAGAGUUACUGUUUGGUCUCUGCGGUCCACCACGCAGCGAGUGUAAGCGGGUGUCCGCCUGGUGUAAAAAUCCUGGCGCUUCGCCUUCUUACCUGCAGUACUAUAUAAACAGACGAGUAGGUGUGAAGUUACCACAGCAUUCAUUGCUAUUUGCACUGUUUUGCUGCCAAAAUUUUUAACCAUAGCCGAAGCUUGACUCUCGGAAUCGAACAAAGCUCCAGCUUGAAGCCUGCUUCGUCAGAAGGAAAAAACUUCGGAAGUAAAAGUAUUUAAUUGCCACAAAUUCAGAAUUAAAUGGCCAGAGUGCGUUCUGCCGCUAGGGUUGAGCGUGAGGGGGUGAAGCUAAAGGUUCAGAGAAUGUUCCCAUCUCCGAAGCGAUGCAACGAUCUGGGCUGGUAAAUUCGGAAAAAAUCCCCAGUGCUGAUGUAGAACAAGCAGAACAAACAACUGCCGAAGCAGAAGAAGAAAACAUUGAGGAAACUGAUCCUGAAGAUGAUUAUCGUAUUGCUAUGCCAAGUAAGCCCAGCCACUUGGACUUCGGAAAGUCUACUGUUUCGAAGGCUGAUCUCUCCAAGAUGGUAAAGUCGGGCUUUUUCAGUGAAAGUCAGAAGAAGCUACUACGCUUCGGGGGGGAAGAAACUACCCCAAAGCCGGAGAAGGAUGAAAUUAUCAUUUUCAAGAGCUUUCUAAAGGCUGGAUUAAGAUUCCCCCUGCAUGGAAUUAUCGCAGAGGUAUUGAAGAGGUUUGGUAUCUACUUUCAUCAGUCGACUCCUAACGCUAUCGUUAGGCUUAGCGUUUAUAUCUGGGCCCUCCGAAGCCAAGCGGUGGAGCCGUUUGCGGACAGCUUUUGUCGAGUUCACGAGCUGCACUAUCAGACGAAGGCUAGAAAAGAUGGAUUGCAUGACAAUUUUGGUUGCUAUAAUUUUGCUUAUCGGAAAACCACAAAGUUUCCUGUAAUCAGCUACCGAAGCAAAUGGGCAGCAGGCUGGAAGUCGGAGUGGUUCUAUGUCAAGGUUGAUGACGACAAGGAGAAGCUUGUGCAAAGUCCACUUGAACUAAUCUUCGGAGAAACCCGACCUCGUUGCAACAUGACACCAGAAGGUCCAGCCCAACAAGCGUUGGAUGAAUUCAGAAUUAUUGCAGAGCAUAUCAGUACAAGAGACCUGGUUCAGGAGUUUUUGGCUUUCAAGGUUUUUCCUAGUUUAAAAGAAUGGGAAAUGUUGAAGCUAAAGGGGGAGAAGAAAAAAGGUGAACUUGUGCGGUUACCUUACUAUUUCAAGUUUAAGAAAUACUUUAAAACACCUUGCCAAGAGUGGCUGGAUACAAUUGAAGUAAUGUGCAAUGAAAUACUCGACAAUUAUUCCAAAAAAGAAGAUCAACUGAUGACCGCGGCCUUCGGCACCCGUCCGAAGCGAAGACUAAAUCGAGUGCUGGACGCCUUGGGUUUUGAAUAUCCUAACUACGAAAAUCUGAAUAAAGGUGUCGGAGGCCAGAAAAGGAAAAGGAUAACCGAAGCCUUAAAUGAAGAUGAGAAAGAACCAUCAAAGAAGAAAAUUCCGAAGAAGAGGAAAGCGUCUUCUCCGAAGCAAAAAGUAUCCGACGAAGAAGAAACCCCCGCAUCACACUCUGCCACUGACGUGGAGGAAAUUUUAAAGGUAAUGACUGAAUCCCUGCCUGCGAAGCUAAGUCCAUUGGGGCCUCAACUGACAAAGUUUUUUCAGAAGGAAAAGGAGCCCGAAAAAACGAAGAAAACGACUAAAGCAAAAAGACAAAGAAUCAUCGGUGUAACAGAGGUCAUUGACAAGACACCACCGAGAGCUUCAGCUCAGAAGAUACCAGCGGCUGAGGGAAUGACAAAUAUUGAAAUCACACCUUCGGAGGUCGCGGCUGCCGAAGCUACCUCAAUUGAAGAUUUGAACUUGGAAAGCACAAUUGAACACAUCGACAAAAUGCUGCUAGACAUGGCCGCAGAAGAAGCUACUACUGCCGCCGAAGAGGUCGUAGCCGCAGCGUCGGGGAAAGAAAAGGAAAUUGCUGACGAAGCUUCAGAGGACGAGGCCUUCGUAUUUCAAAAUUUAGUUGGAGAAAAAUUGUCAAAAACCGAAAUAGAAGAGCUUAAAGAGUACGCCAAAUCUUGCGGAUAUAAACCAGGAGCACUCCUCUUCGGAGGUAUUGAUGAUGAAAAAUUGGACUCUAUCCGGAAUCAAACUGGAGCUAAGGUUAUCGGUACUCUGUCAAAGAGUAUCGGUUUUCCGAAGCUAGAAAUGGACAUUAGCCGCUACCGACGACAACAUAUCGUUGGUAGUUUAUUUUAUUCCAAUUUCAAGGUGAACUAUUUUUCCCCUGACUUUUAUUGUUUUGGAUAAUGAAGACAUGUCUAACGAAGGUUGUUUUCGUGUAGAGUAUGCUGUUGAGCAAAGCUUUGAAAAUGCAACAAGAUCUGGAAGACAAGAAACACGAAGUUAUAAUUGAAAAUUUAGAAGGCAAAAUAAAAGAGCAAUCAGCUACUAUUGAAAAGAAGAACUUCGAGCUUCAAGCGACUGAAGGCUUAUUGGCGGAAGCCGAAGCUAAAAUGACAGAACUGAACACGAAGCUUCUGUGCCAAUCUGAACAGUUUGAACGAGAAAAGCAAGAACUUAAUGCAAAACUUGAAGUCGAAGUCCAACAAAAUUCAGUUUUGAAAGAACUAUUGGCGGGCCUUCAAGACAAAUGUUUAGAAUUUAGCAACAAAUGUAUUCAACGAUUGAGAAAAAUUUUCCAUUCGGUCGGAGCUAGCAGUGAGAAGUUCACCCCGUCAGCUGAAGAUUUACCAAAGACCUUCGAACAUAUUGAGGGUGAAAUUGAUGAGCUUGACGAAGUUAUAGCCGGGCACGGUGACUUCUGCGCCUGGGUAGCUUCUCGGGGCACUGCUGCAGCUUUCCUAAAAGCUGGCUGCGAUCAUGGAAAGAUUGUCAAUAGGCCCAAUUUCACUUUAUCGCCAUCAAUUCUAGAUGACAUUCCUGAUCUCGCCCGAAGCAUUUCCAAUAGAUUUGUAAAGAUGAUAUGGACAAAAGGCGGGCGAGAAAAGGCAGGAGACGAAGCUCGGAGUCAUCUUGAACCAGUAAGAAAUCAUACCUUGUGCUUACCUCUUCCUUCAAGCUCGAUUUUGACUUACAACAACUUAAUUCAUGUAGGAGGACGAAGCCGAAGCCGAUGAUUAAAAAGAAUGACGCCGAAGCUGAGAUCCCUUGAAGAUUAAAUAGGAGUAGACUGUAGACAGACUCAAGAAACUUUUAAGAUAACUUUUGUAAAUGUAACUAAACUUGUCUUUAAUGAAUUCUGUUCAUACCUUGUAUUAUGCUCUUAUCCUUCCAUUAAUGUAUGAGAGGUGCUUUGAUGUGGACGAAAUUAUCUUUUUGAGUCGAAGGCGAAAAAACACCUUCCCUUCUUUUCGUACACAGUGAAGCAUAGAAAACAACAUUUCCCUUUCUUCCGAAGCUCUUCUUUUCGUACACGAAGAAGCUCUUCUCUCUUUUUUUUUCUUUUUGCCGAAGCAACCACUUAUGCUAUGAUGAUGAUUAUCCUACAUAUGCCUGGAUGAAUGUUUAUGAAUGCAAAUGCUAUGAUGUAAUGUGAUGUGCAAAUGAAUGUCCAAACACAUAUCCGAAGCCAUAAUCACAGCCAUUAUUUCCUUAGAAACAACCACAUAUCAGUGCUAACUUUUCGCUGUAAGCUCUGCAUUCCCUUAGGAACGACUUUGGAGCUUCUUUGUCUUUUACUUUCGGCGGAAUCAGCGUUGACUUUUCGCUGUAAGCUCUGCAUUCCCUUAGGACGACUUUGGAGCUUCUUCGCCUUUUACUUUCGGCGGAAUCAGCGUUGACUUUUCGCUGUAAGCUCUGCAUUCCCUUAGGAACGACUUUGGAGCUUCUUCGCUUUUUACUUUUCGGCACUCGAUGGUGCGUUCUCAGCUUUUACAUUUACAUUCCUUGGGGGAUUUUGCUCUUAUAGAACUAAAAAAGGAAAUUACAUAUGAUGGCCCCAUUAAAAACCUUUCUCCCCCUUCAGAAAGGAAAAGGGUGCCAUGAAAAAGAAAAAACAUAAAAAAUUACAUCAAGUUACACAUAAUAUCGCCGAAGCUCAUCCGCAUUCCAAGAUCUAGGAAUGUCGUUGCCGUCCAUAUCCUUCAAUCUGUAUGAACCGGGUCUUGACGAAGAUGCUACUAAGAAAGGUCCCUCCCAUUUCAACUGCAACUUGCCCACUGUAUCUGGGUUAGCCACUCGCCGAAGCACCAAAUGUCCUGGCUCAAUAUUCUUUAGCCGAACCUUUCUAUCACGCCAUUUGAUUGUUUCGGCUUGAUACUUAUUGAUGUUCUCCACAGCUUGAAGCCUGAUCCCUUCUACAACAUCUUUUUCCACAGAAUAAACAGCUUCAGAAUCUAACUCUGCCGAAGCUACUACUCUUAUUGAUCCAGUUUUGGCUUCCUCCGGAGUUAUUGCUUCGUCACCAAACAAUAGUUUGAAUGGAGUAAAGCCUGUUGACCUUGAUAUUGUUGUGUUGUGGCUCCAUACCACUUUGAUUAAUUGAUCUGGCCACUUUCCCCUAGGUUGAUUGAAGAUUAACUUCAUUAUUCCUGUCAUUAUAAUGCCAUUGGCUCUUUCAACGAGUCCAUUUGACUCCAGAUGCCUGACUGAUGCAAAAUGGAUCUUCGUACCAAUUUGAUCACAGAAAUCUCUGAAAGCUUCGGAGUCGAACUGUGUUCCAUUAUCUACUGUGAUGGCCUUUGGUACCCCGAAACGACAAACAAUAUUCUGCCAGAAAAACUUUUGGAUGGUGGCCGAAGUUAUUGUGGCUAAAGGCUUUGGCUCAAUCCAUUUAGAAAAAUAUUCCACAGCCACUACAACAUAUCUUAAGUUUCCUUGGGCCGGUGGUAACGGACCUAACAAGUCAAGGCCCCACCUUUGCAAUGGCCAAAUGGGUUGUAUGAGCUGGGUUAAAGACGAAGGUUGUUUUUUGAUCUCUUGCACAUUUCUGACAACCUUCGCACUUUUGAACUAAUUCCGCUGCAUCCGAAGCUGCCUUCGGCCAAUAAAACCCUUGACGGAAAACUUUUCCAAGUAACGGCCUAGAUCCAAUGUGAGAUCCGCACAGGCCUGCAUGUAUUUCUUUCAUCAAUUCUAUGCCUUCGGUUCUAGAUAAACACUUGAGUAGUGGAGCACAAACUCCAUGCUUGUACAACUCCCCUUCUAUCAUGACAUAUGGACGAGCUCUUGCCUCUAUCCUCCUGUUAUAAGUUUCGUCAUCUGAAAGGAAUUUACCCUGAAGGUAAGAGAUGAUUUCAGUUCUCCAAUCUUCGCUAUAAACAGGAGAUAUAUUGAGGACUGCCCUUUCAAGAAGUUCCACUGAAGGUGCUUUUAUUGUUUCGAAGAACACAUCCGAAGGUAAGGGCAGCCCCUGUGCUGCUGACUUAGCUAGCAAAUCAGCAUGCUCAUUUUGUCCUCGAGGGAUAUUUUUGACAGAAAAUCCUUCGAAGGAAGCUUCGACUCUUCGAACCAUGUCUAGAUAUUUUUCAAGCUUCGGAUCUUUAGCCUUGCAACUCUUGUCGAUAUGACCCGAAACAACCUGGGAAUCAGUUUUAAGAAUGGCCCUUCUGAUUCCCAUUGCUUUUAGCUUCCGAAGACCCAAAAGCAGGGCUUCGUACUCAGUAAUAUUGUUUGUACAACUGAAAUCGAGUCUUGCCGCAUAACAAGUUUUAACUUUGGAUGGCGAGACCAACACAGCAGCUGCUCCUGCCCCGAAGGUUCCCCAAGACCCAUCGCAAAACACUGUCCAUACUUCGGCAUCUUUAUUUGUUUCUUCAUCCUGAGCCCCUGGCGUCCAAUCGGCGAUAAAAUCUGCCAACGCUUGGGACUGGAUCGAAGAUCUAUGCACAUAAUCAAUGCAAAAUUCAUUGAGCUCUGCAACCCAUUUUCCAAUCCGCCCAGUAGCUUCUCUAUUUCUCAUAAUAUCCUUCAACGGCUGCGAAGAAGGAACAAUAAUAUUGUAUGCUUGAAAGUAAUGCCGAAGCUUCCUGGAUGCCAUCAAAACAGCAUAUAACACCUUCUCUAAUUCUGUAUAGUUUUUCUUUGAUAUACUGAGAACUUCAGAUACAAAAUACACUGGGACCUGUUUCUUGACUUGGCCAUCAAGCUUCUCCUGGACAAGUGCUGCACUUACCGCUGAGUGCGAAGCUGCCACAUAUAAUAACAAAGGAGCCCCUGGCGUUGGUGGAGUUAAUGUUGUUAAAUCUAUCAAAUAUUGCUUCAGUUCCUCGAAGGCUUUUUGUUGGCUUGGUCCCCAUUGAAAGACUUCGGCUGAUUUCAGGACUUCGAAGAAUGGUAAAUUUCUUUCUGCUGAUCUGGAUAUAAAUCUAUUAAGAGAUGCCAGCCUCCCCGUCAAUCUUUGGGCCCCCUUUUUUGUAGUUGGUGGCUCCAUUCGAAGUAUAGCUUCAAUUUUACUUGGAUUAGCUUCAAUUCCCUUUGUUGAAACCAAGCAUCCAAGAAAUUUCCCCUUCUUUACUCCAAAGACACAUUUUUCUGGAUUCAACUUCAGGCCAGCUUGUCUAAAACUGGCGAAGGUCUCCUGCAAAUCAGCAAUGUGAUUUUCCUGUUUCGUGCUUUUUACAAUGAUAUCAUCAACAUAAGUUAGCACAUUUCUGCCUAUCUGAGACUGGAGAACCCUCGCAGUCAUUCUGCUGAAACUUCCUCCAGCGUUCUUGAGCCCCUCAGGCAUCCGAAGGUAACAAUAUGUUCCACUAGGGGUUAUGAAACUGGUCUUUGGCUCAUCCUCCUUCUUCAUCCAAAUUUGAUGAUAGCCUGAAUAACAAUCGAGAAGACUCAUGAGCUCUGACGAAGCUGCUGCAUCAACUAAGGAGUCUAUCCUUGGCAAUGGGAAUUCGUCCUUCGGACAAGCCUUGUUGAGAUCUGUAAAAUCGAUACACAUUCGCCAUUUGCCAUUGGCCUUUUUUACCAUAACAGUGUUAGCUAGCCAUUCUGGGUACUUUACUUCUCUGAUAACUCCUGCACUGAGGAGUCUUUUGACUUCAUUACGAGCACCUUCGGCCUUAUCAUCAGACAUUUUCCGAAGCCUCUGCUUUCUGGGUCUGAAGGAUGGGUCAACAUUGAGCGAGUGUUCAAUAAUAUCUCUGUUAACUCCGCAAAGAUCAUUGGCUGACCAUGCAAAAACAUCUUUGUUGUUGAACAAAAACCUUAUCAAGGUUUUCUCCUGUUCUUCGGAUAAUUGAGAGCCCAACAGCACCCUCUGCUCUGCUAUGUCCUCACAUAAGAGCAUGGGCUUCGGCUGAUCUGCUGAAGCUGCUUUCUCCCUUCUGAAUUUGUACUGUUCACAAGCUUCAGCUCCAUCUAUGUUAUGGAUUGCUUUUGAGUCAGUCCAGUUUCCUUCGGCCCUUCUGGCAGCUUCCUGACUUCCAUGAAUAGCGAUGGGUCCUUGAUCCGAAGGUAUCUUCAUGCAAAGGUAAGCAGGAUGAAGAAUUGCUUCGAAAGCAUUGAGGGUGCCACGACCAAUAAUUGCAUUGUAAGGGUAUUCCAUGUCAACAAUGUCAAACACAACUUGCUCAGUUCUAGUGUUGUUGAUGAAUCCGAAGGUCACUGGCAUGGUGAUCUUGCCCAGUGCUACAAUUUGUCUUCCUCCGAAGCCACAGAGAGGGUGUGUAGCAUCAUGAAUCUUAUCUUCUGGCUCUUGCAUUUGUCUGAAGGCCUUAGCAAAUAUGAUAUCAGCUGCACUGCCUGUGUCAACCAAGACAUUGUGGACCAGAAACCCUUUGAUAACACAAGAAAUAAUCAUAGCAUCGUUAUGAGGAAAAUCCUUGAGCUGAAGGUCCUCCUGGGAGAAGGUGAUUGGAAUGUGAGACCACCUUGACUUGAUAAAGGGUCCCUGCACUCCAACAUGUUGUACCCUUCUCUGCGCCUCUUUCUUCUGCUUUUUAUUGGCUGGUUCUGAGCACGAACCACCUGUUAUCGGGAGCACCAGCUUCGGGUCUGAAGCAGCUCCAGCUCGAUCGUUGAACGAAGCCAUCAGCUCAAAAAAGUGGAAGUGAGUUCACCGGAGGUGGGCGCCAAUGUUGGGGACUUGUUCUCAAAUGCUAUGAAUUAAGAACAAGGCAACAUAAAAUGUUAAAUGUUAAUGUCCUUCGUCCACGAAGCAUUAUUCCCUUGAGGAUAAUGAACCUUGGACGAAGGUUGAUAGCAAUACAAUUACGAAGGUUAAGUCUUCGUAAUUGAAUUUUAAUAGAUUGUAUAAGAUAACAUAAAAUAAAGAAUAUCAAAGGUAAAUGAAUUAUAAACGGAACAUAUUGUAUUUACUUAAUAUAUUGAAUUGUUGAAUACAAUUAUACCUCUGCCUUGGCAAAGAUUGGUUCCUGAAUGAUGUGAUUGCCAAAACCGGAAUCCGUGAACAGUAAGGGAAUACUGUUCACUAUUUAUAGGCACAAGACACAGCCUGUGAGAAAUUACAAUUAUGCCCCUCACAAAGGAUUACAACAGCGACCUAGGCACUUAUGGACUAGAGGGUCAUUCUACUUUUAAGUCGGUUUGUAAUACCGAAGCUUCAUGAAGAGGAACUUUCAGUCAUCUCAUAUGAACAGCUUCAGUCGCAAGCUGCUUCUUCCUACAAGACCUUCGGCGACGAAGCAUAGUCCCAACAGAUAGGUUGAAGAGUCAAAUUGUGAUUCCAUCAACCUUCCCAAACUAUGUAUACCCAAAGAGAACAAGAACUCUAAGAAAGGUUCAAGAAUAAGAUCAAGCAUGAUCACCAGGCUUCUACAAAGCAACAGUCACACAUUUUCUCAGUUUCCCCACGACACCUGCCAUCUACUACAAAAGACAGGGCACUACAAUAGAAAGUGCCAGAAUUCCUGCACUAGCUGCUACCGAAUGCAAUUCCGUACAAACCUAAGGUUCCAGCGGGUCGAAUAAUAGUUAUAGUGGUUAACGAAAAGAAAGUAGACACUUAACUUCAGUUUCGUGAUUAGACAAUCAGCACAUCCACUAUCACUUCGGUGACAAAGAUUGUGUGUUAUUUAGCUUGAUAAUAAAGAUGUUGGUCUCGCCAUCCGACGAGACAUGAUUUAUUUAUCUUCGCACAGUGGCAUUGUUAAGGUCUUAGAUACACCAUAAAACAAUCCAUCCAAUAGUGGCAGGAAUAAAAAAAUAGAAGUGAUGGAGAAACCUCGUCGAAAUUAUGGCACUACCGUUUGGGCCAUAUUUCGAGCGAGGGAUAGAACGUCUCGUUAAGGGACAAAUUCUCCAUCCCCUAGACUUCACAAACUUACGAGAGUGUUAAAAUUAUUCAUACAGAUAUAUGUGGUCCUUUUUCAGUUAGUACAGUAGAUGGGUUUAACUAUUUGAUAACCUUCACAAAAGAUUACUCUCGCUAUGGUUAUAUUAAUCCCAAUAAGGAAAGAUCAGAAGCUUUAGACAAGUUUAAACAGCUCAAGGCUGAGGUAGAAAAUCAACAUGAUUUGAACAUAAAGAUUGUCGUAUCAGAUCAUGUGGGGAGUACUGUGGGCACCAUACUGAUUAUGGACAGGUCCCAGGAUCCUUUCGCGAGGUUCCUAAGUGAAAACCAUAUUGUUGCUCAGUAUUCAACACCUGGUGAACCGCAACAGAAUGGGGUUGCCGAAGGGCAUAACAAAAUGCUAAUGGAUAUGGUAAGGAGUACGCUUAGUUACUCUAACCUACCAUUGUGUCUAUGGAUGGAGGCUUUAAAAACCCGCUAUGCAUAUACUCAACAUAGUUCCUAGUAAAUCAGUGGCUAAAACUCCAUAUGAGUUGUGGACUGGCAGAAAGCCCACGCUCAACUAAUUCCACAUAUGAGGUUGUCCAACAGAAGCUACAAUAUUUAAUCCUAGACAGGAAAAGCUAGAUGAGAGAACCAUAAGCUGCCAUUUUAUUGGCUACCCUGAGAGAUCGAAGGGUUACAGAUUCUACUGCCCAGGCAGACAAACCAAGUUUAUAGAAACCAGACAUGCCAUUUUCCUAGAAAAUGAUAUGAUCAAGGGGAGUAAGGUACUCAGAGAGGUUGACCUUCAGGAAAAGAGGAUGUAUGUCCCGAUUCUGAUGGUUGAAGAACCAUACUUCUCGAUACCCACUGUGUUUCCACCAACGGUUGUAACGACUAGAGGUGAAACCCCUGUUGCAAAUGUUGCAUCACCCAAUGCAACUACUACAUAGCAAUUCACUUUACCUUCUGCACAGCCUGGCUCUUCUGAGUCGGUUGCACAGGAGAGUUCACAUGACAGUGGUAGUGUUGCGCCAAGUGACGCACCAUUGCAAGAGCCCCAAAACGAACCAAAACUAGAAACAAGUUUAAAAAGGUCUCAAAAGGUCUAGACGAUUUGUGAUUCCUAAUGAUUAUGGAGUUUACACAAGUGUAGACAAAGAAAGCGAUGGGAUUUAUAUGAGUGGGGACAUCGAUGCAGAAGGUGACCCCACUACAUAUGAAACAGCUAUGAGAAGCGUAAAUUAGUGGAUCUACAAGACCAAGCGUGAUUCCAAAGGGAAUAUCUAAAGAUACAAGGCUGGACUUGUGUCCAAAGGGUUCACACAGAGAGAAGGUAUUGACUACCAUAAAACCUUCUCACCUGUCUCAACAAAAGAUACAUUUCGGAUCAUUAUGGCAUUAGUGGCUCAUUUUGAUCUAGAGCCAUAAUAUGGAAGUAAUGACAUCAUCACUAAAUGGAGAGUUAAUAGAAAACGUGUUCAUGGCACAACCAAAGGGUUUUUGUUGUGAGUAGUAAAAGAAAAAACAUGGGUUUAAGGGAGUGCCUAUGAUCUUGAAUCACAGGGGCUACAUAUUGCAAUGCAACCAAAUAAAGUAUCUUUUCGUUCUAAAGCAGGCGAGCAUGGUGUAGUCAAUGAGUACGGUGAUACUUGAUCGGUCAUUGUCACGUAUUGGUCUCUAUGUGUAAACUUGUCGAGGGAUGAAAUCUAGAAAAGUUGAGUAUAAGGAAUGUAGAGAACAAAGGGGAGAUUGUUGGGUGUGCCCUCUACAGCUAGUCAUUGGUGAUCGGAUUGGGCUAAACCCAACUAUCCAUCUCCUUAAACGGGUCCUUGAUUGGGAGAACUCACGCUGACCUCGGUUGGAGCCCCCAGUCACACGACGCUAUAUAUAGGACUAAAGGGUCGCAGGAAAGACUAACGCUAGUACCUCGACCCAAAACCCUAAUCCCCACAGAGGCCCCCAUCGCCUAAGCGUCGGAGUGUCUAGAAGCGCGACAACCCACAGUGGCUCGGAUCCCGAUGCCUGCUGCUCCUCUGCAGACGACGACAACAACGACAACUCUCCAACAACAACAACAACGAAUGUGUGUUUUCCUAUUCCUCUUAGUAGAACAGAUCUACUUAUCAUCGAGGUUUUCCUUCCAGUUACGGAUUGGUAUUCUAGGGACGUAGGAAUAGAUCUUAGGUACCAUAGGAUCUAACACUAUGAAGAUUUUAUGACCACUUUGUAAUUUUAAGUUUUGCAUUUUUGCUUCCUGAUCAGAUGUCAUUCUCUGUACUUUCUGUGUAGGACACGGGGAAGUCCUGGAGACGCUAUCAGUGAGCUCCUUCUGCCACGUUUUGUGGACAUGGUAAUUUGGGGCCAUGAGCCUGAAUGUCUGAUUGAUCCACAGGUAACAAGACAUAUUAGUAUUUAAAAAGAGGGGAAGAGGUGCAAUUUAGCAUAUGUAUUUUUAGUCAAGUGUUCUGUCUUUCUGCUUUUGUAUUUAAUUUUAACUUUGUUUUCCUUCUAUCAACUACUCACAGGAGGUUCCUGGAUUGGGUUUCCAUAUCACCCAACCAGGUUCCUCAAUUGCUACCUCACUGAUCAAUACUGAAGCAAAUCCAAAACACGCGCUCUUUCUGGAAAUCAAGGUUAGUACUGGUGCAACGUGCUACGCUAACAUUCAAAUAUCUUCUUUUUUAAUUUAUUUAGUUUAUCAUGUUGCCCUUGAAUAGGGGAGAGAGUACAGGACAACCAAAAUACCACUGCAGUCUGUUAGACCUUUUGAGUAUGCAGAGGUAAUCCAGCUCUUACUUGUGUUUGCUCAAGUGAACUACAUCAAGAGAAUGUCAUGCAGGUUGUACUGGAGGACCAGGUUGAUGUUGAUCCUGGUGAUGAAGCAUCCAUUCAUGAGCAUUUGCACAAAGUUGUAAGUCCCCAACUAAUAACUUGUAUUUUUGUAAAAAAAAUCGUCUGUUUCCAAGGAUAUGUUCCCAUGACUGGUUAAAUUAAUUCCAGAACAGAACAAUCAGAUCUUUGAACAAUGAAGCUUCAGUUGUUGGAUAUUUGUUGUACUAAAUACUGACGGCAGAGUGGCUUUAUGUGAGCAACCUUAUUGAGAAGAGUAGGGAAGAAGCAUCCAGUAGUGGAUCAAAGCCCAAGCUUCCACUGGUUAGAAUAAAGGUAAAUCAGGAGCUCUUUAUGGCAGUUUUGUCCCACAAUGUUGUAAACAUAAAAGAGAUUGAAUUGUUCUUCAGGUGCAUCACACCGGACUUUCAACGAUAAAUUCAAAGCAAUUUGGUCAGCACUACGUGGGCAAGGUACCUCAUAAACUAAUUAAAAUGGAAUAAUUUAAAUGUGAUGUAAUCCUUUUAGUUACUACUGUUGCAUAGUGUUUCUGGUUACUAUCAAUGCUCUUGUAGGUUGUAAACCCACAAGACAUACUUCUUCUUACAAGAUCAAGGCAAAGGCAUCAAACUAUGCAAGGUAUGCCUAUUAUUGUUUCCUAUCACUACAGUAAACGAGGAAAUUUCCGAUGGCUAAAACCGUCGGACUUAAGGACUAAACCGUCGGAGAUAAGCUAUGUCCGACGGCAUUAACUUAUCUCCGACGGUUUUAAGCCGUCGUGGAUAAUGCGUCGGAAUAGCGUUAUGUCCGACGGCUGCCGUCGGACAUACGCUAUGUCCGACGGCCCUAUCCAACCGUCGGAGAUAAGGCGGCGUAACCGUUUUAACCGCUGCCUGGGCCCACAACUAUUAUGUCCGACGGUUUAAAGCCGUCGGACAUAACAUAUAGCAUAUGUCCGACGGCUUUAAGCCGUCGGACAUAACAUAAACCUUAUGUCCGACGGCCUACACUAGGCCGUCGGACAUAACGUUUUUCAGAAAUUGCACAAAAAUCUGAAAUUUAAAAAAUCUGACAUUUGCAAAUACAAAACAGAAUUCAUACACAUAUACACAUUCACAUUAACAAAUAUACUCACAUAAGUAUACACAUUCACAAAUAUAAUCACAUAAGCAUUCACAUUCACAAAAUUUAACAUAACAACAUAGUUCCAAAUGGUUGCAAUAAGUGUUUACAUAAACAUAGUUGUCCAAACUCCAAAAUGAACAUUAUUCGACGGGUAGGCUUUCACAUGAAAGGUUUCAACAAGUGUUUUACAUCAGUAUCACUCAUAUCCAUCGCCACCUCCUCCGGCUGGACUAUGCGUGCUGAAAAGAUUGUUCACCCACGAAUGUGUUGUGUCGUCCUGACCAGACCCAUCUCCAGGUGCGGCAACUGAAGCGGGUGGUGUCUGAAAUCCCUAUAACAUAAGCACAUGAAAUAGUAACCACUCAGUUGUUCAUUUAAACACAUAAGACAUCUAUGAACAUGUCACACACGCAUAUGUGUACAUACCAUAGGGAAUUGUGACGGAGGCGGAGGCGGUGGUGGAGGCGCCAACAUUGGCAUUGGCAGUGCAAAGUCCGGAGGCGGCAUCCCAUAUGUCGGCAUCGGGACGCCCGCUUGUUGGGCUAGUUGCUACAAAUUAUAUACAAGUCAUUGUUGAGCAAACAAGAUACACAUCAAGUGUUUUGCAAAAUAAGCUACAAAAUGUUAGUUCAACUUACCGAGAGAAGAGCUUGAUUUUGGGCCUGGAGGCUUACAUAAUACUCGUCCCUCUUCUUCUGGUACUCGGCUUGUUGUCUCUGGUAUUCAGAUUGUUGCCUCUGGUACUCCAAUUGAUCCCUCAAGACUGAUUGAUGGUACUCUGCCUGUUGACGCAACACCGCAAGCUCUAUCUCAUGGGCUGCUGAUCGUGAACGGGACGACUGUGAAGACGACGAUGUGGAUUGUCGUCCACGGCGUCUCAGCUCUCUGGAAUCAAUCGUAGAAUCAAAAAUACCCAACCUACAAGAGUGAACCAUGCACUUAGUAUAGUAACUCAUGCCUCAGUUGAAUCGCAAGCAUAUGAUGACAAUUUUGAAAACCAAAUCAAAUAAUCUCACCGUCCAUGGGCUUGUCCUCCUGCACUAGCAUAUGCUGCCUGAGGGUCGAUUGGCUGGCUCCUCCAAUCGUACUCCUCCCCAUGGCGUUGAACCAUCUCCUGCCCAUACGAAGCCUGGAGGCAAACAAUAUCAAAUAUAAGUGCAUAACCCCUAUGCCAUUGCAAACAAUAUCAAACACAUAAUAGAGUAUAAAAAACUCACUAGAAUGUCGGUGGCCGUCUGAGUGCAUAACACAUCAGGAUUCUGAGGAUCAGAACCCCUAUGGCCUUGCAUAUACACCUCCACAUCCGUGGGCGUACGGCCGGAUUUGACUUCCUGUACAUAAAAGUUAUAUUGACACAUUUCUAUGUAAUUCAAAGUUACGACAAACUGAGACUUACCAUUCGCUUAGCCAAGCGCACAUGACCAUCACCGCCGUAGUUGUGGAACGACUCAGUUCCACGGUUUCCCCUGUUCCUUUCGGAAAUGGCACGAAAAUCAGGGGAACCCCACCAUCUGCACAAUGCCCGAUAACCGUCUGAUCGGGUGGCCAUCCACGGCACCGACACCUACAUGAAAUUUUUAAAAUAAAGCAAGCAAAUACAUGGCUUCGUGCGAUAUGAGAGGCAACAACCUGUUUACCUCUAGGUAUUGCUCCUCCGUCAAGUAAAUUGAUGACCACUCGGCCUUUGUAUUUGGCAUCGGUCGAUCAUCAGCAUUUGCUCUGUACCAUGCCUUUAUAGCCUAAAUUCGUGCAUAGUACAUUGCAUCUGCAACGACAUCGUUCGCGUUAUACUCAAACACGUAACGAGCGUUCAUAUCAUAUGAUCCAUCGUCCGGCAACUUGUACCGUUUCUGCAAAAACCAUAGUGUUAUCAUAAAAGCAAACAUAUAUGGAAUAACUAAAAUAGUAUAAACAAGUCAUACCCAGAAUGCAUCCCAAACUAGUGCUUGUGUGUUGCCAAACGUUCUACAGACACCAUAGCGAUAAUGCUCCCAAGUGGUGGCGGGGACAGACUCGCCAGUAGGCAAAGUCACAAGACCAGGCCAGUGCAGACGAACAAGAUUACCAAGAACCAUGUUCACCUGCCUGUAGUGUCCUGUGCCUGUGAACGAGUCGUCGAUCCAAGUCCUGCAAACAGAAAUCAAUGUAGAAAUUAAAACAUAACUUUCAAUAACAUUUAAGCAAAGAUAUGUCACUCACUUUCCACUAGGCUUUAUCACAACCCGAGAUUCCGGUGGAAGCUCUGGAGGUGGUCCAACAAAAUGCAGCUUCCUCGUUCUCUUAACUCGAGAAGUUCCAGACCCAGCUGCAGAAUCUCCACCAGCCCCAGAAUCCCCAGCCCCAGAAUCUCCACCAGCGUCGUCUCCAGCAUCAUCUCCCACAUUAUCUCCACCAUCAUCUUCAUCAUCAUCUCUUGCAUGAUCCUCUACCACUGGUUCCUCAAUUUCAGCAUCCUAUGAAACAAAUAACUUACAUCAUACAAUAUUAAGUAACUCAAAUAAUGUAAUUUAACAACUAACUUACAUCUUGUGGAGGCAAAUGUUCUGCCAGCGCUCUCCGUCUGCUCAUGGUAGAACCUGUGCCCUGAAAAACUGAAUCCUCACCCCUCGAGCUGCUCCUCGAGCUACUCCUCGACCCAAGCAAACUACGAGCUAAAGACUUCAUUUUCUUUGACAUCCUAUUUUAACAAAAACAAGUUAGUACAUAAAUCGACAAUAAAAUAAUAAAAUAUGCAAUAAAAUCAUGAUCCAUACUCGUCAAUCGUAAUCGUAAUCAAAAUCAGGAUCUAGUUGCUUUCGUCGAUUUAAUGGACGCCAAGUAGCUUUCUUCUUUCUCGUCACUCGUUUUCUUUUUGGAGGAACCUCUACAUCAUUUUGAUCGCCUAAUAAAGAUUCUUCCAACAUUUCAGUUUGUACAUUAAACGUGCUUGUAAGUUCUUCGUCUUGGAAAAUCUCAGCAGCCCCCACUUCCUGCUCGAUUUGACUUUCAACAUAACCAGCAUCACCAGGAGCAUAUAGUCGUUCACGAGGAUUAACUUUGUACACUACCCUCCAAUCAACCAAACCGUUUUUCUUAGAUGGAUAUGUCAUAUAAUACACCUGCUCGCAUUGGUGGGCAAGGAUUAUAGUGUCGUGGCCUUUUAAUCUAUCGUUGUGUUUGACUUCCACCAUGCCAUAUUGAUUUUCUCGCGUUGUAUUUGGAGAAAACCAAUCACAAUCGAAGAACACCACUUUGAGUUGUUUAUCUCCAAAAAACUUGUACUCGAUUAUAUCAUUAAUGACUCCAUAAUAAUUAGUCACCUUCCCUUCAUCGUCGACAGCUCUAGUUACAACUCCGGAGUUUGUCGUGGCUGCUAGAGGAUGAUCAUCUUCGAACCUUGUGGAACGGAAUCUAAAACCAUUGACAUCAUACCGACCAUAACGUCUGCCAGUUACUGCUCCUAGGGAUAAUUGUCGAAGGUCCGGGUGUAUAUUGUCAUUUUUAUCUACAUAAUCUCGAAACCAACACAAGAAAUUAAGUCCCCCAUCUUUUCCCUCUCGACGAAUCUGGUCACGUUCACAGCCAGAGAUGCAAUUUUGAGAAUCAAAUUCCCUGUUAGUACAAGGAAACAAACCUUUUAGUAUCACAACAAAAAUUCUAGCGGCAAUGACUAAAAUAAAGUUUACACUUACAGGAGAAACUGACUCAUCUCUUCCAUGUUGUUAUACAUGUAGAGUAAAGCAGUCUUCCAUUCGUCGUUGGUGAAACAGUAUGUUGUGCUGGGUCCUACAGUUUUGCCCCUCCAUUGAAAAAUUUCAAUAUCACUAAUAGGGGGCUCGUCGACAUGAUACCGCAACGUAUGGGCAUUGACAUUGUGUUCCUCUGCAAAGUACAGGCCCGUGAACGAUGCUAUCUCUUUGUAUUUGAAUUCUUCAGCGAUGCACCCUUCAACUCGUCUCUUAUUACCAACCAUUGCACGUAGCUUCUUUAGUGUCCUUUCGAUGUGAUACAUCCAUCUAUAUUGCACAGGACCUCCUACCUUAGCUUCGUAUGGUAGGUGAACAAGUAGAUGUUGCAUCGGAUUGAAGAAACCUGGUGGAAAUAUUUUUUCAAGUUUGCAUACCAAAAUCGGUAUUUCUUGCUCAAGCUUCUCCAUCAUCUCUUUCUUUAUUUCUUUGGCACAAAGAUGUCUAUAAAAGUAGCUUAGCUCCGCUAAUGCUUUCCAUACAUCAUUUUUUACAAAACCACGAAACAUAACAGGAAGGAGUCUUUCCAUUAUUAUGUGGUAGUCAUGACUCUUCAACCCAGAAAACUUGCCCGUCUUCAAAUUCACAGACCUUCUAAAGCCCGCGGCGUAACCAUCUGGGAACUUUAAGUUUUUCAACCAUUUCAUCAAUUGUUUCUUCCUUUUAGGUUUAAUACUGAAAGGAGCACGUGGCUUCUUCUGAUUCUCUCCUAUCUCCAUAGUUGGUCUUCUACAGAUUAAGGCCAAGUCUUUCCUUGCCUUAGGGUUGUCUUUUGUUUUGUUGGUGAUAUUCAUGCAAGUGCUGAUAAUGCUUUCACCCAUAUUUCGUUCCUGGUGCAUGACAUCAAUGUUAUGCAUUAGAAUCAAGGCUUUCAUAUAAGGGAGUUCCCAUAGACCACAUUUGUGAGUCCAAUUAUGCUCGGUUCCAUAACCUUCAAAACGAUUUCCAUGUUCGUUUAGUUUCAAAUCAUUAAGUCUCGCGAGAAUCUCUGGACCACUUAGACGCUUGGGUGGUCCCCUCGUCACAAUCGUGUCCUUUUUAAAAGCGUUCCUAUCGAACCUGAACGGGUGAUCCUCUGGCAAAAAACAUCUAUGACAAUCGAAGUAACAUAUCUUUCCACCAAACUUUAGUCGAAAGCAUAAAGUGUCUUCAACGCAUAUAGGACAUGUCAAAAUCCCAUGACAACUCCAUCCAGCAAAGAUACCAUAAGCCAUAAAAUCAUGAAUAGACCAUAAAAACGCGGCUCUCAAGUUGAACUUCUGUUUCUUGUAACAAUCGUACGCCUCGACUCCUUCCCACAAAAUUUUCAAUUCUUCAAUCAGGGGUCUCAUCAUCACAUCGAUCUUUGUUCCAGGAUGAUCCGGACCAGGUAUUAUAAGACACAAGAAAAUAAAUUCAUAUUUCAUGCAAAGAGCUGGUGGAAGGUUGUAUGGAACAGCAAAGACGGGCCAACAUGAGUACGACGUUGCAGUUACAUUGAAUGGCGAGAAACCAUCUGUUGCCAAACCGAAGCGGACAUUCCGCACUUCAUCAGCAAAGCUGGAAUCAAAAGCAUCUAGUGCCUUCCAUGCAUCUGUAUCAGCUGGGUGCACCAUGACAUUUGGAUUCUCACGUACCCCUUCUUUGUGCCACCUCAUGUGUCUGGCUGUAUUCUUGGAGAUGAACAAACGUUUCAACCGAGGUAUGAGAGGCAUGUAACGAAGCUGCUUACGUGCAAUCUUCGUAGUCACGGUCAAACCAUCGUCGUUUUCAACCUCAACGAAUCUACGCUCACCACAUACAGUACACUUCUUCUCACCUGCGGUCUCCUUCCAGAAAAGCAUACAAUUAUUUUCACAGACAUCGAUUUUUUCGUAGUCCAUACCGAGGCCAGAUAACAGUUUUUUAGACUGAUACAUGUCCUUUGGCAUCUUGUGAUUCUCCGGAAGUACAUCACUGAUCAAGUUCAAAAGUUCCUUGUAACAGUUGUUUGAGAAUGCAAACUUAGACUUAAUAGCCAUAAGUCGAGUCACAAAUACAAGGACGGUCACUUUUGUGUGCUCAUGCAACGGCUCUUCGGCAGCUUUAAGGAGCUCGAAGAACUUCUGAACCUCAGGUGUAGCUGGAUCCUCAAACUCAGUGGGUUGACCGGGGUUCUCCGAAUCGACGGUUAGAAACUCAUGGCGUACAUCGUCAAGCAUCUCUUCCAUCCUAUCGUAGUCCUCCUCUUCAUGUGACUGAACUUCCGAUACAAUACGAGGAGGUGGGUCCUCACCGUGGUGCACCCACACCUCAUAGCCUGGCAUAUAACCAUUCUUGCAAAUAUGUAUCGACAUAGUCCUCCUGUCAAGGAAAUUAAUGUUCCGACACUUGCUACAAGGGCACCUAACAUCGGUUCCAGUCUCUGACCGAGCAAAAGCAUGGUCGAGAAAAGCAUCAGUCUUGGCCACCCACUCACUUGAUAGAGCACCUCUUUUCUUCCAACCUUCAUACAUCCAUCGACGAUUCUCCUCCAUACUAGAUACGAGACGUUAACUUAAUUAGAUAAGUAAUGCACGGACCAUCCGUUUUUACGAAGAAAUCACGCCCCUACAUCUGUAGGAAAGGAUAGGUCCUAAACCCACCCAGGAGUGACCGACGAGGCCGUGUUUAUGACAAAACAUGUGGUCGUGCGAAAUUUCGGCAGCAUAACCCCGCUGUUCUCCAAUCGCACGCCUAAAAAUGGUGCAAUUGGAGAACAGAGAGGUUAUGCUGCCGUAACUAAGCAGGAGCACAUGCUUUUGUCAUAAACACGGACUCUGUCGGUCACACCAAGGCUGUCCAAUAAAGGGACAAUUCCGGCCCAACAUACCUCACAUGCGUCGCUUGUAAGGUGUGUUGGGCCGAAACGGGUGACGCCUAGGUUUCGUUUGUUCACACUACGAUACACUAUGAUUAACUAUAAUCAUCGUGCAUUAUUAAAUAAUUAAACUAAUAAACCACAAUACAAUAUUACAUACGAAAUAACAUUGUUAUAAAUGACAAAUCAUAUAAAAUGACCUUAUUUUCGAGGGCAUAAUAAUUACCCUCGGAAAUUAAAAAUUUAAAUUAUCUAAAGUACCACUAAAUAAACUAAAACAAGCUACUUUAAUUACGUAAUCAAAUUUUGGCCGUCGGACAUAACAAACUAAACAAUCAAAUGCAUUCAUACAUACAUUUCUAAUCAAAUACAUUAAUACAAACAUACAAUUCUAAUCAAAUACAUUAAUACAAGCAUACAAUUUUAAUAAACAAAAUUGCUAAUUAAGUAUACUCACUUAGCGGGUGUGGAGAGCCGGCCGGCGAUGGGCGCACGGGCGGGCGGCGGGCGCACGGGGCCGUUGGCCGGAGCACGGGGCGGCGGCGACCGGCGAACGGGGCGGCGGCGGCGGCCGGAGCACGGGGCGGAGCUCGGGGCGGUGGCGGCCGGAGCACGAGCGUGGCGGCGGCACGAGCGUGGCGGUGGUGGCCGGAGCACGGGCGUGGCGGUGGCCGGAGCACGAGCUCGGGGCGGUGGCGGCCGGACCAAGGGGCAGCGGCGGCCGGAGCACGAGCAGUGGGGGCGGGCGGUACGGCGACCGGGCGGGACGGCGACGAGCGUGGCGGCGACGAGCGUGGCGGCGACAGCGCGGCGUGCUCCUCGGACGGCGGCGGCGGCAGAGAUAGAGAGACGCGCGGUCGGGUGAAACUGAAGGCGCGCGGGUCGGAUCCGCGCGUUAAAAAGCCUUAUGUCCGACGGCUCGGUACGAGGCCGUCGGACAUAAGCUUAUGUCCGACGGCCAGGGGGCGGGCCGUCGGACAUAAGGUAAUGUCCGACGGCCAGUCUGACAGCCGUCGGCUGUAUUCUGUUAUUUUCGACGGCCGCUGUUGGCCGUCGGACAUAACCUUAUGUCCGACGGUUGCCUAUGGGGCCGUCGGACAUAAUACGACCGUCGGAAUUUUAUAGUUUUACUGUAGUGUAUGAAAACAAUACAUGAGAGAGUAAUGCUAGGGUACGCUCAUAUGGGACCAGGGUGGUACUUGUGUUGAGUUUCUGUUUUAGAAUACUUUUUUAGUUUGCCAAUCAAUUUAUUGUUAACGUGGCCAUAUUACUAUCUUAUUGUGAGCAUAUCAACAAUAAACAUUAUAGAUUGGUUAAUGAAAAGUAUAAUACUGGCUAUAUCGCAAGUUUAAAAUUUGAAUACAUUUAACAAAUUCAAGCUGAGUGUAUUUUCUGGCUGUCUCUUUUAUUGUAUUGCCUUAUGUGGUCGGCACUUCUGCUUAAUACGGCGCUGUGAUCAGGAGGAGGAUGCCGAAGUAGAGGAUUGAGCGAAUUUUCUUUUGGGAGUAGUAGCCUCAGGUUGCCGCCGGGGCUGUGAAUUGUGAUCAGGAGGAUUCCGAUGUAGACCAUUCACGGUUCCAGUGUGGAUUCCGCAUCGAAUUUAAUGUAUUUCUGAUCCAGGAUCCUGGUCGACUAGUUGUUGUACCUAUGUUUGGAUUUAGGGGUUAUUUGGUUUGUUGUCUAAUUUAUCAUAGUUUAUCAUGUCUAAGGUUAGACAAGUUUGAGGCAUAUGUUGGUUUGAAGCUACAGUUAUAGAAAUACUCGUCAAUAACUAGUAAAAGUGUAACAGGAUUCUUUUAAACGUGCCAAACUAUAGCGCUGAAUUUGAGCGUCUUAAACAAACUUAACACAAAAAAUUAUGGCAAUUUAAUGCACGGGCGCGACCGCGACGGCAUCGCGCGCCGCGGCGCCGGCCGUUCCCAAGCUCCCCGCCUGUUGUGCCCCAUUGGCCCUUGCUCUCGUGUUUAGCGUGGUAUAGAAGCAUAUCCUUUCAAGUUUCAACGAGGUCCUGGCCACGAGGGGCACUGUACUCGCCAGGGUCAGUAAGCCGUCGACAUCGAGCAAGAUAUCGUGUGAUGGUUUUUGGCGUGUGCUACUUGUUCGACCUAUUGUUGCAACGGAGACCGCCGCUAACUACCAUCUCCAAGAGACUCCUACAAUUGAGUCCUAUAAAUCAAAAUAGGACAUGUUUUAAAUUAUUUAAGACCCACCAAUUCGUUUUACUCCAACCGUGAGUCCUAUAAUCACAUUAUUUAGUUAAUUAUCCGCUUCACCGCAGCAAUGUCAUCGUCGCUCUGUCAUCGUCCAUGUUCGCCAGAGACAAUCUUUCACAUGAUCUCGUUGUCCUGCAGAUGGAGUAGUAGGCCUUCACGUGAUCAUGUUGUCCGGUAGAUAGGGUAGCGGGCCAGCGGUUGUUGGUUACUCUUGAAAGGGAAAUGUGCCCUUGGGCCAUUUCUAAGUAUUUUGGUGAUUGAGUGCCAACACAAGUGCUUUUGUGUUGAUCUAUACAAUGUGGUGGACUAAGUGCAAAUCAUGUCAAAAGGUAUGUUUCUAGACUUAGUACAUUAUUUUAUGGACUAAUGUAUUGUGUCUAAGUGCUGGAAACAGGAAAAAUCGAAUUGGAAAUGAGAUGGCUUUGUUCAGCCAAGUCUGCUCAGUCUGGGAGCACCGGACUGUCCGGUGGUGCACCGGACAGUGUCCGGUGCGCCAGGCUGGCUCGAGCGAACUGGCCGCUCUCGGGAAUUCACCGGCGACGUACGGCUAUAAUUCACCGGACUGUCCGGUGUGCACCGGACUGUCCGGUGAGCCAACGGUCGGCCGCGCGAUCUGCGCGGGACACGUGGCCGAGCCAACGGCUAGAAGGAGGCACCGGACUGUCCGGUGUGCACCGGACAUGUCCGGUGCGCCAACGGCUCUCUGGCUGCCAACGGUCGGCUGCGCCAUUUAAGGAAAGAAAUCGGGCACCGGACAGUGUCCGGUGUGCACCGGACUGUCCGGUGCGCCACGCGACAGAAGGCAAGGAUUGCCUUCCCAGAUUGCUCUCAACGGCUCCUAGCUGCCUUGGGGCUAUAAAAGGGACCUCUAGGCGCAUGGAGAAGAACACCAAGCAUCCUUUGAGCAUUCUUGAUCACUCACACUCCACUCUUGCGCACUUGUUCGACAUUCUAGUGAUUUGAGCCCCGUUCUAGUGUGCUAGUCUUGUAAGCUCAAGUCUGGGUCUUGUGUGUGCGUAUUUGCUAUGAUCUUUGUGUCUUGUGUGAGUUGCUCAUCCCUCCCUUACUCUGUGCUUCUUUGUGAACAUCAAAAGUGUAAGGGCGAGAGGCUCCAAGUUGUGGAGAUUCCUCGCGAACGGGAUAAGUGAAAGGGAAUUAGGCUUACACCUAAGUCCUAAAUAAUUUUGGUGGUUAAAUUGCCCAACACAAAUCUUUGGACUAACUAGUUUGCUCUAGUGUAUAAGUUAUACAGGUGCAAAAGGUUCACAUCUAGCCAAUAAAAAGACCAAGUGUUGGAUUCAACAAAGGAGCAAUAAGGCAACCGAGGGCACCUCUGGCUGGAGGCACCGGACUGUCCGGUGUGCACCGGACAGUGUCCGGUGCGCCCGUAGACUUCGUUUUCUACCCUUCGCCAGAGGACUUCGACUUCAACCCUUCGCCCUCGGGAAUUCGCGGAGGCCGGCGCGCUAUAAUUCACCGGACUGUCCGGUGUGCACCGGACAUGUCCGGUGCGCCAACGAACCGCGGCCUCCGGAACUCGUCAUCCUCGGGUUUUCACGACAGCCGCUCCGCUAUAAUUCACCGGACUGUCCGGUGUGCACCGGACUGUCCGGUGUGCCAGCGGAGCAACGGCUCACUGCGGCGCCAACGGCUCCCUGCGCAGCAUUAAAUGCGCGCGCAGCGCGCGCAGACGUCAGGGCUGCCCAUACCGGUGCACCGGACAUCAAACAGUGCAUGUCCGGUGUGCACCGGACACCUCGGCAGGCCCACAAGUCAGAAGCUUCAACGGUCAGAAUCCAACGGCAAUGGUGACGUGGCAGAGGCACCGGACUGUCCGGUGUGCACCGGACUGUCCGGUGCGCCAUCGAAUAGAGGCUGCCAGCAACGGUCACUUUUGGUGGUUGGGGCUAUAAAUACCCCAACCACCCCACCAUUCAUUGCAUCCAAGUUUUCCACUUCUCAACUACUACAAGAGCUCUAGCAUUCAAUUCUAGACACACUAAAGAGAUCAAAUCCUCUCCAAUUCCACACAAAGCCCUAGUGACUAGUGAGAGUGAUUUGCCGUGUUCAUUUGAGCUCUUGCGCUUGGAUUGCUUCUUUUCUUUCUCACUUGUUCUUGUGAUCAAAACUCCAUUGUAAUCAAGGCAAGAGGCACCAAUUGUGUGGUGGCCCUUGCGGGGAAGUUUUGUUCCCGGCUUUGAUUAGCGAAGAGAAGCUCACUCGGUCCGUGGGACCGUUUGAGAGAGGGAAGGGUUGAAAGAGACCCGGCCUUUGUGGCCUCCUCAACGGGGAGUAGGUUUGCAAGAACCGAACCUCGGUAAAACAAAUCUCCGUGUCUCAUUUGCUUAUUCGCUUGGGAUUUGUUUUGCGCCCUCUCUUGCGGACUCAUUUAUUAUUACUAACGCUAACCCCGGCUUGUAGUUGUGUUUAUAUUUGUAAAUUUCAGUUUCGCCCUAUUCACCCCCCUCUAGGCGACUAUCAAUUGGUAUCAGAGCCCGGUGCUUCAUUAGAGCCUAACCGCUCGAAGUGAUGUCGGGAGAUCACGCCAAGAAGGAGAUGGAGACCGGCGAAAAGCCCACUACAAGCUACGGGAGCACUUCAUCGGAAGAGUCCCGCACCAAAAGGAGGGAGAAGAAGAAGAGCUCCUCCAACAAAGGGAAGGAGAAGAAAUCUUCUUCUCACCACAAAGAGAAGAAGGAAAAAUCUUCUUCCCACAAGCCGCAUCGGAAAGGCGACAAGCACAAGAGGAUGAGGAAGGUGGUCUACUACGAGACCGACACUUCAUCAACAUCGACCUCCGACUCCGAUGCGCCCUCCGUCACUUCUAAGCGCCAAGAGCGCAAGAAGUAUAGUAAGAUCCCUCUACGCUACCCUCGCAUUUCCAAACAUACACCUUUACUUUCCGUCCCACUAGGCAAACCACCAACUUUUGAUGGUGAAGAUUACGCUAGGUGGAGCGAUUUAAUGCGAUUUCAUCUAAUCUCGCUCCACAAAAGCAUAUGGGAUGUUGUUGAGUUUGGUGCGCAGGUACCAUCCGUAGGGGAUGAAAACUAUGAUGAGGAUGAGGCGGCCCAAAUCGAGCACUUCAACUCUCAAGCCACAACCAUACUCCUUGCCUCUCUAAGCAAGGAAGAAUACAACAAAGUGCAAGGGUUGAAAAAUGCAAAGGAGAUUUGGGAUGUGCUCAAAACUGCGCACGAGGGAGAUGAGCUCACCAAGAUCACCAAGCGGGAAACGAUCGAGGGGGAGCUCGGUCGGUUCCGGCUUCACAAAGGGGAGGAGCCACAACACAUGUACAACCGGCUCAAGACUUUGGUGAACCAAGUGCGCAACCUCGGGAGCAAGAAGUGGGACGAUCACGAAGUGGUAAAUGUUAUUUUAAGAUAUCUCAUUUUUCUUAAUCCCACUCAAGUUCAAUUGAUUCGUGGUAAUCCUAGAUAUACUAAAAUGACCCCCGAGGAAGUUAUCGGGCAUUUUGUAAGUUUUGAGUGCAUGAUAGAAGGCUCGAGGAAAAUCAACGAGCUUGGCGACUCAUCCGAAGCCCAACCCGUUGCAUUCAAUGCAACGGAGGAGAAGAAGGAGGAGGCUACACCAAGUCGACAACCAAUCGACGCCUCCAAGCUCGACAAUGAGGAAAUGGCGCUCGUCAUCAAGAGCUUCCGCCAAAUCCUCAAACAAAGGAGGGGGAAAGACUACAAGUCCCGCUCCAAGAAGGUUUGCUACAAGUGUGGUAAGCCCGGUCAUUUUAUUGCUAAAUGUCCUAUAUCUAGUGACAGUGACCGAGGCGACGACAAGAAGGGGAGAAGAAAGGAAAAGAAAAGAUACUACAAGAAGAAGGGCGGCGAUGCCCAUGUUUGUCGGGAAUGGGAUUCCGACGAAAGCUCAAGCGACUCCUCCGACGACGAGGACGCCGCCAACAUCGCCGUCACCAAGGGACUCCUCUUCCCCAACGUCGGCCACAAGUGCCUCAUGGCAAAGGACGGCAAAAAGAAGAAGGUUAAAUCCAACUCCUCCACUAAAUAUGAAUCUUCUAGUGAUGAUAAUGCUAGUGAUGAGGAGGAUAAUUUGCGUUCCCUUUUUGCCAACCUCAACAUAGCUCAAAAAGAAAAAUUAAAUGAAUUAGUUAGUGCUAUUCAUGAAAAGGAUGACCUUUUGGACUCCCAAGAGGAUUGUCUAAUUAAAGAAAACAAGAAACAUGUUAAGGUUAAAAAGGCUUAUGCUCUAGAGGUAGAAAAAUGUGAAAAAUUAUCUAGUGAGCUAAGCACUUGCCGUGAGAUGAUUGACAACCUUAGAAAUGAAAAUACUAGUUUAAAUGCUAAGGUUGAUUCUCAUGUUUGUAAUGUUUCAAUUCCCAAUCCUAGAGAUAAUAAUGAUGAUUUGCUUGCUAGGAUUGAAGAAUUAAACAUUUCCCUUGCUAGCCUUAGAUUAGAGAAUGAAAGUUUGAUUGCUAAGGCUAAAGAUUUUGAUGUUUGCAAAGUUACCAUUGCCAAUCUUAGAGAUAAAAAUGAUAUUCUUCAUGCUAAGAUUGUUGAACUUAAUUCUUGCAAACCAUCUACAUCUAUUGUUGAGCAUGUAUCUAUUUGUACUAGAUGUAGAAAUGUUGAUAUUGAUGCUAUUCAUGAUCAUAUGGCUUUAAUUAAACAACAAAAUGAUCAUAUAGCAAAACUAGAUGCUAAAAUUGCCGAGCAUAACUUAGAAAAUGAAAAAUUUAAAUUUGCUAGAAGUAUGCUCUAUAAUGGGAGACGCCCUGGCAUCAAGGAUGGCAUUGGCUUCCAAAGGGGAGACAAUGUCAAACUUAAUGCCCCUCCUAAAAAUUUGUCUAACUUUGUUAAGGGCAAAGCUCCCAUGCCUCAGGAUAACGAGGGUUACAUUUUGUACCCUGCCGGUUAUCCUGAGAGCAAAAUUAGGAGAAUUCACUCUAGGAAGUCUCACUCUGGCCCCAAUCAUGCUUUCAUGUAUAAGGGUGAGACAUCUAGUUCUAGGCAACCAACCCGUACCAAGUUGCCUAAGAAGAAAAUUCCUAAUGCAUCAAAUGAACAUAGCAUUUCAUUUAAGACUUUUGAUGCAUCAUAUGUUUUGACUAACAAAUCCGGCAAGGUCGUUGCCAAGUUUGUUGGGGGCAAACACAAGGGCUCCAAGGCUUGUGUUUGGGUACCCAAAGUUCUUGUAUCUAAUGCCAAAGGACCCAAAACAGUUUGGGUACCUAAAGUCAAGAACUAAAUUUGGUUUGUAGGUUUAUGCAUCCGGGGGCUCAAGUUGGAUACUCGACAGCGGGUGCACAAACCACAUGACCGGGGAGAAAAGGAUGUUCUCCUCAUAUGAGAAAAACAAAGAUCCCCAACGAGCUAUCACAUUCGGGGAUGGAAAUCAAGGGUUGGUCAAAGGUUUGGGUAAAAUUGCUAUUUCACCUGACCAUUCCAUUUCCAAUGUUUUUCUUGUUGAUUCAUUAGAUUACAACUUGCUUUCUGUUUCCCAAUUAUGUCAAAUGGGCUACAACUGUCUUUUUACUGAUAUAGGUGUCACUGUCUUUAGAAGAAGUGAUGAUUCAAUAGCAUUUAAGGGUGUGUUAGAGGGUCAGCUAUACUUAGUGGAUUUUAAUAGAGCUGAACUCGACACAUGCUUAAUUGCUAAGACUAACAUGGGUUGGCUCUGGCAUCGCCGACUAGCCCAUGUUGGGAUGAAGAAUCUUCACAAGCUUCUAAAGGGAGAGCACAUUUUAGGAUUAACAAAUGUUCAUUUUGAGAAAGACAGGAUUUGUAGCGCAUGCCAGGCGGGGAAGCAAGUUGGAGUCCAUCACCCACACAAGAACAUCAUGACGACCGACAGGCCGCUUGAGCUACUCCACAUGGAUCUAUUCGGCCCGAUUGCUUACAUAAGCAUCGGCGGGAGUAAGUAUUGUCUUGUUAUUGUGGAUGAUUAUUCUCGCUUCACUUGGGUAUUCUUUUUACAGGAAAAAUCUCAAACCCAAGAGACCUUAAAGGGAUUCUUGAGACGAGCUCAAAAUGAGUUCGGCUUAAGGAUCAAGAAAAUAAGAAGCGACAACGGGACGGAGUUCAAGAACUCUCAAAUUGAAGGCUUCCUUGAGGAGGAGGGCAUCAAGCAUGAGUUCUCCUCUCCCUACACGCCACAACAAAAUGGUAUAGUGGAGAGGAAGAAUCGAACUCUAUUGGACAUGGCAAGAACCAUGCUUGAUGAGUACAAGACACCGGACCGGUUUUGGGCCGAAGCGGUCAACACCGCCUGCUACGCCAUCAACCGGUUAUAUCUUCACCGAAUCCUCAAGAAGACAUCAUAUGAACUCCUAACCGGUAAAAAGCCCAACAUUUCAUAUUUUAGAGUUUUUGGUAGCAAAUGCUUCAUUCUUAUUAAAAGAGGUAGAAAAUCUAAAUUUGCUCCUAAAACUGUAGAAGGCUUUUUACUUGGUUAUGACUCAAACACAAGGGCAUAUAGGGUCUUUAACAAGUCCACUGGACUAGUUGAAGUCUCUUGUGACGUUGUGUUUGAUGAAACUAACGGCUCUCAAGUAGAGCAAGUUGAUCUUGAUGAGAUAGGUGAAGAACAGGCUCCAUGCAUCGCGCUAAGGAACAUGUCCAUCGGGGAUGUGUGUCCUAAGGAAUCCGAAGAGCCUCCAAGUACACAAGAUCAACCAUCCUCCUCCAUGCAAGCAUCUCCACCAACUCAAAAUGAGGAUGAGGCUCAAAAUGAUGAAGAGCAAAAUCAAGAAGACGAGCCACCUCAAGAUGAUAGCAAUGAUCAAGGGGGAGAUACAAAUGAUCAAGAAAAGGAGGAUGAGGAAGAACCAAGACCGCCACACCCAAGAGUCCACCAAGCAAUCCAACGAGAUCACCCCGUCGACACCAUCCUCGGCGACAUUCAUAAGGGGGUAACUACUCGAUCUCGGGUUGCUCAUUUUUGUGAACAUUACUCUUUUGUUUCCUCUAUUGAGCCACACAGGGUAGAGGAAGCUCUCCAAGAUUCGGAUUGGGUGGUGGCGAUGCAAGAGGAGCUCAACAAUUUCACGAGGAAUGAGGUCUGGCAUUUAGUUCCACGUCCUAACCAAAAUGUUGUAGGAACCAAAUGGGUCUUCCGCAACAAGCAAGAUGAGCAUGGUGUGGUGACAAGGAACAAAGCUCGACUCGUAGCCAAAGGGUAUUCACAAGUCGAAGGUUUGGAUUUCGGCGAAACCUAUGCACCCGUAGCUAGGCUUGAGUCAAUUCGCAUAUUAUUGGCCUAUGCUACUUACCAUGGCUUUAAGCUCUAUCAAAUGGACGUGAAAAGUGCCUUCCUCAAUGGACCGAUCAAGGAAGAGGUCUAUGUUGAGCAACCUCCCGGCUUUGAAGACAGUGAGUAUCCAAAUCAUGUCUAUAGGCUCUCUAAGGCGCUUUAUGGGCUCAAGCAAGCCCCAAGAGCAUGGUAUGAAUGCCUUAGAGAUUUCCUUAUUGCUAAUGGCUUCAAAGUCGGCAAGGCCGAUCCUACACUCUUUACUAAAACUCUUGAAAAUGACUUGUUUGUAUGCCAAAUUUAUGUUGAUGAUAUUAUAUUUGGGUCUACUGACGAGUCUACAUGUGAAGAGUUUAGUAGGAUCAUGACACAGAAAUUCGAGAUGUCGAUGAUGGGGGAGUUGAAGUAUUUUCUAGGAUUCCAAGUCAAGCAACUCCAAGAGGGCACCUUCAUUAGCCAAACGAAGUACACUCAAGACAUUCUUGCUAAGUUUGGGAUGAAGGAUGCCAAACCCAUCAAGACACCCAUGGGAACUAAUGGGCAUCUCGACCUCGACACGGGAGGUAAGUCCGUGGAUCAAAAGGUAUACCGGUCGAUGAUUGGUUCAUUGCUUUAUUUAUGUGCAUCUCGACCGGACAUUAUGCUUUCCGUUUGCAUGUGUGCAAGAUUCCAAUCCGACCCUAAGGAAUCCCACCUUACGGCCGUAAAACGAAUCUUGAGAUAUUUGGCUUAUACCCCUAAGUUUGGGCUUUGGUACCCUCGGGGAUCCACAUUUGAUUUACUUGGUUAUUCGGAUGCCGAUUGGGCGGGGUGCAAAAUCAAUAGGAAGAGCACAUCGGGGACUUGCCAGUUCUUGGGAAGAUCCUUGGUGUCUUGGGCUUCAAAGAAGCAAAAUUCGGUCGCUCUUUCCACCGCCGAAGCCGAGUACAUUGCCGCAGGACAUUGUUGCGCGCAAUUGCUUUGGAUGAGGCAAACCCUGCGGGACUACGGUUACAAAUUAACCAAAGUCCCUUUGCUAUGUGAUAAUGAGAGUGCAAUUAAAAUGGCCGACAAUCCCGUCGAGCAUAGCCGCACUAAGCACAUAGCCAUUCGGUAUCAUUUUCUUAGGGAUCACCAACAAAAGGGGGAUAUCGAGAUUUCUUACAUUAAUACUAAAGAUCAAUUAGCCGACAUCUUUACCAAGCCACUUGAUGAACAAUCUUUUACCAGACUUAGGCAUGAGCUCAAUAUUCUUGAUUCUAGAAAUUUCUUUUGCUAAGCUUGCACACAUAGCUCAUUUGAAUACUUUUGAUCAUAUCUCCUUUAUAUGCUAUGACUAAUGUGUUUUCAAGUCUAUUUCAAACCAAGUCAUAGGUAUAUUGAAAGGGAAUUGGAGUCUUCGGCGAAGACAAAGGCUUCCACUCCGUAACUCAUGCUUCGCCAUCACUCCGAGCAACUCUCUAUUCCUUGGGGAGAAAUGAGCAUCAAAGAAAAGGACUUCAUCCUUGGAGGAGAGAGUAAAAGCUCAAAAGCAAAAGGACCGGAUUUCGUCUUUGGUAUAAUCUUAACUCAUUUACUUAUGACCAAAGGGGAAGAAAUUACUAAGGAGGGCUCUAAUGAUUCCGUUUUUGGCGAUUCAUGCCAAAAAGGGGGAGAAAUGAGCCCAAAGCAAAAGGACCGCACCACCACCACCAAAUUCAAAAACUUAGUGCUUUCCAAAAGUCUUUAUCAUUUGGUAUCCUAUUGUGUUCAAAAGGGGGAGAAAGUAGUAUUUCAAAAAUGGUAUAUCAAAACCCUCUUGAACACUAAGAGGUGGAUCUCUUUUAGGGGGAGUUUUGUUUAGUCAAAGGAAAAGCAUUUGAAAUAGGUGGAGAAAAUUUCAAAUCUUGAAAAUGCUUUACAAACUCUUAUUCAUUUACCUUUGACUAUUUGCAAAAGAUCUUUGAAAUGGAUUUACAAAAAGGAUUUGCAAAAACAAAACAUGUGGUGUAAACGUGGUCCAAAAUGUUACAUAAGAAAGGAACAUUCCAUGCAUAUCUUGUAAGUAGUUAUAUUGGCUCAAUUCCAAGCAACCUUUACACUUACAUUAUGCAAACUAGUUCAAUUAUGCACUUCUAUAUUUGCUUUGGUUUGUGUUGGCAUCAAUCACCAAAAAGGGGGAGAUUGAAAGGGAAUUAGGCUUACACCUAAGUCCUAAAUAAUUUUGGUGGUUAAAUUGCCCAACACAAAUCUUUGGACUAACUAGUUUGCUCUAGUGUAUAAGUUAUACAGGUGCAAAAGGUUCACAUCUAGCCAAUAAAAAGACCAAGUGUUGGAUUCAACAAAGGAGCAAUAAGGCAACCGAGGGCACCUCUGGCUGGAGGCACCGGACUGUCCGGUGUGCACCGGACAGUGUCCGGUGCGCCCGUAGACUUCGUUUUCUACCCUUCGCCAGAGGACUUCGACUUCAACCCUUCGCCCUCGGGAAUUCGCGGAGGCCGGCGCGCUAUAAUUCACCGGACUGUCCGGUGUGCACCGGACAUGUCCGGUGCGCCAACGAACCGCGGCCUCCGGAACUCGUCAUCCUCGGGUUUUCACGACAGCCGCUCCGCUAUAAUUCACCGGACUGUCCGGUGUGCACCGGACUGUCCGGUGUGCCAGCGGAGCAACGGCUCACUGCGGCGCCAACGGCUCCCUGCGCAGCAUUAAAUGCGCGCGCAGCGCGCGCAGACGUCAGGGCUGCCCAUACCGGUGCACCGGACAUCAAACAGUGCAUGUCCGGUGUGCACCGGACACCUCGGCAGGCCCACAAGUCAGAAGCUUCAACGGUCAGAAUCCAACGGCAAUGGUGACGUGGCAGAGGCACCGGACUGUCCGGUGUGCACCGGACUGUCCGGUGCGCCAUCGAACAGAGGCUGCCAGCAACGGUCACUUUUGGUGGUUGGGGCUAUAAAUACCCCAACCACCCCACCAUUCAUUGCAUCCAAGUUUUCCACUUCUCAACUACUACAAGAGCUCUAGCAUUCAAUUCUAGACACACUAAAGAGAUCAAAUCCUCUCCAAUUCCACACAAAGCCCUAGUGACUAGUGAGAGUGAUUUGCCGUGUUCAUUUGAGCUCUUGCGCUUGGAUUGCUUCUUUUCUUUCUCACUUGUUCUUGUGAUCAAAACUCCAUUGUAAUCAAGGCAAGAGGCACCAAUUGUGUGGUGGCCCUUGCGGGGAAGUUUUGUUCCCGGCUUUGAUUAGCGAAGAGAAGCUCACUCGGUCCGUGGGACCGUUUGAGAGAGGGAAGGGUUGAAAGAGACCCGGCCUUUGUGGCCUCCUCAACGGGGAGUAGGUUUGCAAGAACCGAACCUCGGUAAAACAAAUCUCCGUGUCUCAUUUGCUUAUUCGCUUGGGAUUUGUUUUGCGCCCUCUCUUGCGGACUCAUUUAUUAUUACUAACGCUAACCCCGGCUUGUAGUUGUGUUUAUAUUUGUAAAUUUCAGUUUCGCCCUAUUCACCCCCCCUCUAGGCGACUAUCAAUAAGAAAAGAAAAGCAAAACACUGUGGUAUUCAAGUUGAUCAUUGGAUCACUUGAGAGGAGUUGAGUGCAACUCUCGUCCGUUGGGACGCCACAACGUGGAGUAGGCAAGUUUUGUACUUGGCCGAACCACGGGAUAAACCACUGUGUCAUCUCUGUGAUUGAUCUCUUGUGGUUAUUGUGUUUUGUUGAGACUCCUCUCUAGCCACUUGGCAAUUAUUGUGCUAACCUUAACCAAGUUUUGUGGCUUAAGUUUUAUAUUUCACAGGAUCACCUAUUCACCCCCUCUCUAGGUGCUCUCAAUUGGUAUCAGAGCCGUUCUCUUCAAGAAAGGGACUAACCGCCCGAAGAGAUGGAUCCUAAGGGGAAGGGAAUCGUGAUCAACAACAAGGAGAAGGAGUCCUUCGUCAACGAGCCGAAGGAUGACAAGCCUACCGACUCGGGCUCAGGCCACAGACGCAAAGAUGGGAAGAAGAAGAAGACAAGACGCAUCAAGGAGAUCGUCUACUACGACGACAGCGAUGAGUCCACUUCUUCCCAAAAGGACAACGACGACAACGACUGCGAGAGAAGGAAACCGGUUAAUUCAAACUUUUCUUUUGACUACUCUCGUAUUCCGCAAAGUACAAAUGCUCAUUUAUUAUCCAUUCCACUUGGUAAACCUCCUCAUUUUGAUGGAGAAGACUACGGAUUUUGGAGUCACAAAAUGCGUAGUCACUUGUUCUCUCUCCAUCCUAGCAUAUGAGAGAUAGUAGAAAGUGGAAUGCAUUUUGAUAGUAGUGAUAGUCCCAUGUUUAUCAAUGAGCAAAUUCAUAAAAACGCACAAGCUACUACUGUGUUGAAAGGGAAAUGUGCCCUUGGGCCAUUUCUAAGUAUUUUGGUGAUUGAGUGCAAACACAAAGUGCUUAAAUGUGAAUUUAUGCCCAUGGAUGAACAAAGUGCAAAUCACGAGUAAAGGUAUGUUUCUAAGCCUUAGUACAUUGGUUUUGUGUACUAAUAUACUUGUCUAAGUGUUAGAAACAGAAAGAAGAAGAAAAGAAAAGAGGUGUGAAAGGCUUGGCUGUGUACAGCCAAGACUCAGCUCUGUCUGGCACACCGGACUGUCCGGUGGUGCACCGGACAGUGUCCGGUGCGCCAGGCUGACUCGGCGUGAAGUGGCCGCUCUCGGGAAUUCGCCGACGGCGUACGGCUAAAAUUCACCGGACUGUCCGGUGUGCACCGGACUGUCCGGUGAGCCAACGGUCGGCCGGGCCAACGGUCGGCCGGGCCAACGGUCGGCCGCGGAAUCUGCGCGCGACACGUGGUCGGGCCAACGGUCGGAAGGGGGCACCGGACUGUCCGGUGUGCACCGGACAUGUCCGGUGCGCCAAAGGCUCCCAGAUCUGCAAUGGUCGGCCGCGCCAUUUAAGGAAGGAAAUCGGGCACCGGACAGUGUCCGGUGUGCACCGGACUGUCCGGUGCACCCGACGACAGAAGGCAAGAUUGGCCUUCCAGAUUUGCUCUCAACGGCUCCUAGCUGCCUUGGGGCUAUAAAAGGGACCCCUAGGCGCAUGGAGGAGACACCCAAGCAACCUUAGAGCAUUCUUGAUCAUCCACACUCAGUCUUUGCGCAUUCAUUUGUCAUUCUCAGUGAUUCGAGCUCCGUUCUAGUGAGAACUUUGAGAUAGUCUUUUGAGCUCGAUUCUUGGCCGUGUGUGUGCGCAUUUUGCUGUGGAAUUGUGUGUGUUGCUUCCCUUCCUUACUCCGUAUUUCUUUGUGAAUCUCAAGUGUAAGGGCGAGAGGCUCCAAGUUGUGGAGAUUCCUCGCAAACGGGAUAUUGAAAGGCAAAGCAAAACACCGUGGUAUUCAAGUUGGUCUUUGGACCGCUUGAGAGGGGUUGAUUGCAACCCUCGUCCGUUGGGACGCCACAACGUGGAGUAGGCAAGCGUUGGUCUUGGCCGAACCACGGGAUAAACCACUGUGUCAUCUCUGUGUUUGAUCUCUUGUGGUAUUGUGUUUUGUUGAGACUCCUCUCUAGCCACUUGGCAAUUAUUGUGCUAACACUUAACAAGUUUUUGUGGCUAUAAGUUUAAGUUUCACAGGAUCACCUAUUCACCCCCCCUCUAGGUGCUCUCAAUUGGUAUCAGAGCCGUUCUCUUCAAGAAGAGGGACUAACCGCCCGAAGAGAUGGAUCCUAAGGGCAAGGGGAUAGUGAUCAACGAUAAGGAGAAGGAGUCCUUCGUCAACAAGCCCAAAGAUGACAAGCCUACCAACUCCGGCUCGGGUCAUAGACGAAAGGAAGGGAAGAAGAAGAAGACAAGGCGCAUCAAGGAGAUCGUCUACUACGACGACAGCGAUGAGUCUACUUCUUCCCAAAAGGACGACGACCACAACGACUACGAGAGAAGGAAACCGGUUAAUUCGAACUUUUCCUUUGACUACUCUCGUAUUCCGCAAAGUUCAAAUUCACAUUUGCUCUCCAUUCCACUCGGCAAGCCCCCACACUUUGAUGGGGAGGACUAUGGAUUUUGGAGCCACAAAAUGCGUAGUCAUCUAUUCUCUCUCCAUCCUAGUAUAUGGGAGAUUGUAGAUAGUGGAAUGCACUUUGAUAGUUCGGAUAGUCCUAUAUUCAUUAAUGAGCAAAUCCAUAAGAAUGCACAAGCUACUACUGUUCUUCUAGCUUCAUUGUGCAGGGAUGAAUAUAACAAAAUGAGCGGCUUGGAUAACGCCAAGCAGAUCUGGGACACCCUCAAGAUUUCUCAUGAGGGAAAUGACGUUACCUUGCUCACCAAAAUGGAGUUGGUGGAGGGCGAGCUUGGACGGUUCGCGAUGAUAAGGGGCGAGGAGCCAACUCAAACAUACAACCGGCUCAAGACCCUUAUUAACAAAAUAAGGAGCUACGGAAGCACGCGAUGGACGGACCACGACGUCGUUCGACUAAUGCUAAGGUCCUUUACCGUUCUUGAUCCUCAUUUGGUGAAUAAUAUUCGUGAGAAUCCCAGGUACACCAAAAUGUCGCCCGAAGAAGUCCUAGGAAAAUUCGUCAGCGGGCGAAUGAUGAUCAAGGAGGCGAGGUACGUGGACGACGCCUUGAAUGGACCGAUCAACGAGCCGCAACCUCUUGCUCUCAAAGCCACAAGAAGCAAGGAGGCGCUACCUAGCAAGGUGGCACAAAUUGAAGCGGCCGGACUUAAUGAUGAAGAGAUGGCCCUCAUCAUCAAAAGAUUCAAGACGGCGCUUAAGGGUCGCAAGGGACAGCCAAGCAAGACCAAAGCCAAGGGGAAGCGCUCAUGCUUCAAAUGCGGUAAGCUUGGUCAUUUUAUUGCUAAUUGUCCCGACAAUGAUAGUGAUCAGGACCAAGGGAACAAGAGAGAGUAAAAGAAGCAUUACAAGAAGGCCAAGGGCGAGGCACAUAUCGGAAAGGAGUGGGAUUCGGAUUGCUCCUCCUCCGACUCCGACAAUGAAGGACUCGCCGCCACUGCCUUCAACAAGUCAUCCCUCUUCCCCAACGAGCGUCACACUUGCCUCAUGGCAAGGGAGAAGAAAGUAAGCACUCAUGAUACUAGUACUUAUGCUUCUUCAAGUGAGGAUGAGUCUAGUGAUGAUGAUGAGAUAGAUUACUCAUGCUUAUUCAAGGGAUUAGAUAGAUCUAAAAUUAAUAAGAUUAAUGAGUUGAUUGAUGCUUUGAAUGACAAGAAUAGAUUACUAGAAAAACAAGAAGAUCUUUUAUAUGAGGAGCAUGAUAAAUUUGUUAGUGCACAAAAAUCUCUUGCUCUAGAAAUUAAAAGAAAUGAAAUGCUCUCUGGUGAAUUAUCUACUUGUCAUGAAACCAUUUCUACUUUACAAGGUGUUAACAAUGAUUUAAAUACUAAAUUAGAAGUAGCAAAUAAAUCUAAUUCUUGUGUAGAACAUGUUAUAAUUUGUACUAGGUGUAAAGAUUUUGACAUUGAUGCUUGUAGUGAACACCUAGUUUCAAUUUCCAAACUUAAUGAUGAAUUGGCUAGUCUUAAUGCUCAACUUAAGACUAGCAAGAAUGAUUUCGAUAAGCUAAAAUUUGCAAGGGAUGCCUACACGAUUGGUAGACACCCCUCAAUUAAGGAUGGACUUGGCUUCAAGAGGGAAGCCAAGAACUUAACAAGCCAUAAGGCUCCCAUCUCCGCCAAGGAGAAAGGGAAGGCCCCUAUGGCAAGUAGUGCUAAAAAGAACCAUGCUUUCAUGUACCAUGAUAAGAGACAAACUAGAAAUGCUUAUAGGAGUUACAAUGCUUAUGAUGAUUUUGAUUCUCAUGACAUGUUUGCUUCUAGUUCUUUCUGUGUGCAUGAUAGAAAUGUUGGUAGGAAAAAUGUUGUUCACAAUAUGCCUAGGAGAAAUGUUGUUAAUGUUCCUAGGAAAGUUAAUGAACCUUCUACAAUAUAUCAUGCUUUGAGUGCCUCCUUUGCAAUUUGUAGAAAGGAUAGAAAGGUGAUUGCUAGGAAAUUAGGGGCAAAAUGCAAGGGAGAUAAAACUUGCAUUUGGGUCCCUAAGACAAUUGUGACUAACCUUGUAGGACCCAACAAGAGUUGGGUACCUAAGUCCCAAGCCUAAAUUUGCCUUGCAGGUUUAUGCAUCCGGGGGUUCAAGCUAGAUUAUCGACAGCGGAUGCACAAACCAUAUGACGGGGGAGAAGAAGAUGUUCACCUCCUACGUCAAGAAUAAGGAUUCCCAAGAUUCAAUUAUAUUCGGUGAUGGGAAUCAAGGCAAGGUAAAAGGGUUAGGUAAAAUUGCAAUUUCUAAUGAGCACUCUAUCUCUAAUGUGUUUUUAGUAGAGUCUCUUGGAUAUAAUUUGCUAUCGGUUAGUCAAUUAUGCAAUAUGGGAUAUAACUGUCUAUUUACAAAUGUAGAUGUGUCUGUCUUUAGAAGAAGUGAUGGUUCACUAGCUUUUAAGGGUGUAUUAGACGUCAAACUUUAUUUAGUUGAUUUUGCAAAAGAAGAGGCCGGUCUAGAUGCAUGCUUAAUAGCUAAGAGUAGCAUGGGCUGGCUGUGGCAUCGCCGCUUAGCACAUGUGGGGAUGAAGAACCUUCACAAGCUUCUAAAGGGAGAACACGUGAUAGGUUUGACUAACGUGCAAUUCGAAAAAGAUAGACCUUGUGCAGCUUGUCAGGCAGGUAAACAGGUGGGAGGAGCGCAUCACAGCAAGAAUGUGAUGACCACAUCAAGACCCCUGGAGCUGCUACAUAUGGACCUCUUCGGACCCGUCGCCUAUCUAAGCAUAGGAGGAAGUAAGUAUGGUUUAGUUAUUGUUGAUGACUUUUCCCGCUUCACUUGGGUGUUCUUUUUGCAGGAUAAGUCUGAAACCCAAGGGACCCUCAAGCGCUUCCUCAGGAGAGCUCAAAAUGAGUUUGAGCUCAAAGUGAAGAAGAUAAGGAGCGACAACGGGUCCGAGUUCAAGAACCUUCAAGUGGAGGAGUUCCUUGAGGAGGAAGGGAUCAAGCACGAGUUCUCCGCUCCCUACACACCACAGCAAAAUGGUGUGGUAGAGAGGAAGAACAUGACGCUAAUCGAUAUGGCGAGGACGAUGCUAGGAGAAUUCAAGACCCCCGAGCGUUUUUGGUCGGAAGCCGUGAACACGGCUUGCCACGCCAUCAACAGGGUCUACCUUCAUCGCCUCCUCAAGAAGACUUCGUAUGAGCUACUAACCGGUAACAAACCCAAUGUAUCUUACUUUCGUGUAUUUGGGAGCAAGUGCUACAUUCUAGUGAAGAAGGGUAGAAAUUCUAAGUUUGCUCCCAAAGCUGUAGAAGGGUUUUUGUUAGGUUAUGACUCAAAUACAAAGGCGUAUAGAGUCUUCAACAAAUCAUCGGGUUUGGUUGAAGUUUCUAGCGACGUUGUAUUUGAUGAAACUAAUGGCUCUCCUAGAGAGCUAGUGGUUGAUCUUGAUGAUGUAGACGAAGAAGAUGUUCCGACGGCUGCUAUACGAACCAUGGCGAUUGGUAAUGUGCGACCACAGGAACAAGAUGAGCAAGAUCAACCUUCUUCCUCAACUAUGGUGCAUCCCCCAACUCAAGACGAUGAACAGGUUCAUCAACAGGAGGCGUGUGAUCAAGGGGGAGCACAAGAUGAUCAUGUGAUGGAGGAAGAAGCGGAACCGACACCUCCAACCCAAGUUCGAGCGAUGAUUCAAAGGGAUCAUCCCGUAGACCAAAUUCUGGGUCACAUUAGCAAGGGAGUAACUACUCGGUCUCGAUUAGUUAAUUUUUGUGAACAUUACUCCUUUGUCUCUUCUAUUGAGCCUUUCAGGGUAGAAGAGGCCUUGCUAGAUCCGGACUGGGUGUUGGCCAUGCAAGAGGAGCUCAACAACUUCAAGAGGAAUGAAGUUUGGACGCUGGUUCCUCGUUUGCUCAACAACUUCAAAAUGUUGUGGGAACCAAGUGGGUGUUCCGCAACAAACAGGACGAGCACGAGGUGGUGACGAGAAACAAGGCUCGACUUGUGGCAAAAGGUUAUGCCCAAGUCGCAGGUUUGGACUUUGAGGAGACGUUUGCUCCUGUGGCUAGGCUAGAAUCAAUUCGUAUCUUGCUAGCAUAUGCCGCUCACCAUUCUUUCAGGUUGUACCAAAUGGAUGUGAAGAGCGCUUUCCUCAACGGGCCAAUAAAGGAGGAGGUGUACGUGGAGCAACCCCCUGGCUUCGAGGAUGAACGGUACCCCGACCACGUGUGUAAGCUCUCUAAGGCGCUCUAUGGACUUAAGCAAGCCCUAAGAGCAUGGUAUGAAUGCCUUAGAGAUUUCUUAAUCGCUAAUGCUUUCAAGGUUGGGAAAGCCGAUCCAACUCUUUUCACUAAGACAUGUAAUGGUGAUUUGUUUGUGUGCCAAAUUUAUGUCGAUGACAUAAUAUUUGGUUCUACUAAUAAAAAGUCUUGUGAAGAGUUUAGCAGGGUGAUGACGCAGAAAUUCGAGAUGUCAAUGAUGGGCGAGUUGAACUACUUCCUUGGGUUCCAAGUGAAGCAACUCAAGGACGGCACCUUCAUCUCUCAAACGAAGUACACGCAAGACCUGCUGAAGCGGUUUGGGAUGAAGGACGCCAAGCCCGCAAAGACUCCGAUGGGGACCGACGGACACACCGACCUCAACAAAGGAGGUAAGUCUGUUGAUCAAAAAGCAUACCGGUCAAUGAUAGGGUCUUUACUUUAUUUAUGUGCUAGUAGACCGGAUAUUAUGCUUAGCGUAUGCAUGUGUGCUAGAUUUCAAUCCGAUCCUAAGGAGUGUCACUUAGUGGCAGUGAAGCGAAUCCUUAGAUAUUUAGUUGCUACGCCUUGCUUCGGGCUCUGGUAUCCAAAGGGGUCUACCUUUGACUUAAUUGGAUAUUCAGAUUCCGACUAUGCUGGAUGUAAGGUCGAUAGGAAGAGUACAUCGGGGACGUGCCAAUUCUUAGGAAGGUCCCUGGUGUCGUGGAACUCUAAGAAACAAACUUCCGUUGCCCUAUCCACCGCUGAGGUCGAGUAUGUUGCCGCAGGACAGUGUUGCGCGCAACUACUUUGGAUGAGGCAAACCCUCAGGGACUUUGGCUACAAUUUGAGCAAAGUCCCACUCCUAUGUGAUAAUGAGAGUGCUAUCCGCAUGGCGGAAAAUCCUGCUGAGCACAGCCGCACAAAGCACAUAGACAUCCGGCAUCACUUUCUGAGAGACCACCAGCAAAAGGGAGAUAUCGAAGUGUUUCAUGUUAGCACUGAGAACCAGCUAGCCGAUAUCUUUACCAAGCCUCUAGAUGAGAAGACCUUUUGCAGGCUGCGAAGUGAGCUAAAUGUCUUAGAUUCGCGGAACUUGGAUUGAAUUGUUGCUUAUUGUGGUGCUCAAGUUGUACAAACACUCCCUGGACCUCACAAGUCCGUUGCAAAGUGAUGCACAUGUUUAGGGGGAGAUGUGUUACAACUUGACCCUUUGAGACUAACCAUAUGCUUGAGUUUGCUUGAUUUAGUCUCGAAGGAGAAUUGAAAGGGAAAAGGUGAACUUGGACCAUGAAAGACUUCCACUGCACUCCGAUGAGAGGGUAACUUAUUCCAAGUUCAUCUCAUGAACUCUUAUUGCCAUUUGCUCUUAAUUGAAGAUUUUGGUGAGGCAAUGGGGUUAAAGGGCCAAGAUUGAUCCCGUUUUGGUGCUUGAUGCCAAAGGGGGAGAAAAUAAAGGCCAAAGCAAUAAAUGGAUCAGCUACCACUUGAGAAAUUUUGAAAAAUAGUAAAAUAGAGCUUUUUGUUUUGUCAAAACUCUUGCAUUGUCUCUUUUGUCAAAAGUUGGCCUCUUGUGGGGAGAAGUGUUGAUUAUGGGAAAUAGGGGGAGUUUUUGAUCAAUCUCUUUUGGAAUGACUCUCUUUAUGCUUCAACAUGUGUGUUUGACUUAGAGAUAGAGAUUUGAGUCUGAUUUGCAAAAACAAACCAAGUGGUGGCAAAGGAUGAUCCAUAUAUGCCAAAAAUGAAUCAAAAUAAAUUUGAGUUUUAUUUGAAGUGAUAUUGCACUUGUUCCAGUUGCUUUAUGUUGUGUUGGCAUAAAUCACCAAAAAGGGGGAGAUUGAAAGGGAAAUGUGCCCUUGGGCCAUUUCUAAGUAUUUUGGUGAUUGAGUGCAAACACAAAGUGCUUAAAUGUGAAUUUAUGCCCAUGGAUGAACAAAGUGCAAAUCACGAGUAAAGGUAUGUUUCUAAGCCUUAGUACAUUGGUUUUGUGUACUAAUAUACUUGUCUAAGUGUUAGAAACAGAAAGAAGAAGAAAAGAAAAGAGGUGUGAAAGGCUUGGCUGUGUACAGCCAAGACUCAGCUCUGUAUGGCACACUGGACUGUCCGGUGGUGCACCGGACAGUGUCCGGUGCGCCAGGCUGACUCGGCGUGAAGUGGCCGCUCUCGGGAAUUCGCCGACGACGUACGGCUAAAAUUCACCGGACUGUCCGGUGAGCCAACGGUCGGCCGGGCCAACGGUCGGCCGCAGAAUCUGCGCGCGACACGUGGCCGGGCCAACGGUCGGAAGGGGGCACCGGACUGUCCGGUGUGCACCGGACAUGUCCGGUGCGCCAAAGGCUCGCAGAUCUGCAACGGUCGGCCGUGCCAUUUAAGGAAGGAAAUCGGGCACCGGACAGUGUCCGGUGUGCACCGGACUGUCCGGUGCACCCGACGACAGAAGGCAAGAUUGGCCUUCCAGAUUUGCUCUCAACGGCUCCUAGCUGCCUUGGGGCUAUAAAAGGGACCCCUAGGCGCAUGGAGGAGACACCCAAGCAACCUUAGAGCAUUCUUGAUCAUCCACACUCAGUCUUUGCGCAUUCAUUUGUCAUUCUCAAUGAUUCGAGCUCCGUUCUAGUGAGAACUUUGAGAUAGUCUUUUGAGCUCGAUUCUUGGCCGUGUGUGUGCGCAUUUUGCUGUGGAAUUGUGUGUGUUGCUUCCCUUCCUUACUCCAUAUUUCUUUGUGAAUCUCAAGUGUAAGGGCGAGAGGCUCCAAGUUGUGGAGAUUCCUCGCAAACGGGAUAUUGAAAGGCAAAGCAAAACACCAUGGUAUUCAAGUUGGUCUUUGGACCGCUUGUGAGGGGUUGAUUGCAACCCUCGUCCGUUGGGACGCCACAACGUGGAGUAGGCAAGCGUUGGUCUUGGCCGAACCACGGGAUAAACCACUGUGUCAUCUCUGUGUUUGAUCUCUUGUGGUAUUGUGUUUUGUUGAGACUCCUCUCUAGCCACUUGGCAAUUAUUGUGCUAACACUUAACAAUUUUUUGUGGCUAUAAGUUUAAGUUUCACAGGAUCACCUAUUCACCCCCCCUCUAGGUGCUCUCAUGUGUUGCUAGCCUCAUUGUGCAGGGAUGAGUACCACAAAGUGAGCGGCUUGGACAAUGCCAAGCAGAUCUGGGACACCCUCAAGAUCUCACAUGAGGGCAACGAUGUCACCAUGCUCACCAAGAUGGAGUUGGUGGAAGGCGAACUUGGGAGAUUCGCUAUGAUAAGGGGGGAGGAGCCAACCCAAACAUACAACCGGCUAAAGACCCUUGUCAACAAGAUAAGGAGCUACGGAAGCACGCGAUGGACGGACCACGACGUCGUCCGCCUAAUGUUAAGGUCGUUCACUGUCCUUGAUCCUCAUCUUGUGAACAAUAUUCGUGAGAAUCCUAGGUACAUCAAGAUGACGCCCGAGGAGAUACUUGGAAAGUUCGUGAGCGGGCGAAUGAUGAUCAAGGAAGCAAGAUACGUGGAUGACGCAUUGAAUGGUCCAAUCAAUGAGCCUCAACCUCUUGCUCUCAAGGCAACAAGAAGCAAGGAGACGCUACCUAGCAAGGUGGCACAAAUUGAGGCGGCUGGACUUAACGAUGAAGAGAUGGCACUCAUCAUCAAGAGAUUCAAGACGGCGCUAAAAGGUCGCAAGGGGCAGCCAAGCAAGACCAAGACAAAGGGGAAGCGCUCAUGCUUCAAAUGUGGUAAGCUUGGUCAUUUUAUUGCUAACUGUCCCGACAAUGAUAGUGAUCAGGAUCAAGGGAACAAGAGGGAAAAGAAGAAGUACUAUAAGAAGGCAAAGGGCGAGGCUCAUCUAGGCAAGGAGUGGGAUUCGGAUUGCUCCUCUUUCGACUCCGACAAUGAAGGACUCGCCGCCACCGCCUUCAACAAGUCAUCCCUCUUCCCCAACGAGCGUCACACAUGCCUUAUGGCAAGGGAGAAGAAGGUAUGUACUCGAAACACUACUUAUGCUUCUUCAAGUGAGGACGAAUCUAGUGAUGAGAAUGAAAUAGAUUAUUCAUGUUUAUUUAAAGGCUUAGAUAGAUCUAAGGUAGAUAAAAUUAAUGAAUUGAUUGAUGCCUUGAAUGAUAAGAAUAGGCUUUUAGAAAAGCAAGAGGAUUUGUUGUAUGAAGAACAUGACAAAUUUGUAGAAGCACAAAAAUCUCAUGCUCUAGAAGUUAAAAGAAAUGAAAUGCUUUCUUGUGAAUUAUCUUCUUGUCAUGAGACAAUUUCUAACUUAAAAAGCAUUAAUGAUGAUUUGAAUGCUAAGUUAGAAAUAGCUAGUAAAUCAACAUCUUGUGUAGAAAAUGAUGUUAUUUGCAAUAGGUGUAAAGAUCUUGAUAUUGAUGCUUGUAGUGAACACAUAGCCUCUAUUGCAAAAUUAAAUGAUGAAGUUGCUAGUCUUAAUGCCCAACUUAAGACUAGCAAAAGUGAAUUUGACAAAUUAAAAUUUGCAAGGGAUGCCUACACAAUUGGUAGACACCCCUCAAUUAAGGAUGGUCUUGGCUUCAAGAAGGAAGUCAAGAACUUAACAAGCCAUAAGGCUUCCAUCUCCACAAAGGAGAAAGGGAAGGCCCCUAUGGCAAGUAAUGCUAAAAAGAACCAUGCCUUCAUGUACCAUGAUAGAAAAUUUUCUGGAAAUGUUCAUGAUGAUAGGAGUUGUAAUGCUUAUAAUGCUUUUGACUCUCAUGCCAUGUUUGCUUCUAAUUCUUCCUAUAUGCAUGGUAGAAAUGUGUUUAGAAGAAAUACUGUUCAUCAUAUGCCUAGGAGAAAUGUUGUCAAUAUUCCUAGAAAAGUUAAUGAACCUUCUACAAUUUAUCAUGCUUGUGAUGCUUCAUUUGCAAUUUGUAGAAAGGAUAGAAAGGUGAUUGCUAGGAAAUUAGGGGCAAAAUGCAAGGGAGAUAAAACUUGCAUUUGGGUCCCUAAGACAAUUGUGACUAACCUUGUAGGACCCAACAAGAGUUGGGUACCUAAGUCCCAAGCCUAAAUUUUCCUUGCAGGUUUAUGCAUCCGGGGGUUCAAGCUGGAUUAUUGACAGCGGAUGCACAAACCAUAUGACGGGGGAGAAGAAGAUGUUUACCUCCUACGUCAAGAACAAGGAUUCCCAAGAUUCAAUAAUAUUCGGUGAUGGGAACCAAGGCAAGGUAAAAGGGUUAGGUAAAAUUGCAAUCUCAAAUGAGCACUCUAUUUCUAAUGUGUUUUUAGUUGAGUCUCUGGGAUAUAAUUUACUAUAUGUUAGUCAAUUAUGCAAUAUGGGAUAUAACUGUUUAUUCACAAACAUAGAUGUGUCUGUCUUUAGAAGGUGUGAUGGUUCACUAGCUUUUAAGGGUGUACUAGACGGCAAACUUUAUUUAGUUGAUUUUGCAAAAGAGGAGGCCGAUCUAGAUGCAUGCUUAAUUGCUAAGACUUGCAUGGGCUAGCUGUGGCAUCACCGCUUAGCACAUGUGGGGAUGAAGAAUCUUCACAAGCUUUUAAAGGGAGAACAUGUGAUAGGUUUAACUAACGUGCAAUUCGAAAAAGAUAGACCUUGUGCAGCAUGUCAAGCAGGUAAACAGGUGGGAGGAGCACAUCACAGCAAGAAUGUGAUGACCACAUCAAGGCCCCUGGAGCUGCUACAUAUGGACCUCUUCGGACCCGUCGCCUAUCUAAGCAUAGGGGGAAGUAAGUAUGGUUUAGUUAUUGUGGAUGACUUUUCCCGCUACACUUGGGUAUUCUUUUUGCAGGAUAAGUCUGAAACCCAAGGGACCCUCAAGCGCUUCCUAAGGAGAGCUCAAAACGAGUUUGAGCUCAAGGUGAAAAAAACAAGGAGCGACAAUGGGUCCGAGUUCAAGAACCUUCAAGUGGAGGAGUACCUUGAAGAGGAAGGGAUCAAGCACGAGUUCUCCGCUCCCUACACACCACAGCAAAAUGGUGUGGUAGAGAGGAAGAACAGGACGCUAAUCGAUAUGGCGAGGACGAUGCUUGGAGAGUUCAAGACCCCCGAGCGUUUUUGGUCGGAAGCCGUGAACACGGCUUGCCACGCCAUCAACAGGGUCUACCUUCACCGCCUCCUCAAGAAGACGUCGUAUGAGCUUCUAACCGGUAACAAACCCAAUGUAUCUUACUUUCGUGUAUUUGGGAGCAAAUGCUACAUUCUAGUGAAGAAGGGUAGAAAUUCUAAGUUUGCUCCCAAAGCUGUAGAAGGGUUUUUGUUAGGUUAUGACUCAAAUACAAAGGCGUAUAGGGUCUUCAACAAAUCAUCGGGUUUGGUUGAAGUCUCUAGCGACGUUGUAUUUGAUGAGACUAAUGGCUCUCCAAGAGAGCAAGUUGUUGAUCUUGAUGAUGUAGAUGAAGAAGAUGUUCCGACGGCCGCUAUACGAACCAUGGCGAUUGGUGAUGUGCGACCACAGGAACAAGAUGAGCAAGAUCAACCUUCUUCCUCGACUGUGGUGCAUCCCCCAACUCAAGACGAUGAACAGGUUCAUCAACAGGAGGCGUGUGAUCAAGGGGGAGCACAAGAUGAUCAUGUGAUGGAGGAAGAAGCGCAACCGGCACCUCCAACCCAAGUUCGAGCGAUGAUUCAAAGGGAUCAUCCCGUCGAUCAAAUUCUGGGUGAUAUUAGCAAGGGAGUAACUACUCGAUCUCGAUUAGUUAAUUUUUGUGAGCAUUACUCCUUUGUCUCUUCUAUUGAGCCUUUCAGGGUAGAGGAGGCCUUGCUAGAUCCGGACUGGGUGUUGGCCAUGCAAGAGGAGCUCAACAACUUCAAGAGAAAUGAAGUUUGGACGCUGGUGCCUCGUCCUAAGCAAAAUGUUGUGGGAACCAAGUGGGUGUUCCGCAACAAACAAGACGAGCACGGAGUGGUGACGAGGAACAAGGCUCGACUUGUGGCAAAUGGGUAUGCCCAAGUCGCAGGUUUGGACUUUGAGGAGACUUUUGCUCCUGUGGCUAGACUAGAGUCCAUUCGUAUUUUGCUAGCAUAUGCCGCUCACCAUUCUUUCAGGUUGUUCCAAAUGGAUGUGAAGAGCGCUUUCCUCAACGGGCCAAUCAAGGAGGAGGUGUACGUAGAGCAACCCCCUGGCUUCGAGGAUGAACGGUACCCUGACCACGUGUGUAAGCUCUCUAAGGCGCUCUAUAGACUUAAGCAAGCCCCAAGAGCAUGGUAUGAAUGCCUUAGAGACUUUCUAAUUGCUAAUGCUUUCAAGGUUGGGAAAGCCGAUCCAACUCUGUUCACUAAGACUUGUGACGGUGAUCUUUUUGUAAGCCAAAUUUAUGUCGAUGACAUAAUAUUUGGUUCUACUAAUAAAAAGUCUUGUGAAGAGUUUAGCAGGGUAAUGACGCAGAAAUUCGAGAUGUCGAUGAUGGGCGAGUUGAACUACUUCCUUGGGUUCCAAGUGAAGCAACUCAAGGAUGGCACCUUCAUCUCUCAAACGAAGUACACGCAAGACUUGCUGAAGCGGUUUGGGAUGAAGGAUGCCAAGCCCGCAAAGACUCCGAUCGGGACCGACGGACACACCGACCUCAACAAAGGAGGUAAGUCCGUUGAUCAAAAUGCAUACCGGUCAAUGAUAGGGUCUUUACUUUAUUUAUGUGCUAGUAGACCGGAUAUUAUGCUUAGCGUUUGCAUGUGUGCUAGAUUUCAAUCCGAUCCUAAGGAGUGUCACUUAGUGGCAGUGAAGCGAAUCCUUAGAUAUUUAGUUGCUACGCCUUGCUUCGGGCUCUGGUAUCCAAAGGGGUUGUUGGUGACUUGUUCUCAAAUGCUAAGAGUUAAGAACAAGGCAACAUGAAAAGUGUUAAAUGUUAAAGUCCUUCAUCCUUCGAAGGACUUUAUGUCCCUUCGGGAAAUAAUGAGUUUCGGACGAAGGUCAUAAGAGACAUACCUUCGUAAAUAUAGUAGGUAAAAACGAAAGACUCAUAUAAAGCAUGAGAUAUAAUAUAAGCAUCAUCAUGGAAUCAUUUCUAUUUUAUUAACAUGGGAAAAUAGAAAUGAUUUCAAAUUACAGAUGUACCUUCGGUCCUGAGAGAAGGUAAAAAGUACAGGCGUGACGCAAAAGCAAAUGCAAAGUCAGCGUGAACAGUACGGGAGUACUGUUCAUCUAUUUAUAGACGCGGGAUGCAGCCCACGUAAAAUUACAUCCAUGUCCAUUACAUUUGUUAACGGUUUAUGGAAAUCUAUUGAGGACCCCGAAGUCUUUUCAUCUUAAGGUCGGUUCCCCCUUGUGCCAUCGCGCCGAAGCUUCCCUGCGUACAGCUUCGGCUGCCCCCGACCUUCGUCUGGCUCAACCUUCGUCCUGGUCGUGCUCCAUAUCCAUAAUUCUGAAUCCGAAAAUACCUGUUCAUAUAAUUCACUUGGAAAACAUUGUCAAAUCAUGUUUUUGAGGACCUUCGGAGGACGAAGGCCCCCAACAGUAGCCCCUCGCAAUAUUAAUUUGUAAAUAAUAAAUUCAGAUUGCGAUAUGGACGAAGGCCUUGAGCCGAAGGUCCGAAAAAACACCUUCCCUUUGCUAGAAUAGCAACAUUCACUGACAAGCGGGGCCUUUUAACUUUCAACGCCCUAGGCGUAUAAAUAAGAACACAUCGUGAAUUCAUUUGGUACACACGCUUGCCUUUUGCUUCGGCCCACUAAAAAUUUUUAGCUCUUGCUCAUUGAGAUUUGCUGGUCUUUUUGAUUUCGAAGCUUCGGCCUCGGGAACAAAUUUUUAGUGUUUCCGAAGAUGUCUGAAGACAAGAAGAUCCCUGCCGAGACGAAGCUGAGUCUCGAGGAGGAGAAGAAUCUGGGGUUCCUGAUAGCGAUGGCAGAGACUAAUACAGAGAAAAUCACGAAGGAGAUUCUCGAAGGUUUGUCCGAAGAUACUGAUGACAGCGACAGCUAUGAUGUGGAAAGUGAUGGGGAAGAGGCCGAAGAUCGACCGUGGCGACCAAGUCACUCAGUUUUUGGGAAAACAACCAUCAAGCAGAGUCACAUUGAUAAUAUGAGGGGGCGAUACUUCCGAGACAUAUCUAUUGUGAGAGCUGAUGCCGGGGAAAAGACUUCUCCCACCCCUGAAGAAGAUGAAGUUGUAAUUUUCCGAAGCCUCCUCAAGGCUGGGCUUCGAUUCCCCCUGAGCAACUUUGUUGUUGAGGUACUGAAAACAUUCCAAAUCUACCUUCAUCAACUCACUCCCGAAGCUAUUAUAAGAAUGGGGAUUUUUGUCUGGGCUGUGAGAAGCCAAGGUUUGGAGCCAAACGCUAAAAGCUUCUGCAACAUACACGAGUUAUUGUACGAGACGAAGCCCUGGGGAAAGGAGCAAUACCACAACAACUUUGGGUGCUACAGCUUCGGCGCCCGCUCCGGGUCAAGCUACCCUGUGCCAACCUUUCGGAAGAGGUGGCCCGGAGCCUGGAUGUCUGAAUGGUUUUAUGUGAAAAAUGAUCUAACAGCGCAAAAUAAUGUCCAAAGUAUCAUUAUGUACCCAAUUUGGCAACGCUUCGGACUUCGAAGGCCGAAGGUUGAAAUGGAUGAGGCAGCCGAAGAAUGCCAAAGAGCCUUCGGCGCAGUCUGCUCUUUCAUUGGGACAAGGGACUUGGUCCAGGAGCACAUUGCCUUCAGGAUAUGGCCACUUGCAGAAAAGUGGGAAAUGCCGAAAGAAACCAUCAAAGAGUCCGACGAAGGCGGACUAGUCAGAUUAAAAUACACAUUCAAAUAUGCAGAUAAAUUUAUUGAACCUGAUGAUGACUGGCUGAAAAGCAUUGAAACAUUAAGUGAUGAAUUACUUGGGGCAUUCUCGAAGGCUGAAAAUACUGCACUAUCAGCAGCCUUCGGAGGCCGCAAAAAGAAGAGACUGAACCGAGUGUUUGAUGCAAUCGGGUUCUUCUACCCUGAUUAUUGUUAUCCCAUCCGAAGGCAGAAAAGGAAAAGCAUAACCUCUGAAAAAGAAGAAGCUGGAACCGCUCCUAGCGAGCCAGAACCAAAAGGAAAAAGGCUGAAGGUCUUCACACACCGACCACGCCAUAUUGAGCCAGCUUCGGUGCCGGAGUUUACCGGGAAAACUUCUUCAGCCACCGAAGCUGAAAAACCAAACGAGCCGGCCUUGCUGCCAGAGAUCGCAGAAACGGCCGAAGUGCCACCAAAGAUAGAAUCAGAACAAUCAAACAUUUUGUUGUCAGAAACAAAAGAGAAAACCGAAGCGCCGCUCACAGAAAAAAUUGAGAAAGUAAGAGAAGCAACUGAGGGCUUCAAAACAUCAGAAGUUUUGAGUCCUACAGCAAUCAUUGGGACGGCAAAAAAUGAAAAAGUGCCAGCUGCAACUCCGAAGAGAAAGAGAAUGGCUAAUGUGCUAGACGUAUUGGAAACGAUCAAAUCUUCGAGCACACCUCCGAAGAAAGCUGCUAUUACUCCUGAAACAAAAGCUGAAAUCUCUGGUUCUACAGCUCCAGAGGAAGAGAUUGAAGCCGAAGCUGGACCCUCAGAGUCCGCAAAAACUUUGAGAAGUGAGGCAGAGAAAAUAACAAAGCUAACUAUUGAAGAAUCUAGUGUUGCUGCCCCCGAAGCAUCCCCCAAAAUUCGUGAUUAUAUUUUUCGUCAUGCUUCGGGGAAAAAAUUAUCAGAAAAAGAAGAACAAGAGGCCCAGCAUUAUGCCCAAAAACUGAAAUAUCCGAAGGGGGCGUUAAUAUUUAAUGGCAGUGGAGAAGGAGACUUCUUGUACUGUCUUCCCGACAACAAGGAAAUUUCUGUCUGUCGGGAGAUAGGCAGAAGCUUUGGAUUCCCAACUUUAGAAGACGGACUUUCGGUGCUAUCAAAAAACGAUCUGGCUGACAGCCUAGCUUAUAACAGUUUAAAGGUAUGAUAAAUGAAAUCCUUGUAUUUUUCCGUUCAUUUAAACCCUCUGACACACACACAUAUUCCUUUUUGCAGGGCUUGAUACUUAGCAAUGCUCUCAGAGCCCAGAAAGAUACUGAAGACGAAGGGUGUACUAUAGCCCUGAGCAACCUUCGUUCCGAAGUAAUUGAACUGAGGAACGAAGGUCUCGAAAAAGACAAAAUAUUAUACUCAUUGAUAGAUAAAAUAAAGGAGGACGAAGCUGCCUUCAAAAGUCAGGCUGAAGCUCAGAAACGCGAAAUUGAAGACCUUCGGAAACAACUGGCCAGAGCUAAAGAAGAACGUAUACUUGAAGAAACAAAGCGUGAACUCAGCGAUCAAUGGGCAGAACACCUAGAAGUGACUGUUGAAGAGCUUCGUUCAUCCAAAAAGAGAUGCUACAAUAAAUCUAUAGACUGUGUUAAAAAAUUAAAGGCUAGCUUCGCCAAGGUCGGCGCAUUCUCAAGUGAAGAAAAUUUUCUGAGGGGCAAUCCCGAAAGUGUCAUUGAAUGGAUUGACCACGAAGCUGAAGUCUUCGAAGAAAUUUUAAAUAGCCGAGGAGAUAUAUGUGCCUUCUCUGGCGCCAGAGGGAUUGCCACUAUUUUAGAGAAGAAGGGCUGUGAACAUGUGAAAAUUUUAGCACAGUCCGAAGCCACCUUGUCGACUGAAGAUAUAAAAGAUCCUUCAGCCGAAGCUAGCGCGGUUGGAGGAAAAUUUUUUACCGACAUCUGGGACAACGGUGGCCGAGAAAUGGCAAGAGAAAUUAUUCAGAGAAGUGAAAAGGGCAUCCAUGAUGCUAGAGAAGUGGCUAAGGCUGCUGAAAAGAGCACAGAGCCCGAAGGUCAAUUAGGUACUAAAUAAUAGCUUCUACCGUGUUGUAAUCUUUAGGCUUUUAAGAUCUGUUUGCGAUUUGUAAUAGUAAUGUAGUCGUGUCCUGCUUCAGAUCCGACUAAAGCGCCUUCGGGCCCUCAGCCGAAGGGGGACGACGAAAUUAAAAAGAUGGCCGAAGAUAUUAUGGACGAAGUCGUCAAUCGGCUUCUGAAUGAAGCUGCAGGAGUCGUUUUGAGAGAGGAUUAAACAUUUUUGUAAAAAACUUCGGAAAUGUAAUAUAAUGUAACAUUUUUGUAACCCCGAAUGUAAUAUAUCUAUUUUUGCUACUCAAUUCUUUACGAUGCAUGAAACUUUACACACGUACCGUUUUUGAGUUUGGCGAAAAAAACACCUUCCCUUCUUUUCAUGCUUCGUGAAGAAUAUCCAAACUUCGUGAAAAAAUUCUCCGAAGCUAUACUUCCGAAGAUGAAGAUUGAUUCUCUUUACGACCAUGAUUUUCACUCUUUCAAAUCAUACUUUCGAAAAUCAAUAUUGUGUCCCCUUCUUGGGACCACGAUUUUCACUCUUUCAAAUCAUACUUCCGAAGAUCAAUAUUGUGUCCCCUUCUUGGGACCACGAUUUUCACUCUUUCAAAUCAUACUUCCGAAGAUCAAUAUCGUGUCCCCUUCUUGGGCCAUAUGCAACAUGAUGUAUGAUGCUUAUGCUAUGCAAAAUGAUGUAAUGAUGUUAUGCUACGUAGAUGACAUUUGUUCCGAAAGAUACACACAUAUCCCCACACAAUAUUUUUGUAUCAGCACUGAUUCUUCGCUGUAAGCUCUGCAUUCCCUUAGGAACGUCUUUGGAGCUUCUUCGCCUCUUACUUAGGCGGUAUAAGCUCUGCAUUCCCUUAGGAACGUCUUUGGAGCUUCUUCGCCUUUUACUUAGGCGGUAUAAGCUCUGCAUUCCCUUAGGAACGUCUUUGGAGCUUCUUCGCCUUUUACUUAGGCGGUAUCAGCGUUGACUUUUCGCUGUAGGCUCUGCAUUCCUUUAGGAACGACUUCUGAGCAGAAAACUUACACUGCGCUCCCUUUGGAACGGCUUUUUGUGACUUCACAAACUUACUCUGCGUUCCUUAGAACGACUUUUCGUUACUCCGAAGGAUUUUUAAUUCGAAGGUCCUCCUUGGUAACGGAAAAAAUUUUUAAUCUUCAGCAACUUAAGCUUGUGGAGCAAAUAGAUCUUCCUCGUGGAAAACAACGACAUUAUUACAUGAAAACUAUCAAUGUUUUUUGCUUGACAGAAAACAAAACUGAAUAAGAAAGACUGCUAUCAAAGAUAGGAUAUGUGUCAAUAAAUGUGUUUCGACUCUGGCACAGUGCUGUUGACUGUGCGAGCUUCGGACUGCUCUCUGAAGUCCCUCUGCUGUGGAGCGUAUUGACUCCCUUCUGGCUGCUGACCUUGUUGCAACGGAGGUGGAGGCGGAGGCUGUUGCCAGGAAGCUGAAGGCUGACUUGCCGAAGCAGCAGAGACUACAGGAUGAUUGCCCACAUAUUCUGGGAUGUAGGGCGAAUGAUACGAAGCUGUAUGCAUGACCUGCUUCGGCUGGGCUUGUUGUGCUGCUGCUUCAGCUAUUUCCUUUUGCUUCUGUAUAGUAACAUGGCACAUCCUGGUAGUAUGGCCUUUGUUCUCACCACAGAAUAAGCAAAAGAUUCUUCUUGGUUGAUCGCCAAAUCUUCCUCCGAAGCCCCUGGCGCCUCUGCCUCUUGGAGCUGGUGGUCGGAAGGAGCUUUGCUGUUGCCCCGAAGCCUGUGAGGAGUACUGUGGCCUUUGCUGCUGGCUCCCUUUAUCAUCAUUUUGAUUGGAAUUAUGAAUUGAUCUGACAUGCCUCGGAUAGAAUCUUCCUCCGAAGCCCCUGGUCAUCUCAGAAAAUCUGAAGGCCUCCUCCCUUCUUUGGCGAAAAUCAUUGUCAGCUCGAAUAUAUUCAUCCAUCUUCUGGAGCAGCUUCUCCAGCGUUUGAGGAGGCUUCCUGGCGAAGUACUGAGCUGACGGACCUGGCCGAAGCCCCUUGAUCAUGGCCUCAAUGACAAUUUCAUUGGGCACCGUUGGUGCCUGUGCCCUCAAACGCAAAAACCUUCGGACAUAUGCCUGAAGGUAUUCUUCGGGGUCCUGAGUGCACUGGAACAGAGCCUGAGCAGUGACCGGCUUCGUUUGAAAUCCUUGAAAGCUGGUUAACAACAAGUCCUUCAGCUUCUGCCAUGAAGUGAUCGUUCCUGGUCGAAGGGAGGAAUACCAGGUUUGAGCAACACUUCUGACAGCCAUAACAAAAGAUUUGGCCAUGACUGAAGCAUUGCCACCGUACGAAGACACUGUUGCUUCGUAGCUCAUCAAAAACUGCUUCGGAUCAGAAUGGCCAUCAAAUACGGGGAGCUGAGGCGGCUUGUAGGACGGAGGCCAAGGCGUAGCCUGCAACUCAGCGGACAAGGGAGAAGCAUCAUCAAAAACAAAAUUCCCAUGAUGGAAAUUGUCAUACCAGUCAUCUUCGUUGUGAAAGCCCUCCUGAUGAAGGUCUUGAUGCUGAGGCCUUCGGAAUUGCUCAUCCUGAGCAAGAUGACGAACUUCUUCAGAGGCUUCAUCUAUCUGCCUCUGCAGUUCAGCUAGCCUGGCCAUCUUCUCCUUCCUGCGUUGAACCUGUUGCUGAAGGAUUUCCAGAUUCUGAAUUUCCUGAUCUAGAUCAUCCUCCGGAUGUGUUGGACUGGUAGCCUUCCUCUUCUGGCUUCGUGCCUCUCUGAGAGAAAGGACAUCUUGAUUGGGGUCCAGCGGCUGCAGCGUGCCAGCCCCUGGUGCUGGAGCCUUCUUCGGCGGCAUGACGAAGCUGAUGCUUGCCGAAGGUGCCGAAAAACUCAAGAAGUGGAAGUGAGUUCACCGGAGGUGGGCGCCAAUGUUGGUGACUUGUUCUCAAAUGCUAAGAGUUAAGAACAAGGCAACAUGAAAAGUGUUAAAUGUUAAAGUCCUUCAUCCUUCGAAGGACUUUAUGUCCCUUCGGGAAAUAAUGAGUUUCGGACGAAGGUCAUAAGAGACAUACCUUCGUAAAUAUAGUAGGUAAAAACGAAAGACUCAUAUAAAGCAUGAGAUAUAAUAUAAGCAUCAUCAUGGAAUCAUUUCUAUUUUAUUAACAUGGGAAAAUAGAAAUGAUUUCAAAUUACAGAUGUACCUUCGGUCCUGAGAGAAGGUAAAAAGUACAGGCGUGACGCAAAAGCAAAUGCAAAGUCAGCGUGAACAGUACGGGAGUACUGUUCAUCUAUUUAUAGACGCGGGAUGCAGCCCACGUAAAAUUACAUCCAUGUCCAUUACAUUUGUUAACGGUUUAUGGAAAUCUAUUGAGGACCCCGAAGUCUUUUCAUCUUAAGGUCGGUUCCCCCUUGUGCCAUCGCGCCGAAGCUUCCCUGCGUACAGCUUCGGCUGCCCCCGACCUUCGUCUGGCUCAACCUUCGUCCUGGUCGUGCUCCAUAUCCAUAAUUCUGAAUCCGAAAAUACCUGUUCAUAUAAUUCACUUGGAAAACAUUGUCAAAUCAUGUUUUUGAGGACCUUCGGAGGACGAAGGCCCCCAACAGGGGUCUACCUUUGACUUGAUUGGAUAUUCAGAUUCCGACUAUGCUGGAUGUAAGGUCGAUAGGAAGAGUACAUCGGGGACGUGCCAAUUCUUAGGAAGGUCCCUAGUGUCAUGGAACUCUAAGAAACAAACCUCCGUUGCCCUAUCCACCGCUGAGGCCAAGUAUGUUGCCGUAGGAAAGUGUUGCGCAGAACUACUUUGGAUGAGGCAAACCCUCAGGGACUUUGGCUACAAUCUGAGCAAAGUCCCACUCCUAUGUGAUAAUGAGAGUGCUAUCCGCAUGGCGGAAAAUCCUGUUGAACACAGCCGCACAAAGCACAUUGACAUCCGGCAUCACUUUUUGAGAGACCACCAGCAAAAGGGAGAUAUCGAAGUGUUCCAUGUUAGCUCCGAGAACCAGCUAGCCGAUAUCUUUACCAAGCCUUUAGAUGAGCAGACCUUUUGCAGGUUGCGUAGUGAGCUAAAUGUCUUAGAUUCGCGGAACCUGGAUUGAUUUAUAGCAUACAUGUGCUUAUGCCUUUGAUCAUGUUCCCUAUGCAUUUUGUUGCUUAGUUAUGGUGCUCAAGUUGUACAAACACUCCCUGGACCUCACAAGUCCGUUGCAAAAGUGAUGCACAUGUUUAGGGGGAGAUGUGUUACAACUUGACCCUUUGAGACUAACCAUGUGCUUGAGUUUGAUGAUUUAGUCUCGAAGAAGGGUUACAAAUUGAAAGGGAAAAGGUGGACUUGGACCAUGAAAGACUUCCACUGCACUCCGAUGAGAGGGUAACUUAUUCCAAGUUCAUCUCAUGUACUCUUAUUGCCUUUAUAUUCUUAUUGAAGAUUUUGGUGAGGCAAUGGGGUUCUAGGGCCAAGAUUGAUCCCGUUUUGGUGCUUGAUGCCAAAGGGGGAGAAAAUAAAGGCCAAAGCAAUAAAUGGAUCAGCUACCACUUGAGAGAUUUUGAAAAUAGUAGAAUAGAGCUUUUGGUUUGUCAAAACUCUUUUUGUCUCUCUUGUCAAAAGUUGGCUUCUUAUGGGGAGAAGUCUUGAUUAUGGGAAAAAGGGGAGUUUUUUUUGAAAUCUUGGAUCAAUUUCUCUUGGAAUGACUCUCUUUAUGUCUUAACAUGUGUGUUUGACUUAGAGAUAGAAAUUUGAGGUUGAUUUGCAUAAACAAACCAAGUGGUGGCAAAGAGUGAUCCAUAUAUGUCAAAUGUAAAUCAAAACAGUUUGAGUUCUUAUUUGAAUUGAUUUUGCACUUGUUCUACUUGCUUUAUGUUAUGUUGGCAUAAAUCACCAAAAAGGGGGAGAUUGAAAGGGAAAUGUGCCCUUGGGCCAUUUCUAAGUAUUUUGGUGAUUGAGUGCCAACACAAGUGCUUUUGUGUUGAUCUAUGCAAUGUGGUGGACUAAGUGCAAAUCAUGUCAAAAGGUAUGUUUCUAGACUUAGUACAUUAUUUUAUGGACUAAUGUAUUGUGUCUAAGUGCUGGAAACAGGAAAAAUCGAAUUGGAAAUGAGAUGGCUUUGUUCAGCCAAGUCUGCUCAGUCUGGGAGCACCGGACUGUCCGGUGGUGCACCAGACAGUGUCCGGUGCGCCAUGCUGGCUCGAGCGAACUGGCCGCUCUCGGGAAUUCACUGGCGACGUACGGCUAUAAUUCACCGGACUGUCCGGUGUGCACCGGACUGUCCGGUGUGCACCGGACUGUCCGGUGAGCCAACGGUCGGCCGGGCCAACGGUCGGCCGCGCGAUCUGCGCGGGACACGUGGCCGAGCCAACGGCUAGAAGGAGGCACCGGACUGUCCGGUGUGCACCGGACAUGUCCGGUGCGCCAACGGCUCUCUGGCUGCUAACGGUCGGCUGCGCCAUUUAAGGAAAGAAAUCGGGCACCGGACAGUGUCCGGUGUGCACCGGACUGUCCGGUGCGCCACACGACAGAAGGCAAGGAUUGCCUUCCCAGAUUGCUCUCAACGGCUCCUAGCUGCCUUGGGGCUAUAAAAGGGACCCCUAGGCGCAUGGAGAAGAACACCAAGCAUCCUUUGAGCAUUCUUGAUCACUCACACUCCACUCUUGCGCACUUGUUCGAUAUUCUAGUGAUUUGAGCCCCGUUCUAGUGUGCUAGUCUUGUAAGCUCAAGUCUGGGUCUUGUGUGUGCGUAUUUGCUGUGAUCUUUGUGUCUUGUGUGAGUUGCUCAUCCCUCCCUUACUCUGUGAUUCUUUGUGAACAUCAAAAGUGUAAGGGCGAGAGGCUCCAAGUUGUGGAGAUUCCUCGCGAACGGGAUAAGAAAAGAAAAGCAAAACACUGUGGUAUUCAAGUUGAUCAUUGGAUCACUUGAGAGGAGUUGAGUGCAACUCUCGUCCGUUGGGACGCCACAACGUGGAGUAGGCAAGUUUUGUACUUGGCCGAACCACGGGAUAAACCACUGUGUCAUCUCUGUGAUUGAUCUCUUGUGGUUAUUGUGUUUUGUUGAGACUCCUCUCUAGCCACUUGGCAAUUAUUGUGCUAACCUUAACCAAGUUUUGUGGCUUAAGUUUUAAGUUUCACAGGAUCACCUAUUCACCCCCCCCCUCUAGGUGCUCUCAACUCUCCACCAACAAGAGAGAUAGAAAUCUAUUAGAAGCCAGAGCUCCAGCUUGCUAGUUCGAUUUGAUGGCAGCAACUAACACGACAAUGACGCUCAGCAUGAUAUGAAGAUUGCCAUCGAUAGGAAGGCUCAUCACCUGCUGUUCGCGGAGGCGAGAAAGGAUGUGGUCGACUUCUUCUCCCUACUCGUCCUGCUCGUCGGCGCGACCGUCAAACUGCUGGGGAAUAAGGGCAUGGCCGGCAGCACCGACAACCUCUAUGAUAGUGUGGAGGGCCUCGAAUACGCCCACAUCCAGACCAUUGUCGUGCAUCGAGGAAGAUGGACUUGAGACCCACUUAAUGCCUUUCCAUAAUAGUAGCAUUUUCUAUGUGAUUGGAGAUCUCAUGAAGUAGAAUGGUGAAACAAGCUAGAGAAUGACCGAUGGAGAGACUCCUUAAAUAAAAUCUAGGUAAUUUCAUAUGCACAUUUCUCCUUUGAUGUACGAUAGGCUAACUAAAAUCUUAAUAUGAUUUGAGUGACUUAUCUAAGCAGGGAUGUUAUCUUAUAGAACAUCUUAGAAGGAACACACCUAUAUGAGUUUGACUGCUAGUCACAAUCUAUGAUAUGUGGGCAAUAUUUAUAUACUCAUGAAAGGUCUCGAAGUUUGACUUAUAUGCUUCAAACCAAGGGGAUUCUUGUAAUAGUCUAGUACUAGAUAAGAACUUUGGUGAAACUCACUUCAUACAAAACUGUCAAUUCAAUAUAUAGUCUAUUGUUCAGAUGUGAUUGUGUAAUCCCUGUUCUAGAUGGAUGGUCAACUUAACAACCUCCACCAAAACCCUUAUAUAUCAAAGAGUAGUGGAUUUGAAUUUGCCUAAUAUGUAGUUUAUGGGCUUGGCUCAUUUAAAGUAUUUAAUAAUUCUGAAUGACAAGAUUAAACUAACUAUGUAUGAUCCUUUAGCUCCGUACAGAUGGUCGAUGGGAUAGUUACAUGGUUUAUGUAGAUGGACCUAUCUAUAUUCCUUCAGUGGUUGAGAGAAAGGUAAAGGUGUGUCACACUCACGCGUGCGCCGCCUCCGCCGAGACAAGGUGUGGCGUUGCAAGGUGAGGCAUGGUAUGGUGCAGCACGAUCACAGUCAUGGUCGUGGCACGAUGUAGCAUUGUUGUGGAUAGAUAGAUAAACUAUUGUUGUAGUUAGAGCGCGUGAGUUUUUGAAUGCAACACUAGAAUUUUCACAAUUUAACUUAAUUAAGAAGUUAUAUCUUGAUGACACAGAGUUACCUGACCAUUGAUCUCACAUGCCAUUUUAGCUCUCUCGUUCUCUAGUCUCACCCUAACUAUUUAGGUCUCCUGACUCACCAAUAUAAACACCAUCCUAUCAUUUGCUCUCCAAUACUUCUCUGUCACAACUCAACUAUUAGAUGAGUACUCCAUUACAACACUUACGUACACGAGUUCAUGAGAUCAGGCCUCCAAAAUGAAUAUCGGCUAAGUGUUUAUCUACUUAGAUGAAAGACGAUAAUCGUGUUCUUGGGAAAUAUCAGCGACAUAACUCCUUACUUCCUCUGCUUCUUCCUAGUGUUUUUGUUGUUGUGAUUGAGUCGACACAGCAACAACGCUGCACUAUUACAACCAGUACGAUUAUAUCAACUAACAAUGUCUUCCUUAUAUGUUACUAUUUAUUUUGCUCAUAUUCAUUAUGCUUAAAUCACAUGUGCACCUUUCUAUUGACAUCAAAAAUAGUAUCAACUUUCUAGAUUAAAAUGCAACUAAAAGUACCUAAAUUUCUAUCAGUGGGGAUUGAGUGAUUCUUUAAACCGAUUAUUACAUAAGUUAACCACACUAAAAUUAACAUUGGUGAAUCGUGCCAUGAUUUUUUUCUAGUGCAAAAUAGCCAAACCAAGCAACACAUAUGUGGCUAUCGUUACACAUUUGUAAAGGUAUUGCAUCACACCAUUGUCACCCAUGUAUUUGGACAAUAACGAGAGGAAAAACCACUUAUUUAUUGUAUUUUAUCAAGUUUGUCUUGCUUACGUAUAAAUUAUAACCCAACAAAGUAAUCACUAAAUGUCAAAACCAACUAGAUACCAUGUCAUCUCUACCUUAUCUUACUAAUGUUCUUUUUGCAAAAUCCAAAAGUAAUCUUGCACAAGCACAAGGACUGAUAUGUGUAUAAAUAUCUCUUAGAUUAGUAGUUAAUACAUCACUCAUAUUAUUAAGACCAACUAGCAACAUAGAAAGCACAAUAGUGUACCAACAAUGGCAACCAAAAUAUUUUGCUUCCUUAUGCUCCUUGGUCUUUCUGCAAGUGCUGCUACCGCGACCAUUUUCCCGCAAUGCUCACAAGCUCCUAUAGCUUCCCUUCUUCCCCCAUACCUCUCACCAGCGGUGUCUUCAGUAUGUGAAAACCCAAUUCUUCAACCCUACAGGAUCCAACAGGCAAUCGCAGCAGGCAUCUUACCUUUAUCACCCUUGUUCCUCCAACAACCGUCAGCCCUAUUACAGCAGUUACCUUUGGUGCAUUUGUUGGCACAAAACAUCAGGGCACAACAACUACAACAACUUGUGCUAGCAAACCUUGCUGCCUACUCUCAGCAACAGCAGUUUCUUCCAUUCAACCAACUGGCUGCAUUGAACUCUGCUGCUUAUUUGCAACAACAACUACCAUUCAGCCAACUAGCUGUUGUCUACCCCCAGCAAUUUCUUCCAUUCAACCAACUAGCAACAUUGAACUCUGCUGCUUAUUUACAACAGCAACAGCUACCACCAUUCAACCAGCUAGCUAAUGUGAGCCCUGCUGCCUUCUUGACACAACAAUAGUUGUUGUCGUUCUACCUGCACGCUGCGCCUAACGCUGGCACCCUCUUACAACUGCAACAAUUGCUGCCAUUCAACCAACUUGCUUUGACAAACCCAGCAGCGUUCUACCAACAACCCAUCAUUGGUGGUGCCCUCUUUU